rnacentral:lncRNA from 1 species
AUGAUACGACUUGCUCAAUCUUAUCUUGUGGAGGCCAAAUGGACUCUUCAAAACUAUAAACCAUCAUUCGAGGAGUUUAAGGCUAAUGCAUUGCCAACUUGUGGUUAUGCCAUGCUUGCUAUUACAUCUUUCGUCGGCAUGGGAGAUAUCGUAACACCAGAGACCUUUAAAUGGGCAGCUAGUGACCCUAAGAUCAUUCAAGCGUCCACAAUUAUUUGUAGGUUUAUGGAUGAUGUUGCUGAACACAAGGUAUAAUAAUAUAUUUAUAUAAUCACAAGAAACCUAACUCUUAACUCAAUAAUUGAAUGUCUUUGUAACAAAAUUAAAUGAUGGUUUUUAUCAUGAUCUGAAACAAUUAAAAUAUAAUGUUUACAUAUCAAAUGUUUAGUCUUAAAUCGAAAAAUAAGAAAAUAAAUCUAGUUUCAUUUUAAACAAAUAUAGUUUAAUAAUAUGAUAGAUUUUAGGGUAUAUAGUGAUAGAAUAAUUUUGAUUUUAUUAUGGUUGCAGUUCAAGCAUAGGAGAGAAGACGAUUGCUCAGCAAUCGAGUGUUACAUGGAAGAAUAUGGCGUAACAGCACAAGAGGCAUAUGAUGUAUUCAACAAGCAUGUUGAGAGUGCUUGGAAGGAUUUAAAUCAAGAGUUUUUGAAACCAACAGAAAUGCCAACAGAGGUUUUGAAUCGUAGCCUAAACCUUGCAAGGGUGAUGGAUGUGCUUUACAGGGAAGGCGAUGGCUAUACAUAUGUUGGAAAAGCGGCAAAGGGUGGAAUCACUUCAUUGCUCAUUGAACCAAUUGCACUUUGAAAUUAUGUUAAUUUUUCCUCUCCAAGCUUGUUUCUUAAGAAAUAGUUAUUAAGUUCUAAUUAAUAAUGUUUUAUAAUAUUCAUAUAUUAUAAAAGAAAGUCCAAAUCGAUUGUCUUUGUACUUAUUGCCUUAUAUUAAUUCAAUAAGGUUCUUUCCAAACUUUUCAUUGUGAAAAAUCUUCUAUUUUAUAUAUUAUUUGAUUUUAUAUAUAUACAUAUAUAUAUAUUGGUAUAAAAGAAUAUGUAAUAUAAAAAUAAGAUGAGUUAUACCGGAAUUAAGAUUAAAAAGAAUCUACUAAACAUUACCACCUAGCGUUUAACUAAUACUUAAUACCUUUUGUAUAUAUACAUUAAUACCUUUUGUAUAAUGUUCUCAAUAGUUUUUACAUGCAAAACAAAAUGAAAGAAGACAUUGACUCAUUGGUUAUCUAGCGUUUAACUAAUACUUAACAGUAUUACGUGAGCAAAUCAUAAUAUGGAAAAUAAUUUGUAUUAGUAGAUGAACCUAAACAUGUACUUAGUCUAAUAAAAAAUAAGCAAACCAAUUGAAAGACUAAUAUGCAGUUUGUCAAGUCUAAUUGGGGAGAUAUUUUGUCUUGGGCAUUGAAGCGAAUGACUCCUAGAAGAUAGAGAUAUAGAUGUGACUGAAUGGACUGACAGUAUAUCAUAAAAAACUCAAGUAGAAUAGAUCCUGAAUCCGUUUAUAGAUUUAUUCACUUGUGAUGAUCAUAGUGUGACAUACGUUAAUCAUGAGUGGGUGAUGGACUAUGUAUGUGUGACUCAUAUACUUUGAUGUAAGUAAAAUCUUGUGUUAAAAAAUAUAAAGAACCGAAAGUUAGUAUGUUAGGUAUGCGACUUUUGCAAUAAGUAGCAUCAUUCGCAAUAGUGGAAUUCAUAGCCCAGUGAAUGGGUAAAUGAUAUCCUCCCAUUGGCAUUACAUGAUAGAUGAAAAGUAAAUGUGGUCACGAGUCAUUUAUCUUUGUGAUAAUUGACUUAAUUACUAUUUGAUAGUAAUUGACGUUUUAUGAAGAAAUAUGUAAUAGUUACCAUGAGAUAAAAAUAGAAUCAUAUUAGGAGAACAUAUUUAUCCCAAAGAGAUUAAGAAUAUCCUAUGAGGGUAACAAACUUAUGACAAGGUCAUUGGACGAGCACUGAUCGAGUAGCUUUCUUAAUGGUAUAUAAUUGGGGAAAGCUCAGUCGUGAUACUAUAGUGGAAUGACUUCAUGACUAAUUGAGUUUAUAAUUAAUAGGCAAAAAGUUGGAACUUAAUUAUAAAUCAUUUAAGCUCUAAUUAAAUAUGUCCAAUCAGUCCCCGCUAGCUCAUUGAAAUCAGAAACGAAUUGCAUAUAAAAUCAAAUGAACAAAAAUGGAUAGAAAUGAUAAACAUAGAGAAUUGGGUUAAAUUUGGAAAUGAAUGUGGUUUCUUACUAAGUAUGGAAAUGAUCUGAGAAUUAAUUUAAGUUUUUCAAAUUAUUUUUUAAUCAAAUAAUUGAAGUUUGAAAAUGAUUUUAAAUUAAUUUGUUAUUGUGAAUCCAUUGAAUAUCGAAAUUAAAUAUAUUUUCUCAUAGAUUUUUUUAUGAUAAAGUUGUCAUAAAUUAUUUAAUUGGAAAAUUAAAUAAUUAAAAUUAAUUUAUAAAUAAUAUUUAUUCGAGAAAUAGAAAAACAUGUAUUGCGUUGGAUUAAAUUAUAAAGUGUUGGGUUAAAAGUUCAGGAAGCACAUAUGUAAACGGGUCAAUUUGCCCGGGUCCACACCAAAACCAAAAUACAAAACAAUAAUAAGCCAAACUAAUAAAUAAUUAAGUCUAAGUCCAAAGUCCAUAACCCAUUACAGACCCAAAACCAUUACAGUGCCCCAAAACCCAAAUACUUAGAAUCCAAAACGGACCCCAAAAUGCUACAAACCCAGCCCGAUGGCCCAACACAACAGAAACAGGCUCCAAGGGCUUGUUACUCGAACAAUCAGCCAAAUAGAAACCCUAGGGUUUCCACUCUUGUGCCGCAGCCAAGCCCAACCUUUAGUACCGUACAACCGCUACGGGCGACCUCCAUACGCCUUACUCCGAGUGCCACGACCAUGCCUCCGUAUGCUCCGUACACGCACCUCCACAGCCUGUACCUACACACCAAAUGCAAGAGGACAACAACAAAUAUAGAAAAAAUUAUAUUUUUUUAUUUUGAUUUUUCUUUUCGGCUAUAAAGCCAAGAGAUAUCAUUUUUGUGAGGGUUACGCACACUAAAUAUCAAAAAAAGCACUUCGAAAGUAAAUUUUUAAGGUGAUUUUUUUUGUUUCCUAAUGGCUUUAGUUUUCUGUGAAUUAUUUCGUUUUCUUUUUCAGUCAUUCGCUGUUGCUUUUUAAAAAUAAAAGAGCAAGAUAAUAGCGGGGUCUUACCUUGCAAAUCAGCCAUUGAUUCUUCUUUGCUUCGUCAGAAUUGAAGGCAAAGAGGAAUCUCGAGGCCGUAAAGCGUUUCAAAGGGGCGAAUAUGCCUGUUGUUGGCUGCGAAGGAGUCAGGGCCAAGUGAUUAGGUUUAGGUCGGCUGAAGGAAGGGGAAGCUAGGGUUAUUGUGGCUGGAUGGUCUGAUUUUAGUCCUUUUAAAGGACCAAGUACGGUGCCGUUUUGAGCCUGUAUCAAUGGCUCCAAAACGGUGUCGUAUAGUGACUACCCGACCCGAUCCGAUCCAUUACCCCUAGGAUCCACAUGUUCUUGCGGAGAGGGGAUAAUUUCGAAAUUAGUCCUUCCUUUUUGUACGGGCAUUCAAUUUUGCCUUAUUUAUUUCACUUCUUUUUUAAAUUUGGCUUUAUAAUUUACGCAUAUUUUCAAUUCGGUCCGCGCCUAAACACUGCGUUUUGGGAUCUGGAUUAUUUACUGCUUUAGUCCCUGAGCAUUGUAUUCGUGGAUGCUGGUCCUUUUUGAUUUCUAUGGCCUAUUUUAUUUAUAAAUUAUCCCUUUUAUUUUAAUUCAAUUUUAAUUUAGUUUUCUAUUUGUAUAACUUACCAUUUUAAAAUACAUUUAAUAUUCUUAUAUGUGUUUAUCCAUUCUAAUAAUCUUGUUUGUUUUUAUUUGUGCAAUUAGUUUGAAGUUUUUUUAUCAUAUUAUUUUAACAUUUUGCAUAAUAUUUCUUUAAACAUUCUAUAUAUAUUUGUACAUAUAUUAUUCUCAUUGAAUUUUCAAUUAGUAAUGCCUAUUAUUUUGAAGUUCUCAAUAUUUUUAUAUAUGUGUUAAGCCAUUUUAAUAACUUUAUAAAAUCAUCGUUUUAAAAUUCUUCUUACAUUAAAUUAUUUUAAUAUUUUUAUACAAUAUUUUGUUUGAAUGUUUUUGUAUAUAUUGGUACAUAUAUUCGAUCCUAGAUACAUAUUUAACUCCAUGCUAUUGUUACAUAUAAUUGCUUUUAAAAUUUAUAGGUAUAUAUAUAUAGAUAUAGAUAUAUGUGUUUUUUUAAUCUAUUAUGUAUAUAAUUUAUUUCCUAAGAUUUUAUUUUAGUAUAUAUAUAUUUUACUAUCUUUUCAAAUUUCAUGUAUUACUUAAAGUUCCCUUUAUUGUGUGUAUAUUGUCUAUUUUUAAUAAAUAUUUUUAUUUUGCAUAUUAUUCGGACCCAAAUGUAUUCGCUCUAUAACAUCUACUUUAAUAAUUAUAUACAUCCCUAGUUUCUUAUGCAAAUUAUUUCAAAUUCAUCAAUUCAUAUAUUAUAUAUAUUAUAUGUUCAUUAGUUCAUCAUUCUUUUAAAAAUGUCUUCUACCACAUUGACUUCUAAUUUCCAUCUUGUUCUGUACAUUUUAAGUUAACGUUUUUUAUGUUAUACUAUAUACAUUGUCGUUGCAUAUUAUUUACUUAUUGUUUUGUAUUGUUAAAUCAAUUAUUCUCCAUACAUUUUUGAAAAUUGGGUUAUAUUUUUUAGAUUAGUUAUAUUUAAUUGUUUAUUUUGCUAGUUGAUUAAAUAAGUUAUAUUAUCUUCAUUCAUCAAGCAUUGUACUUUGUGUGUUCAUAUUCUCCCAUGUUUAUUAUUCCUCUUUUUAUACAAAUAUUACCUUGUAAUUUUCAACUUAUUAAUCCAAAUUAAUGAUUCCAUUUUAUUUCAAGUCAAAUUAAUGCGUUUUGAGCUAGUUCUACAAUUGUUUAUUUGAAAACUUACUAAAACAAAGGUAAUGAUUGAUGUUUGGGAACUCGAGGAGUCGUGCCCUACCGUGCUGGGUUUCGAUUUUCCGUUUGUCCAAAAUAAUCAAUUAUUCAUUUGAAAUUGCAUCUGUAUUUUUUAAAUUCCAAAACAAAGGCAAUGUUCAAUGUUUGGAAAUUCGAAAAAUCGUGCCCUACCGUGCUGGGUUUCGGUUUUUUCGUUGGACCAAAUAAGCGAACAUCCUUUUGUAAUUUUCAAGUGUAUGGGCUUUUAGAAAUCAGAAUUGAUCGUAGUUUCGAGGGUUUAAAAGAUCAUGUCCUAACGUGCUGGAUGUGAUACUGUAUUCCUUUGAAACAAGCGAAUCUUGAUGUCCAAUUUGAGUCAUCCAAGUGUUUUAAAAGAAAUCGUAUUUCAAAAUAUUUUUUAGGCAUAAGAACAUUAUUUAAUCAAUUCGGAACCAAUUUUGGGGCGUAGCGAGGGUGUUAAUCCUUCCUCGUACGAAACCGGCUCCCGAACAUGUUUUCUCAAAUUUCGUAGGCCAAAAUUGAUUUAAAUGGAACAAAAUGUUUUAUUAGGUGAUCCAAUCACACCUAAACAAAAAGAUUGGUGAAGACUCCACAUUUGAUUUUAAAAGUCGAUCCCCAUUUUUUCCAAAAAAAAUGGUUUUGACAACAUAUAAUUAGUCUCAAUAUAGGAGAGGCCUAAAACCCCUCAUAAUACAUGAGGGGUAGCAACCCUAGUAUAUUUAACUAGGAUGUGUCAACCCUCUCUCCUAGUUGAACUAGGGGGCUAAUUUUUCUAUUAGAUAAGUAUUAUUUAUAUUCUACUAAUUCAACCAGCAUUCUUUUAUCUCUCCUAUAGACAGAUGGUACUAGUAGGGCUAAUAAUACAAAAGUUAUAUACACAACUUUGAGAUAUUGUUAUUUUUUCAAAAAAUAGUGACAAUUAUUUUCGAAGUAUAAAUUCUAUUUUCUAGGAAUAACAAUUCUCCCGGUUUCUAUUGACAGAAUUACUUUCCUACUGAAAGCAACAAUUCUAUGUUUGAUUUGAGAUUGUUCAAGCCCACACUCAAAGCGAUUCGAUGUACAAGAAUAAUGGAGAAAGUUGUUCGGUUGAAAGCCAGAAACAUCAAGAAUUAGUCUCACACAAUACAUAGGUACUUUUCAGGAAACGUUUAUUGUCGUAGAUAUCACAAACCGAUUUGAUUUUCGAAUUUUUAAUUUUAUGUCAUAACAAAAACUCGAUUUUAAACUGGAUUUUUUUCAACAAAUUGUUACUGAGUAGCACUUGACAGUACCAACUGCAAACUACCACAAGGUGGUUAAAUACUCUCACUAUCAAGCAAUUCAAGAUGUAGAUAUUGACCAUCAAAUUCGAUACUUUCAGAAUGCAAGAGUCAAAAAGCAGUGAUGAGCUUAGUUGUGUGACUUAUCUUGUCAGACAUUUGCACGGAUUACUUAAACCCAAAAUUAAUAAUAAAAAAAACAGUCUACCAAAAUAAGAUGUGUUAAAUCAAAGGAAAAUAAUCAAGCGAAUUUAUAAUUUUAACGAAGAUCUUGUUGGUUGAAAAUUUUAAGUAUUUUAUAUUUAUAUUUAAAUUUUAUUAUAUGUAAUUAUCAUAUUUAGCUCUUUAGUUUUAUAAUGUGUCGUUGUUAAGUGUAUAUUUUAGUCCAAUGAUUCGAUUUUAGUUUUAAUUAUUUUAAUUUAAAAUGUAUUUUAUAUUAAUUUAAUUCUAUUUUAUAAUUAUUCCAACAUGCAUUUAUAAUUAUACUAUAAUCACAAUAGAAUUUAUAAUUUGAUAUCUUUUUUUUUAUAUUAGUUUUAUAUCCUAACACAUCAUGAAUUUGUCACUUAAAUUUGUAUUAUACUUAUUUUGUUAUUGAGACUUUGAAGAUGAUUGUUUUACAGUUGUGAUUUCCUUUUUUAACAUGUCAGUCUUAGAGAAAAAUAUAUAUUGAAUAUUUAAAUUUAUAUAAUAUAUGAGAACGUGGAUUUGAGUGCGAUAAAGUACAUUAUUUUCUAAUUUAAGGGUUAGGAAAGAAUUAUAAGUAGUUUUAGGUAUUAGACAAAAAAAAUAGUUGAUUUGGAAUUAAUAAAAAUGUAAUACUUAAUUGUUCAUAAGUUUAUUAUCAAUUAAUAAAAAAUUAAUUCUAAUAAUUCUUUUUCAUUUUUUUAGUAAAUUCAUUUUAAAAAUCUAGAGACUUUAAAGUCAAUCAAUAGAGCACAUGCUUGUUGGAAAUACUUUAAUUCUGGGAUAUCAAUGCCAUUAGUAAAACUACGCAUGCACAAUAAAAUAUUAAAAAGAAAUAAGAUAUUAAUUUUAUUGAUAACAUUCAAUUAUAAAUAUAAGACGCCAUUGUUGAAAUUUGCUUACUCUGAAUAUUUUACUUCUCAAUUCUAAUGUAUCAGAAAAUUUUAAAUGAUGGGUUUUGAAUAUAAAUUUCUAGUAUUCACUGAAUCAUACAACUAUGGAGUUUACAAUUCAAAUUGAAAAUAUUGUGAAAAAUAACUUAUUCAAAUAGUCAAGCCUUCUUAUUGUUAAGUUUUUACUAUUAUAAUGGUACUACAUUUACAAAUAUAAAUACAUGUUUAAGUUUUAUCUUUUACAUAAAUGAUAUGAUUCCAUUUAUGGAAUGAAUGGUGAGGACUUAAAAUACCAGAGGUUUAAAUUAAUUCAUGAAAUUAUUUAUUAUUCUAAAAUACUCUUCAAACAAAAACAGAUCAAGAGUCAAUGAAAAGUCACUCACUUUCUUAGAGAAACUGUUGGUGGCUAGGGGAAUUUCAGCUACGAUAGGCAUCAUCAUCUGUCCAUUACAACAUGUGAAGACAACAAAGAUACUUAUAAAAUAGAUCUAUUAAUUGAAAAGAGAAAAAACACAUGGAAUAGAUAAGGAGAAAAAAGAAAGAGAGUUGAUGGGAGGGAGCAAUAGGUGGGCGGUAGCUAGCCCGGAGAUUGCCACUGUUUCUACACAAAACAAAGAAGAAAAAACAAACUGCUUGGAGAAAAAAAAGAGAAAAGACCUAAAGGACUAAAUUGCUCACUUUUAUACUUAAGGAGUUAAUUUGUUCUUUAGUUUAUAAUACAAGGAUCCACAUUAUAAAUUUUCCAUUACAAAUGGACGCCUUUGAUGAAAUUUGCUUUAUUUUAAUCUUCUGUGUUAAUUCCAAUGUAAAAAAUGGAAUAUUCUAAACGAUGGGUUUAAAAUAUAAAUUUUUAGUAUUGACUGAAUUGCAAGUACGGAGUUUACAAUUCAAAUUGGAAAAAUAUGUUAAAUUAAUUGUGAAAAAAAAAUCAUUACUCAAAGAGUCAAGCGGUCUUGUUUGAAUAGUUGAUUUUUAUUAAAUAUUUUUCGCUGUUUUCACAAAUUUGUGUGCAAUUUCGUAGUUAUAUAUAUUGAGAAUUUCGUCAUUAAAUUUGUCUACUUUGUCUUUUACGAUGAUUCAAAUGACUUUUCAAUGCUCUCAGUGUAUCAAAUAUAUCAUAUGAUUUUAUGUAUUAUUUCUCAAGUCAAUUAUUUUACUGCUAUUUUAUGGAUCGUUGAAAAUAUGAUCAACAUGCCUUUUUUUUUCUCCAUGCAUGAAUGAUGACAUUAUGUUAGUGAACAGUUUACUAUCUCUAUAUAAUGUAUAUUAAUAAAUGUUUUUGGUGAAUUAUAAGUGGAGGCAAAAUUUUAAUAGUAAUGCGAUUAGCACGAUUCAAACUUAAGUCAUAAUUGGAGCAAUGAAUAACAUGACCAUUAGGCCAACACAUAGGUUCAUAUAUUAAUUGUAGCGACCUAAAAAUUUGGAGUACGGGCGCUAAUUGAAGUGAUUAUUAAAAAUUUGAAAAUUGAAUCUCGACUUUAUUUGAAAAGGAGUCGCCACCGAUCUUUUUUUCAGGUGUGAUCGGACACCUACAAAAUUCUCUUUUCAGAAGAAAAAUUUAUUUUUAAACUUUUCUAAAAAAGAGGCAAUUUUAGGUCCACGUAAAAAUCCAGAGAAAAUUAGGGUUCGGGAGUCGGUUACGCGCGAGGAAGGUAUUAGCACCCUCGCGACGCCCAAAAUUGGUAUCUCGUAAAACGCGCGUUGUCUUAAUUUUCCAAAAUACAAGUUCAAUUUAAUAUUUAAUUGUGAUCCGAUUGAAACUUGAGAAAACCCUUUUUUUUGUUUUUAAACACGAGAAAUUUGAAACAAAAUAAUAAUUUUUUAAAACACGAAGAUUUUUGAAACACGAAAAUUUUUUGAAAACACGAAAACACAAAAUAUUUUUAACACGGGAAUUUUUGAAAACACGACAGUUUUUUUUUAAACACGAAAAUUUUUUGAAAACACAGAAAUUUUUUGAAAACAAGGAAAUUUUAGAUACAUGAGAAUUCUUUGACACGAAAAAUUUUGAAAACAUGAGAAUUCCGAAAACAUGAAUUUUUUAAAACAUGUAAUUUUUUAAAAAACACGAGAAUUUUUUGAAAACACGAAAACAUGAAAAUUUUGAAAACACAGGCAAUUUUUUAAAACACGAAAAUUUCUGAAAGACGGGAGUUUUUUUUGUUUUUUGUUUUAUUUUAAAACACGAAAAUUUUUCAUUUGAAAACGCGAAAAUUUUUUCAUUUUAAAACGCGAAUUUUUUUUUAAAACACGAAAACUUUUGAAAACGCGAAAAGUCGAAAAUUCCUAAAAUACGAGUAAUUUUUAAAGACACGAAAAUUUGAAACACGAAAUUUUUUUUAAAACGUACCGUAUUUAACACGAAUCGAUGAUGUUCACCCCAACAUGGCGAUGAAAUCGACGAAUUAAUGUCAAACCAAUUCAACUUAAUAUUUAAUCAGAAUUCCAUUAAAACACGAGGAUUUUUUUUAAAUACGAGGAUUUUUGAACAUUUUUUUUAAAAGGACGUCCCGAAUUUAACACGAGCUAUCGAUAUCCACCCAUCAUAGCGAUGAAAUCAAUAGCUUGAUGCUAAAUCGGUUCAUUGCCUUAUGCAUUAAAAUAAUUUUUAUUUUAAACAUGCAAAUAAAAUGACAUAAUAAUAUUUAUAAAACUAUUCUAAAAAUGUAAAUUUAAAUUAAAUGAAACACCAUUUAAAUAUAUGAGUUAAAUUAAAAUGGCUUUAAAAAAAAUUUACCAAAAGCCCAAAAUUGUGGGCUUGAAGAAUAGGCCCUCUUCUCUUUGCUUCUUUUUUUUUGUUGGGCUGCUACUUGCGGGCUGCAAGGAAAUGGGCUGAAUCUGUUGGACUAUUGCGCUGGGCCUGCUAAUGAACUGGAGCUGCACGGGUGGGCCACUGCUGGUGGGCUACUGCUGGUCCACCAAAACUAGCCUGCUGUUUUUUAUUUUUUAUUUUUUAUUUUUUAUUUCUUUUUUCUCUCUUUUUCUUCCUCUUUUUUCUUCUUCUCUUCUUCUUGUCUCAAAGUCUUGGCCCUUCUUUUUCACCGCCGUCGGUGUCUCCUGGGUACGGUGGUUGGACGGUCGCCGGCGUUCUCCUUUCCCUCCUCUCUUCUUCUUCUUUCUACUUUACUUUUUUUUGCUUGCUUACUGCUAUUUUCCUUUCUUUUGUUUAUGCUUGCACAUUUCUUAGCUUGACUUCGGCGAGGAGCAACGAUGAUCGUUGCACGGCGAUCGUGGUGGCGUGUGUACGGUGGCGGUGAGCGUGGGAUCGGCCCAUGGGAGUAUUUUUUUUUGCUGCUGGAAUUUUCUGCUAUUUUUUUUGCUUUUGGUUGCCGAAAAAUCCCCCCCCUUCUCUUCAAUUUUUCUUUUUUAAAAGCUCCAAAUUUUGUCCUCUUUCUCUUUGUUUUCAGGUGGCAGCGGAGAGGGGAGGCCUGAAAAUCUAGGAAGUGGGUGCCCCAAAUAACGUAACCUGUCUGAAGGACCAAAUCACAAAUGCAGCAAAACUUCUGGGGCUAAAUGUAAUUUUUAGAAAAUUUAGGAUUAAAAUGAAAUUUAAUGAAAUUUUAGGGGUCUAAGUGAAAUUUAAAGAAAGUUUAAGGGUCAAAAUGAAAUUUAGGAAAAGUUUGGGGGUCAAAAUGCAAUUUUUAUUUUUUAAUUUUUUUUUUUGAAAUUUUGAAAAUUAAACACAAAUUCUAGUCGGACAAAAAUUUAGUGCUUACAACUGCCCCUCUUUGCUCAUCAUUGUGAAACAAGGAUAGUGCAAAGACUUAAAAGCACUAAAUUUUGUUCAAUUGUCCAAUCUUUAUUCUUUACUCGGCAUGUGAUCCUGAGCUCAACUCAUUUCUCGCAAUAUGAAUUGACUCUUUAAAACUAGACAUUAAAAAUAGAAAUUGAAAAUAGCUCAGCACGUGAGCCAAGGCUCAACUCACUUCUCGCAAUAUGAGUUGAUUUUUGAAAACAGAAUUUGCAAAAGGCUCAACUCACCUCUCGCAAUAUGAGUUGAUUUUUUUGAAAAAUAGAAAAAGGCUCAACUUACCUCUCGCAAUAUGAGUUGGUUUUUGAAAAAUAGAAAUUAAAAGGCUCAACUCACCUCUCGCAAUAUGAGUUGAUUUUUGAAAAACAGAAAUUGAAAAGUAGAAAUUGAAAAUACCUCAGCGUGCCCUGAGGCUCAACUCACCUCUUGCAAUAUGAGUUGAUUUUUUUUUUGAAACACAGAAAUUAAAAAAAAAUAGAAAUUAAAAACAGAAUUUGAAAAGACCUCAGCGUGUGGCCUGAGACUCAACUCACCUCUUGCAAUAUGAGUUGAUUUGAAAAGUAGAAUUAGUAAGCAGAAAUUGAAAAUACCUCAGCGUGCCUUGAGGCUCAACUCACCUCUCGCAAUAUAAGUUGAUUUUUGAAAAGUAUAGAUUGAAAAAAACAUAAAUUGAAAAUACCUCAGCAUGUGAGCCGAGGCUCAACUCACCUCUUGCAAUAUGAGUUGAUUUUUGAAAAACAAAAAUUAAAAGGCUUAACUCACCUCUCGCAAUAUGAGUCAAUUUAAAACAUAAACUAAAAAUACAUCGGCGUGCCCCGAGGCUCAACUCAUUUCUUGCAAUAUGAGUUGAUUUUUUUUUUAAAUUUAAAAAUACCUCAACGUGUCUUGAGGCUCAACUCAUUUCUCGCAAUAUGAGUUGAUUUUGAAAAACAAAAAUUAAAAGGCUUAACUCACCUCUCGCAAUAUUAGUCAAUUUAAAACAUAAACUAAAAGUACCUCGGCGUGCCCCGAGGCUCAACUCACUUCUCGCAAUAUAAGUUGAUUUUUUAAAAAAUUUAAAAAUACCGCAACGUGUCUUGAGGCUCAACUCAUUUCUCGCAAUAUGAGUUGAUUUUGAAAAACAAAAAUUAAAAGGCUUAACUCACCUCUCGCAAUAUGAGUCAAUUUAAAACAUAAACUAAAAAUACCUCGGCGUGCCCCGAGGCUCAACUCACUUCUCGCAAUAUGAGUUGAUUUUUUUAAAAAAUUUAAAAAUACCUCAACGUGUCUUGAGGCUCAACUCAUUUCUCGCAAUAUGAGUUGAUUUUGAAAAACAAAAAUUAAAAGGCUUAACUCACCUCUCGCAAUAUGAGUCAAUUUAAAACAUAAACUAAAAAUACCUCGGCGUGCCCCGAGGCUCAACUCACUUCUCGCAAUAUGAGUUGAUUUUUUUAAAAAAUUUAAAAAUACCUCAACGUGUCUUGAGGCUCAACUCAUUUCUCGCAAUAUGAGUUGAUUUUGAAAAACAAAAAUUAAAAGGCUUAACUCACCUCUCGCAAUAUGAGUCAAUUUAAAACAUAAACUAAAAAUACCUCAGCGUGCCCCGAGGCUCAACUCACUUCUCGCAAUAUGAGUUGAUUUUUUUAAAAAAUUUAAAAAUACCUCAACGUGUCUUGAGGCUCAACUCAUUUCUCGCAAUAUGAGUUGAUUUUCCUUGGAAAGCAUGAAUAUUAAACAUCAAAAUACCAAAACCAGUCCUUUGGUAGAACUCGGGUAUCUUUUCCUUUGAUUCAGUGCGACUCUCAUUCAAGAUUUCUUGCUUUACUGGAUUACCUGUAUAUGCCAUGCAUGAUGUCAUCAUGAUAUGCACAUGUUUGUCUUAAAUGCCUUUAUGCCUACAUGAUUAUGCAGUGCUCCUUAAGCAUAUUGGUCGUAUGUCAUUUUCGCCAUGAUUGUUGAGGAUCUGCGUUCAUUGCUUUGAUUCUCGACCUUCUCUUCAGGCCUCAUACCUGUCUUCGAGCUUUACGAGUAAUCGACGUUUCUCAGAUAUCACCCUUUUUGCCCUUGGUUAAACUUUGUUCUUGCUUUGAAGAUCUUGCACUUAUCAAAUUCUUAUCCGGGUAAUGCUUGACAUUUCUUUUGUUUAGAGUAUGUCAUUUCACUAUUUAUCAUUAAAUAAACACAUAAUGAGAUGCAUGAAAAUGGUCAGGUAGGGACACAAAGGAUAUCUCAUAUUCCUUUAUUUCAAGUGUGGCAAACAAAGAAAGUUAACCAAUGAGAGUAAAAAUGUCAAAAAGAAAGAAAAUGUCGUAUUCAACGGAUACAAAUGCUCUAGAUAUUCAACACAUGAACUCUUCCACGUUCCUCAAUCAAUAAUCUUUUCGAGCAUGGCUUCUUGCGUAGAAAAUUUCGAGCUUUCAGAAGUGCUUCAAAUACUGUAGUCUCACUACUUGACCUAUCAUUCGACCGCCAGGUUUGUUUCAUUAGGACGCCCUCUCGGGUUUUCAUCCUAAUCUUUUUGUACUAAUCAAUACGCCCUUUUCGGGUUUUCGCCCUUUUUUUUUAGAUGCCCUUUUCGGGUUUUCAUCUUAAGCAUAAUAUUUCUUCACCGCAUCCGAAUUCACCGGAUUCGGUAACUCCUUCCCAUCCAUCUCGGUAAGGAUUAAAGCUCCUCCUGAGAAUGCCUUUUUUACAACGUAUGGUCCUUCCUAAUUUGGUGCCCAUUUUCCUCGCAGGUCUUUUUGUAUUGGGAGAAUCUUUCUCAGAACGACUUCUCCUUCAUGGAACUCUCUUGGUCGUACCUUCUUGUCAUGGGCUGUGAUCAUUCUCUUUUGGUACAUUUGCCCAUGACAAAUUGCCCUUAGACGUUUUUCUUCAAUGAGGUUCAACUGAUCAUAUCGAGCUCGAACCCAUUCUGCUUCUUCUAACUUUGAUUCCAUCAAUACUCGCAGAGAGGGGAUCUCAACCUCGAUAGGUAGCACAGCUUCCAUUCCAUAGACUAGAGCGAAAGGAGUUGCUCCCGUAGAUGUUCGCACAGAUGUGCGAUAUGCAAACAAAGCAAAUGGAAGUUUCUCGUGCCAAUCUUUAUAUGUCUCAGUCAUUUUCCCAAUGAUCCUCUUAAUGUUCUUGUUAGCUGCUUCAACAACCCCAUUCAUCUUUGGGCGAUAGGGCGAGGAAUUAUGAUGCUUUAUUUAGAACUGCUCGCACACUUCUUUCAUCAUCUUAUUGUUCAGAUUCGUGGCAUUAUCUGAGAUGAUUCUUUCAGGCAAACCAUAUCGGCAAAUGAUUUCCUUUUUCAAAAACUUGCACACUGCAGUCUUCGUCACAUUGGCAAACGAAGCGGCUUCAAUCCAUUUUGUGAAGUAAUCGAUAACCACAAAAAUGAAUCGAUGUCCAUUUGAAGCUUUUGGAGAAAUUGGCCCUAUGACAUCCAUGCCCCACAUAGAAAAAGGCCACGGAGAAGUCAUGACAUGAAGGGGUGAAGGGGCUACAUGAAUUUUAUCGCCGUAGAUUUGACAUUUGUGGCAUUUUCUGGCAAAAUUGAUGCAGUCACUUUCCAUUGUCAGCCAAUAAUAACCGAGUCUCAUGAUCUUUCUGGCCAUAUUGAAACCAUUGGCAUGCGUUCCGCAAAUUCCCUCAUGGACCUCUUCAAGUAUUUUUCUGGUUUCAACAUCAUCCACACAUCUCAAAAGCAUCUGAUCCUUUCCUCUUUUAUACAGGAUAUCCCCAUCAAGAACAAAUCCCACUGCCAUUCUUCUAAUUGUUCUUUUAUCGUUCUCAUUCACUUGUUCGGGAUACCUUUGAUUCUUGAUAUAUUCUAAGAUAUCAUGGAACCAAGGCCGUCUGUCUACUUUUUUCUCAAUGCUACAACAGUGUGCAGGGACCUCGUAUAUGCUCAUUUUGAGGGGCAUUAUUUCUGCUUCUCUACUUGCUUUGAACAUUGAAGCCAAAGUGGCUAGGGCAUCAGCCAGUUGGUUCUCUUCUCGUGGGAAGUAAUGAAAAGUUAUUUCUUUGAAUUCCUUGAUCAAUCCAGCCACUAAAUCGCUGUACUUAAUCAAUUUUGAGUCCCUCACUUCCCAUUCUCCACGGAUUUGGUAAAUCACUAGGGCUGAGUCCCCGUACACCUCCAAGAUCUUGAUGUUUCGUUCGAUAGCUGCACGAAGCCCCAUGAUACAGGCCUCAUAUUCUGCGAUAUUAUUGGUACAGAAGAAGUUCAGUCUUGCAGUGAACGGAUAAUGAUUCCCGUCUGGUGAUACCAGGAUUGCUCCAAUUCCAUGCCCUAAAGCAUUUGACGCACCAUCAAAGCACAUCUUCCAUGACUUCUCUUUUGAUGACUCGGAUUCUAUUUCUGUGAUGCACAUUAAGUCUUCGUCUGGGAAAUCGAAUCUUAAAGGCUCAUAUUCCUCUGUCGUUCGAGUUGCUAAGAAGUCAUCUAUUGCGCUCCCUUUUAUUGACUUCUGACUUACAUAGGCAAUGUCAUAUUCCGAAAGGAGGAGCUGCCAUCGUGCCAUUCUUCCUGAUAGUGCCGGCGAUUCCAUCAUGUAUUUUAUUGGGUCCAGCUUUGAAAUUAGCCAUGUCGUGUGAUACAACAUAUAUUGUCUGAGUCUCCGAACUACCCAAACCAGAGCGCAACAAUAUUUCUCAACGGACGAAUAUUUUGCCUCAUAUUCAGUGAACUUUUUGCUGAGGUAGUAGAUCGCCUUUUCUUUCUUUCCUGACUCGUCAUGUUGUCCCAGUACGCAACCCAUUCAACUUUCGAACACUGUCAGAUACAAAAUUAAUGGUCUUCCUGGAGUUGGCGGUACUAGCACUGGAGGACUGGACAAAUAUUGUUUUAUCUUAUCAAAGGUCACUUGGCAUUCCUCGUUCCAUUCUCCCGGGUUAUGUUUUCGAAGAAGCCGAAAGAUUGGGUCGCAUUGGUUGGUAAGUUGAGCGAUAAAUCGGGCGAUGUAAUUUAAUCUCCCUAAAAAUCCUCUAACUUCCUUUUGCGUGCGCGGAGGUGGUAAUUCUUGGAUGGCUUUUAUUUUAUCUGGAUCAACUUCGAUACCUCUUUCACUGACAAUGAAGCCUAGUAACUUUCCCGAGGUAGCCCCGAAUGUACAUUUGGCUGGAUUAAGCUUUAGCUGAAACUUUCUCAGCCUUUCGAACAACUUCUUGAGGUUCAUUACAUGCUCUUCUUCUCCUCGAGAUUUAGCAAUCAUAUCAUCGAUGUAGACCUCUAUUUCUUUAUGCAUCAUGUCAUGGAAUAACGUCACCAUAGCCCUCUGAUAUGUUGCCCCAGCAUUCUUUAACCCGAAUGGCAUCACCUUGUAGCAGAACGUUCCCCAUAUUGUUAUGAAGGUAGUUUUCUCCAUAUCCUCAGAAGCCAUCUUGAUCUGAUUAUACCCCGAGAAUCCAUCCAUGAAAGAAAACAAUGAAUGUUUUGCUGUGUUGUCCACCAACGUGUCAAUAUGUGGCAAGGGAAAAUUAUCUUUUGGGCUUGCUCGAUUCAGGUCACGAUAAUCCACGCACAUUCGUACUUUUCCAUCUUUCUUUGGUACCGGGACUAUGUUAGCCACCCAUUCUGGAUAUUUGGAGGCUUGUAGGAAGCCAGCGUCAAAUUGCUUCUUGACUUCCUCUUUUAUUUUCAACAGCAUUUCGGGCCUCAUCCGUCUUAAUUUUUGCUGGAUGGGCUUGCAUUCUGGCUUUAAUGGGAGCUUAUGGACCACUAAAUCUUCUUCUAGCCCUGGCAUGUCCUGGUAUGACCACGCGAAAACAUCUUUGUAUUCGCGGAGUAAAGUGAUCAAACUACGCCUGGUACUUUCUGAAAUAGAAGUCCCAAUCUUCACUUCUUGUUUCCUCUCUUCAGUGCUCAAAUUUAUUGUUUCUACAGAUUCUUCAUGAGGCAGAACCUGUUUAUCCUCUUGUUCCACCAUUCUUAACAAUUCAGGAGACGAGACAUAAUCUUCAGCAUUUUCUUCGGCUUCAAAUUCUCCUAAGCAAACAGCCUUCUCAACAUCAAUUUCAAGAUUCGUAACGGGCUUAUUCAUGUCGUCAAUAUCUGAGCAGCUAAAAGUUGAAUGGAAAAGGAAGCUAUCGGAGGACAUCCAAGUAUUGGAAACAACAAACAAAAUGUUAUGUCAUGGCAAUGAGGCAAAUGUAAGGAUAGGCUAUGAAAUGAGAAAAUGAUUAUGAAAUUAGUGAUAAUGCAAAAAAUCAUGACAAAAUACAUCUUCAUUGAAAUUCAUUUAAAUGAUAAAGAGCGAAUGCAAACUCUUACAAAAGAACUCUAUUAUAUCUAAGGACACAAUAGAAGGUUGAUGUUUGGCAUUACUCUGAAGGCUUAUAAACUACAAGAAGCUCCUCAGCAAUCCAAUUGUUCAACAUGAAACCAGGAGGGCAAGGGCGUAUCCUCGAGACAUCUUUACUUGCACCAGCUUCUUUGUCAAUGACAUUUAUACUAGCAUUCUGAAAAUCCUUUUCAAUUAAUCCCAGCAUGUUUCGUGGAUCCUCUUGUCCAGGGUACAUCAUUCCCGCAGAUGUAAAUGUUUUUGACAAAGGAGGGUACUCUAUUGGUUCCCAUUCUGGUUCUCGGCCCAAAGUUCUUGCAAUUCUUCUCUCUUGAUCCUUCUUCCACUGUCUUCUUCUUUGGCGCAUGUCAGGCUGGAACCCCAAACUGUAUCGGGCCUUGUGGUGCACUGGCUUUAAAGCCCUCACUAUUCCUUGCAGAUGUCUCCCUAAACCUCUUCUCGCACGAGCUCCCCUUCCUACAGUCAACUUGACACCCAUUCUGGUAUUUCUCGACAGUUUUGGCAUCGAAAUUCUAUUUCCUUCAACGACGAAAAUGGCAUUGAUGAAUUCAAGGGAUCGAAAGGAACAUUCCAUUGCAUCCUUGCUUACUUCCAGGUAUGGCGCAUCAGCAGAGAUAGAUGCGAUGAUGUCUUCUUCGCCCUCGACUGUGACCAAACAGCCAUCCAUGAUGAAUUUCACUUUUUGAUGGAGGGAUGAUGGGACUGCUCCAGCAGAAUGAAUCCAAGGUCUUCCCAAAAGGCAGUUAUAAGAGGGUGUAAUGUCCAUGACUUGGAAUUCGACCUCAUAGAUGUAGGGGCCCACUUCUAAAGGGAUUUCGAUCUUUUCCAUGACUUCACGCCUCGUCCCGUCGAAUACACUUACCGUGGAAUGACAGGGCUUUAAGUAGGACAAAUCUAUCGGUAUUCUGGAAAGUGUAGCCAAUGGCAUAACAUUUAAUGCUGACCCAUUAUCAAUGAGUACGUUCGGUAUUAUGUAGCCCUUGCAGUGGGUCGUGAUAUGCAGCGCUUUCACCGAACCUCUACCAUUUAGCGGUAUCUCAUCAUCACUAAAAGAGAUGAAGUUGUCCGCAUUCAGAUUGUUUACCCACCUAUCAAGCUUUUCGACAGAUAUGUUGUUGGCCACGUAAGCUUGAUUUAACACCUUCAAUAAAGCGUUCCGGUGUGGCUCUGAAUUUAACAGUAGAGAUAGAAUUGAGAUUCGUGCUGGCUGCUUGCUCAGUUGUUCCACCACACUAUAUUCGCUGUGCUUAAUAAAUUUCAAGAAUUCUUGAGCUUCUUCCUCAUUCACAGGCUUUUUAGUUUCUUGCACGGGUGGAAUUUCUUGCUCGACUUCGACCUCGUGCAUCACUGCUUUCCCUUUUUGCUUCGAGUCGCUACUUUUCUUUACCGGUUCAACUUUUUAGAAUAGCAUCGUCCACUUCGAGUAAAAUGACCUACCUCCCCAACAUCUUCAAUUAUGGCUUUGGACUUUUCAACUUCCGGUGUAACGAUAUUAACAUCAUAUCUCCACGGUACUGUUUUGUUGUCCUUAUACGGGAAAGGAGAUGGUACUUCAAUUACCAUCUGUGGUUUCAAUGGCUCUCUCAUCGCGUCGUAAUAAAUUACCAACGGUCGAUCAGCACUAUAAGGGGGCCCUGAUGAUUGGCUAUCAGAGACGCAUACUUCUCUUUCGUUGGCAUCUUCAUUCUUGUUAAGGACCUUGAUCUCCUUAUUAUUCAUCUGGUCUUGAAGUAACCUUUUAAAGUCCUCGCACGACUGAAUGUCGUGCCCAAAAAUCCUAUGAAAAUUGCAAAAACUUUGACCUUCUUCUCCAAAAACUCUAUCAGAGUGACAGAGCAAUCCUUUCUUAACUAAUACCUCCCAGAUUUUCUGCAGAGGCGUCCUUAUUUCUGCCACACAUCUUCUGACCUUCCAUUCAUCCACUUUCCCCACUAUGCUCACAUCCCUUUCGAUAUGGUUAGGGAAUGGGUUCCCAGUUGCAUUACUGGCACUAUCGAAUCAUAGGAUACCUGCAUCAAUGAGUCCUUGAACUCUUCUCUUAAAGGCUAGGCAGUUUUUAGUGGAAUGCCCCUGGUUUCCCGUAUGGUAUGCACAACUAGCGAAUUGUAUGUUUUAACCUCAGCGAACGAGUAUGGAAUAUGCAAUGAAUGAAUGAAUGCAUGAAUGUCAAAUGACUGUUAGUCAUGAAAGAAAUGCAAGAAAUUGGUGUUAAUUUCAAGAUAGCCCCUAUUUAGGCAUUUCCUUAAUCAAAAGAGUCUAUUACACAACGUUUCGGUCACUCGUGUAAUUGACUCCUCUAUCAAAAACCCCUUUUUGGCAACCAAUCUCUAAUCAACCCUUUCCUAACAAGAUGUAUAUGAUGCAUGAUGAAAAAUAGAAAUACAGACAAACAACAUUGGUUAGCAAAACACAUAUGAUCAGAGAAAAAUUGUGGAAAAUCUAACAAAUUAAGCUACUUGGUCCAAUGGACUCGAUUCCCUUGCAUAGAAAGCGAAAGUGCAAAAGGUAAGAGGCGUUCCUCCCGUGCACUUAUUUUGGUGACUACUAAACGGACUGAGGUUCAGCAUGGCUCUAGUUAGGUGGCUCGUAUGGUUCAUUAUAUGCGGUUUUGGUUCUAGAUAGGUACUCGAAUUGCCCGUACUAUCAUCUACUAAGAUUAACACGGAGCCUCGGUCAUAGCCUAUCACAGGCUCACGAGUUCAAUUCGAGGGGUUACAUUUACUUAUGCCUAUGCGGAGGGACAAGUUAACUCACGAAAGCAUAAAUCAUAUGUAACCCGAAAGUAUUCACUAGCCUGUGCGGAGGGACGAGUUAACUCACAAAGGCGUAGCGUUUACUUUCACUUAAACGGACGGAGCCCGGGUAGAGAGCUCAUGUUAUGCGAAAAUGCAAGUGCACGGUGUGUGGGGAACAACUCAUAAACCUUUACGUUUCACUUAAAGAAACUAAACCAAAAUUAAAACCAUAAAAAUUAAAAACUGAAAAACAACCAAAUAAGCAAGUUAGAAGAAAUAUUUACAGCACGAUACAAAUGCAUGAAUUUUGAAAACGAGAUUUUCGGAUCACGACCAAAUAUUUACUUUGAACAAGGAAAUUUAAAAAUUUUGACAAAACGUGUUUAAUUCCAGACACGACUCUCAAAAAGGCUUUCCCCAGUGGAGUCGCCAGCUAUAGCGACCUAAAAAUUUGGAGUACGGGCGCUAAUUGAAGUGAUUAUUAAAAAUUUGAAAAUUGAAUCUCGACUUUAUUUGAAAAGGAGUCACCACCGAUCUUUUUUCCAGGUGUGAUCGGACACCUACAAAAUUCUCUUUUCAGAAGAAAAAUUUAUUUUUAAACUUUUCUAAAAAAGAGGCAAUUUUAGGUCCACGUAAAAAUCCAGAGAAAAUUAGGGUUCGGGAGUCGGUUACGCGCGAGGAAGGUAUUAGCACCCUCGCGACGCCCAAAAUUGGUAUCUCGUAAAACGCGCGUUGUCUUAAUUUUCCAAAAUACAAGUUCAAUUUAAUAUUUAAUUGUGAUCCGAUUGAAACUUGAGAAAACCCUUUUUUGUUUUUAAACACGAGAACUUUGAAACAAAAUAAUAAUUUUUGAAAACACGAAGAUUUUUGAAACACGAAAAUUUUUUGAAAACACGAAAACACAAAAUAUUUUUAACACGGGAAUUUUUGAAAACACGACAGUUUUUUUUUAAACACGAAAUUUUUUUGAAAACACAGAAAUUUUUUGAAAACAAGGAAAUUUUAGAUACAUGAGAAUUCUUUGACACGAAAAAUUUUGAAAACAUGAGAAUUCCGAAAACAUGAAUUUUUUAAAACAUGAAAAUUUUUAAAAAACACGAGAAUUUUUUGAAAACACGAAAACAUGAAAAUUUUGAAAACACAGGCAAUUUUUGAAAACACGAAAAUUUCUGAAAGACGGGAGUUUUUUUUGUUUUUUGUUUUAUUUUAAAACACGAAAAUUUUUCAUUUGAAAACACGAAAAUUUUUUCAUUUUAAAACGCGAAUUUUUUUUAAAACACGAAAACUUUUGAAAACACGAAAAGUCGAAAAUUCCUAAAAUACGAGUAAUUUUUAAAGACACGAAAAUUUGAAACACGAAAUUUUUUUUUAAAACGUACCGUAUUUAACACGAAUCGAUGAUGUUCACCCCAACAUGGCGAUGAAAUCGACGAAUUAGUGUCAAACCAAUUCAACUUAAUAUUUAAUCGGAAUUCCAUUAAAACACGAGGAUUUUUUUUUAAAUACGAGGAUUUUUGAACUUUUUUUUAAAAGGACGUCUCGAAUUUAACACGAGCUAUCGAUAUCCACCCAUCAUAGCGAUGAAAUCAAUAGCUUGAUGCUAAAUCGGUUCAUUGCCUUAUGCAUUAAAAUAAUUUUUAUUUUAAACAUGCAAAUAAAAUGACAUAAUAAUAUUUAUAAAACUAUUCUAAAAAUGUAAAUUUAAAUUAAAUGAAACACCAUUUAAAUAUAUGAGUUAAAUUAAAAUGGCUUUAAAAAAAAUUACCAAAAGCCCAAAAUUGUGGGCUUGAAGAAUAGGCCCUCUUCUCUUUGCUUCUUUUUUUUUUUGUUGGGCUGCUACUUGCGGGCUGCAAGGAAAUGGGCUGAAUCUGUUGGACUAUUGCGCUGGGCCUGCUGAUGAACUGGAGCUGCACGGGUGGGCCACUGCUGGUGGGCUGCUGCUAGUCCACCAAAACUAGCCUACUGUUUUUUAUUUUUUAUUUUUUUUAUUUUUUCUCUCUUUUUCUUCCUCUUUUUUCUUUUUUCUUAUUCUCUUCUUCUUGUCUCAAAGCCUUGGCCCUUCUUUUUCACCGCCGUCGGUGUCUCCUGGGUGCGGUGGUUGGACGGUCGCCGGCGUUCUCCUUUCCCUCCUCUCUUCUUCUUCUUUCUUCACUUCUUUCUACUUUACUUUUUUUUUUUGCUUGCUUGCUGCUAUUUUCCUUUCUUUUGUUUAUGCUUGCACAUUUCUUAGCUUGACUUCGGCGAGGAGCAACGAUGAUCGUUGCACGGCGAUCGUGUUGCCGUGUGUACGGCGGCGGUGAGCGUGGGAUCGGCCCAUGGGAGUAUUUUUUUUGCUGCUGGAAUUUUCUGCUAUUUUUUUUGCUUUUGGUUGCCGAAAAAUCCCCCCCUUCUCUUCAAUUUUUCUUUUUUAAAAGCUCCAAAAUUUGUCCUCUUUCUCUUUGUUUUCAGGUGGCAGCGGAGAGGGGAGGCCUGAAAAUCUGGGAAGUGGGUGCCCCAAAUAACGUAACCUGUCUGAAGGACCAAAUCACAAAUGCAGCAAAACUUCUGGGGCUAAAUGUAAUUUUUAGAAAAUUUAGGAUUAAAAUGAAAUUUAAUGAAAGUUUAGGGGUCUAAGUGAAAUUUAAAGAAAGUUUAAGGGUCAAAAUGAAAUUUAGGAAAAGUUUGGGGGUCAAAAUGAAAUUUUUAUUUUUAAAAUUUUUUUUUUGAAAUUUUGAAAAUUAAACACAAAUUCUAGUCGGACAAAAAUUUAGUGCUUACAUUAAUAAUUUUUAAAUACCUAAUUUUCCUUAAUAUAGGUAAACCUCGCAAUUUUGAUUUCUAACUCAAAAUUUAACUUGAUAAAUUUAAAAUAAAAUUUAUUUUAUUUUUAUUUAAUCAUAAAAAUUUAAAAUUUUAAACUUAAAUUGAUUCAAAUUCAAAAUAUAGGGGCUGGCUCUGCACCCUAAAAUGAUAAGUUUAUGUUUUAGUGUUUUAAAUUUUAUAAAUUAUAAAAAUUAGUACAUGGUAAAAAUCUCACUUUGGCUUUCAAUAAUAAUAAAAUUUUGAUUUAAUCCUUAAUUAAUUAUAAAGAUGUAAACUAUUAAAAUGGUGAAAUUACAUUUUAUCUCUCGUAAAAACUUUACAACUUAAAUAAGAGUAAAUAGAUCCAAAAACCUCAAGCAACCAAAAAUUAUUUGAAUCCAAAGCUCCUUUAAAUAUAAAAACUAUGUAAACAAAUUUGUUUUAUGUUUAUAUAUAUUUUUUAACAAUUUUAUUAUAGAUUCUGAUUGUAUAUGCUCUUUUUGACAUAAUGCUUAAAAUUACUCAUAACCCCUCCCCAACCCAUAAAUAGAAGGAUAAUGCGCUUAAGAGCACUCGAAACUAAAUCCUCUUACAUUGACAAUAAUACGUAUACCAAUCAAGAUUACAUUUUUUAUUAAGCUAAAAAUGAUUAAUUAAUUGUAUAUUUUUUUUUAAUGUGAUCCAACACCAUAUGAAUGAAACAAAUGAAUGCAUCAGCUCAAAAUGACUGAUGAAAGACGUAAGAACUAUUAAAAUCUAUAUAAUAGAACAAUUAAAAAAAAAGAUUGCAGAUAGCUUGCACAUCAAGCCUACUAUGUUUGAUUUUUAAUUUAAAUUUCUUAUCAUUCAUUUUCGACAUUUGAUUAUGAUAUUUAAUUUCGUUGUCUUGUAGUGUUUUUUUCCCAAGGAAUAUUCAAUUAAUGUUUGCCAAUUUAUAUCUCAAGAUAACGACUAUGAUUUGAAAUAAAAUUAUAUAGAUGCAUGCAAAUCUCCCCUUGUUUUCUAUUAAUCAUUUAGUUUUGGCAUAAUAAUUUUUUGGCCCUCCAACUUCACAAAACAAGUCAAUUUAGCCCUCCAUUAAAAUUUUCGCUUCUUUUAACAUUUGAAUUUGUAUUUUUUGUCAAGCCACUCCAAAGUAGAUGGAGAAAUUAAUAUUUAUUAACUUUCCUGACGUGUUAUACAUGUGGAUUGCUGAUUAGAUGACAUGUUAGCAUUUAAUUCAUCUCUAAACUAUUAAAAAUAUAUUUUUUUUAUUUUUUAAUAAUUUUGAAUAUUUUAAUAAUUUUUCAUUUUUAAAAAUAAUUUUAUAAUAUUUUAAAUUUUUUAAAUUUUAAAAAAUUAAUUAAAUGUUGGCAUGUCAUCCCCAUAACAGUCCACAUUUAUACAACAUCAACAAAGUUAAAAUGUUGAACUUUUCCAUUCAUUUUGAGGUGAUUUGACAAAAAUGUAAAUUUAAGGACUUAAAAGAUAAAAAAAUUAAAUGAAAACUAAAAUGACUUUUUUUAUAAAAUUAAAAGGAUAAAAAAAAUUAAUGCCUUUUAACUUUUUUUUAAUUUAUAAUUACUAGAAUGAGCAAAUGAGCACCCCCUUUCACUUUCACUGGGGCUGCUAUAAAUUUUAUUAUAAUUUAGUCAAUUGAUAGUGAAAAACAAUUUUAAGAUGAAAUAAUUAUUUUUGUUAAAAAUUUUAUUUUUAAAAUUUAAUAAUAUGACUGUAGCGACCUAAAAAUUUGGAGUACGGGCGCUAAUUGAAGUGAUUAUUAAAAAUUUGAAAAUUGAAUCUCGACUUUAUUUGAAAAGGAGUCGCCACCGAUCUUUUUUCCAGGUGUGAUCGGACACCUACAAAAUUCUCUUUUCAGAAGAAAAAUUUAUUUUUAAACUUUUCUAAAAAAGAGGCAAUUUUAGGUCCACGUAAAAAUCCAGAGAAAAUUAGGGUUCGGGAGUCGGUUACGCGCGAGGAAGGUAUUAGCACCCUCGCGACGCCCAAAAUUGGUAUCUCGUAAAACGCGCGUUGUCUUAAUUUUCAAAAAUACAAGUUCAAUUUAAUAUUUAAUUGUGAUCCGAUUGAAACUUGAGAAAACCCUUUUUUUGUUUUUAAACACGAGAACUUUGAAACAAAAUAAUAAUUUUUGAAAACACGAAGAUUUUUGAAACACGAAAUUUUUUUUGAAAACACGAAAACACAAAAUUUUUUUAACACGGGAAUUUUUGAAAACACGACAGUUUUUGAAACAUGAGAAUUUUUUUAAAACACAAAAUUUUAUUUUGAAAACACAAAAAUUUUGAUAAAUUAUGAAACACGAGGAUUUUUUUUUGAAACGCGGAAGUUUAUGAAACAAUGUCAAUUUUUUGAAAACACGAAAAUUUUUGAAAGACGAGAAUUUUUUUGAAAACACGGAGAUUUAUAAAACACGAAAGUUUUUUUUUGAAAACAAGAAAAUUUUCAAAAUACGAGAAUUUUUGAAAACAGGGGAAAUUUUUGAAAACAUGAAAAAUUUUAAAACACUAGAAUUUUGAAAACACGAAGAUUUUUUAAACAUGAGAAUUUUUGAAAACACGAGGAUUUUUUGAAAUACAAACAUUUUAGAAACAUGAAAAUUUUUAAAACAUGACAAUUUUUUGAAACACGAGAAAUUUAUUUUUUAAAACAUAAAAAAUUUUAAAACACGAGAAUUUGUGAAACUCGAGAAUUGUUGAAAAAAAAUAAAAAAUUUUGAAAAUACGAAAUUUUUUUAAACACGAAAAUUUUAGAAAUAUGGACAUUUUUAGAAAACACGAAAAAUUUUGAAAAAUAAAAUUUUUUGAAAACACGAGAAUUUUUGAAAACACGAAAAAUUUUCUGAUUUUUCAUUAAGCACGUAUCGCAUUUAACACUAAUCGGUGAUAUUCACUCAAUAUAGCAAUGAAAUCAACGAAUUAGUGUCAAAUCGAUUCGUUACCUUAUUUUUGAAAGCACGAGAAAUUUUUUUUGAAGACACUAAAAUUUCGAAACGCGAGGAUCUUUUUUCUGAAAAUACGAAUUUUUUUUGAAUAUUUUCGAUUUUUAAAAGGGCGUAUCGAUUUUAACGCGAACCGGUGAUAUUCACCCAACAUAGCGAUGAAAUCAACGAGUUCAUGUUAAAUCGAUUCGUUGCCUUAUUUAUUAAAAGUAUUUAAAAUAAAAUAAAAAUAAAAAUUAAAUUAAAUUAAAUUAAAUUAAAUUAAAUUAAAUUAAAAAUAUAAAUGCCAAAAUAUAAAAAAUGCAUAAAAUACUAAUAAUAUUAAAACGAAAAAAAAUACGAGCAUUAAAUUAAAAUUAAAAAACGAAAUUACCGAAAAAUCUCGGGACACGAGCUUCGCCGAACGGGUAACACAAAAUUGAACCCCUUUUUUCUUGUUUUUUCUUUUUUCUUUUUUUCUCCUUUUUCUUCCUUUUUUUUUUUCUGCUGGGCUGUCUUGUUGGGCUGGCCUGCGCGGGCCUGCUGGCUGGUGGCCUGUUGGCUGCUUGUUGGGCUGCUGGAAUUGGGCCUAUUGUUGGCCUGCCCUCUUUUUUUUUUUUGCUGCUUCUUUCCCCUUUUUUUGCUUUGUUUUUUCUUUUUUUUUGUUGGGCUACUUUGGGCUUGGCUAAUGGGCUUGCUGGGUCAGGUUGGGUUGCCAGAUCGGGUCGGGUUAUACCCGGUUCGGGUCGAUUUGACCCGACUGUUAAAAUUUUUUUCUUUUUUUCUUCUUUCUUCUUCUCUCUUUCUUUCUUCUUCUUCUUCUUCCUUCUUCUUCUUCUUCAAAACCGAGCCACCCACACCGUCGCUUCUUUCACGCCGCCGUUCGAGCUGCCACCGUCGACUCCACCGGACCUUUCUCUUUCCUUUCUUUUCUCUCCCCUUUUUUCUUAUUUUUGAAGCUUUUUUUCUCUUUGAAACUUUUUUUUUUUGGAGAUUCAUGGGGUGGGGGUCCUUCUUUUUUUUUGGGUUAAAAGCCCCUUUUAUAGAUGAUUUUUGCUUCAUUUUGCAGGUAGUGGGUGAAGAAGGAGCAGCCACCCAUGUUUGUGGCCUGAAAAUCUGGGAAGUGGGUGCCCCAAAUCACGUAACCUGUCUGAAGGACCAAAUCACAAAUGCAGCAAAACUUCUAGGGCUAAAUGUAAUUUUUAGAAAAUUUAGGAUUAAAAUGAAAUUUAAUGAAAGUUUAGGGGUCUAAAUGAAAUUUAAAGAAAGUUUAAGGGUCAAAAUGAAAUUUAGGAAAAGUUUAGGGGUCAAAAUGCAAUUUUUAUUUUUUAAUUUUUUUUUUGAAAAUUUGAAAAUUAAACACAAAUUCUAGUCGGACAAAAAUUUAGUGCUUACAACUGCCCCUCUUUGCUCAUCAUUGUGAAACAAGGAUAGUGCAAAGACUUAAAAGCACUAAAUUUUGUUCAAUUGUCCAAUCUUUAUUCUUUACUCGGCAUGUGAUCCUGAGCUCAACUCAUUUCUCGCAAUAUGAAUUGACUCUUUAAAACUAGACAUUAAAAAUAGAAAUUGAAAAUAGCUCAGCACGUGAGCCAAGGCUCAACUCACUUCUCGCAAUAUGAGUUGAUUUUUGAAAACAGAAUUUGCAAAAAGGCUCAACUCACCUCUCGCAAUAUGAGUUGAUUUUUUGAAAAAUAGAAAAAGGCUCAACUCACCUCUCGCAAUAUGAGUUGGUUUUUGAAAAAUAGAAAUUAAAAGGCUCAACUCACCUCUCGCAAUAUGAGUUGAUUUUUGAAAAAUAGAAAUUGAAAAGUAGAAAUUGAAAAUACCUCAGUGUGCCCUGAGGCUCAACUCACCUCUUGCAAUAUGAGUUGAUUGAUUUUUGAUUUUUUUUUGAAACACAGAAAUUAAAAAAAACAGAAAUUAAAAACAGAAUUUGAAAAGACCUCAGCUUGUGGCCUGAGACUCAACUCACCUCUUGCAAUAUGAGUUGAUUUGAAAAGUAGAAUUAGUAAAGCAGAAAUUGAAAAUACCUCAGCGUGCCUUGAGGCUCAACUCACCUCUCGCAAUAUAAGUUGAUUUUUGAGAAGCAUAGAUUGAAAAAAACAUAAAUUGAAAAUACCUCAGCAUGUGAGCCGAGGCUCAACUCACCUCUUGCAAUAUGAGUUGAUUUUUGAAAAACAAAAAUUAAAAGGCUUAACUCACCUCUCGCAAUAUGAGUCAAUUUAAAACAUAAACUAAAAAUACCUCGGCAUGCCCCGAGGCUCAACUUGGUGCCCAUUUUCCUUGCAGGCCUUUUUGUAUUGGGAGAAUCUUUCUCAGAACGAGUUCUCCUUCAUGGAACUCUCUUGGUUGUACCUUCUUGUCAUGGGCUGCGAUCAUUCUCUUUUGGUACAUUUGCCCAUGACAAAUUGCCCUUAGACGUUUUUCUUCAAUGAGGUUCAACUGAUCAUAUCGAGCUCGAACCCAUUCUGGUUCUUCUAACUUUGAUUCCAUCAAUACUCGCAGAGAGGGGAUCUCAACCUCGAUAGGUAGCACAGCUUCCAUUCCAUAGACUAGAGAGAAAGGAGUUGCUCCCGUAGAUGUUCGCACAGAUGUGCGAUAUGCAAACAAAGCAAAUGGAAGUUUCUCGUGCCAAUCUUUAUAUGUCUCAGUCAUUUUCCCAAUGAUCCUCUUAAUGUUCUUGUUAGCUGCUUCAACAGCCCCGUUCAUCUUUGGGCGAUAGGGCGAGGAAUUAUGAUGCUUUAUUUGGAACUGCUCGCACACUUCUUUCAUCAUCUUAUUGUUCAGAUUCGUGGCAUUAUCUGAGAUGAUUCUUUCAGGCAAACCAUAUCGGCAAAUGAUUUCCUUUUUCAAAAACUUGCACACUGCAGUCUUCGUCACAUUGGCAAACGAAGCGGCUUCAAUCCAUUUUGUAAAGUAAUCGAUAACCACAAAAAUGAAUCGAUGUCCAUUUGAAGCUUUUGGAGAAAUUGGCCCUAUGACAUCCAUGCCCCACAUAGAAAAAGGCCACGGAGAAGUCAUGACAGGAAGGGGUGAAGGGGCUACAUGAAUUUUAUCGCCGUAGAUUUGACAUUUGUGGCAUUUUCUGGCAAAAUUGAUGCAGUCACUUUCCAUUGUCAGCCAAUAAUAACCGAGUCUCAUGAUCUUUCUGGCCAUAUUGAAACCAUUGGCAUGCGUUCCGCAAAUUCCCUCAUGGACCUCUUCAAGUAUUUUUCUGGUUUCAACAUCAUCCACACAUCUCAAAAGCAUCUGAUCCUUUCCUCUUUUAUACAGGAUAUCCCCAUCAAGAACAAAUCCCGCUGCCAUUCUUCUAAUUGUUCUUUUAUCGUUCUCAUUCGCUUGUUCGGGAUACCUUUGAUUCUUGAUAUAUUCUAAGAUAUCAUGGAACCAAGGCCGUCCGUCUACUUCUUUCUCAAUGCUACAACAGUGUGCAGGGACCUCGUAUAUGCUCAUUUUGAGGGGCAUUAUUUCUGCUUCUCUACUUGCUUUGAACAUUGAAGCCAAAGUGGCUAGGGCAUCAGCCAGUUGGUUCUCUUCUCGUGGGAAGUAAUGAAAAGUUAUUUCUUUGAAUUCCUUGAUCAAUCCAGCCACUAAAUCGCUGUACUUAAUCAAUUUUGAGUCUCUCACUUCCCACUCUCCACGGAUUUGGUAAAUCACUAGGGCUGAGUCCCCGUACACCUCCAAGAUCUUGAUGUUUCGUUCGAUAGCUGCACGAAGCCCCAUGAUACAGGCCUCAUAUUCUACGAUAUUAUUGUUACAGAAGAAGUUCAGUCUUGCAGUGAACGGAUAAUGAUUCCCGUCUGGUGAUACCAGGAUUGCUCCAAUUCCAUGCCCUAAAGCAUUUGACGCACCAUCAAAGCACAUCUUCCGUGACUUCUCUUUUGAUGACUCGGGUUCUAUUUCUGUGAUGCACAUUAAGUCUUCGUCUGGGAAAUCGAAUCUUAAAGGCUCAUAUUCCUCUAUCGUUCGAGUUGCUAAGAAGUCAGCUAUUGCGCUCCCUUUUAUCGACUUCUGACUUACAUAGGCAAUAUCAUAUUCCGAAAGGAGGAUCUGCCAUCGUGCCAUUCUUCCUGAUAGUGCUGACGAUUCCAUCAUGUAUUUUAUUGGGUCCAGCUUUGAAAUUAGCCAUGUCGUGUGAUACAACAUAUAUUGUCUGAGUCUACGAGCUACCAAAACCAGAGCGCAAUAAUAUUUCUCAAUAGAUGAAUAUUUUGCCUCAUAUUCAGAGAACUUUUUGCUGAGGUAGUAGAUCACUUUUUCUUUCUUUCCUGACUCGUCGUGUUGCCCCAGUACGUAACCCAUUGAACUUUCGAACACAGUCAAAUACAAUAUCAAUGGUCUUCCAGGAAUUGGCGGUACUAGCACUGGAGGACUGGACAAAUAUUGUUUUAUCUUAUCAAAGGCCAUCUCGCAUUCCUCGUUCCAUUCUCCCGGGUUAUGUUUUCGAAGAAGCCGAAAGAUUGGGUCGCAUUGGUUGGUAAGUUGAGUGAUAAAUCGAGCGAUGUAGUUUAAUCUCCCUAAAAAUCCUCUAACUUCCUUUUGCGUGCGCGGAGGUGGUAAUUCUUGGAUGGCUUUUAUUUUAUCUGGAUCAACUUCGAUACCUCUUUCACUGACAAUGAAGCCUAGCAACUUUCCCGAGGUAGCCCCAAAUGUACAUUUGGCUGGAUUAAGCUUUAGCUAAAACUUUCUCAGCCUUUUGAACAACUUCUUGAGGUUCACUACAUGCUUUUCUUCCCCUCGGGAUUUAGCAAUCAUAUCGUCGACAUAGACCUCUAUUUCUUUAUGCAUCAUAUCAUGGAAUAACGUCACCAUAGCCCUCUGAUAUGUUGCCCCUGCAUUAUUUAACCCAAAAGGCAUCACCUUGUAGCAGAAUGUUCCCCACAUUGUUAUGAAGGUAGUUUUCUCCAUAUCCUCAGAAGCCAUCUUGAUCUGAUUAUACCCCGAGAAUCCAUCCAUGAAAGAAAACAAUGAAUGUUUUGCUGUGUUGUCCACCAACGUGUCAAUAUGUGGCAAGGGAAAAUUAUCUUUUGGGCUUGCUCGAUUCAGGUCAUGAUAAUCCACGCACAUUCGUACUUUUCCAUCUUUCUUUGGUACCGGGACUAUGUUAGCCACCCAUUCUGGAUAUUUGGAGGCUUGUAGGAAGCUAGUGUCAAAUUGCUUCUUGACUUCCUCUUUUAUUUUCAACAGCAUAUCGGGCCUCAUCCGUCUUAAUUUUUGCUGGAUGGGCUUGCAUUCUGGCUUUAAGGGGAGCUUAUAGACCACUAAAUCUUCAUCUAACCCUGGCAUGUCCUGGUAUAACCACGCGAAAACAUCUUUGUAUUCGCGGAGUAAAGUGAUUAAACUACGCCUGGUACUUUCUGAAAUAGAAGUCCCAAUCUUCACUUCUUGUUUCCUCUCUUCAGUGCUCAAAUUUAUUAUUUCUACAGAUUCUUCAUGAGGCAGAACCUGUUUAUCCUCUUGUUCCACCAUUCUUAACAAUUCAGGAGACGAGACAUAAUCUUCAGCAUUUUCUUCGGCUUCAAAUUCUCCUAAGCAAACAGCCUUCUCAACAUCAAUUUCAAGAUUCGUAACGGGCUUAUUCAUGUUGUCAAUAUCUGAGCACCUGAAAGUUGAAUGGAAAAGGAAGCUAUCGGGGGACAUCCAAGUAUUGGAAACAACAAACAAAAUGUUAUGUCAUGGCAAUGAGGCAAAUGUAAGGAUAGGCUAUGAAAUGAGAAAAUGAUUAUGAAAUUAGUGAUAAUGCGAAAAAUCAUGACAAAAUACAUCUUCAUUGAAAUUCAUUUAAAUGAUAAAGAGCGAAUGCAAACUCUUACAAAAGAACUCUAUUAUAUCUAAGGACACAAUAGAAGGUUGAUGUUUAGCAUUACUCUGAAGGCUUAUAAACUACAAGAAGCUCUUCAGCAAUCCAAUUGUUCAACAUGAAACCAGGAGGGCAAGGGCGUAUCCUUGAGACAUCUUUACUUGCACCAACUUCUUUGUCAAUGACAUUUAUACUGACAUUCUGAAAAUCCCUUUCAAUUAAUCCCAGCAUGUUUCGUGGAUCAUCUUGUCCAGGGUACAUCAUUCCCGCAGAUGUAAAUGUUUUUGACAAAGGAGGGUACUCUAUUGGUUCCCAUUCUGGUUCUCGGCCCAAAGUUCUUGCAAUUCUUCUCUCUUGAUCCUUCUUCCACUGUCUUCUUCUUUGGCGCAUGUCAGGCUGGAACCCCAAACUGUAUCGGGCCUUGUGAUGCACUGGUUUUAGAGCCCUGACUAUUCCUUGCAGAUAUCUCCCUAAACCUCUUCUCACUCGAGCUCCCCUUCCUACAGUCAACUUGACACCCAUUCUAGUAUUUCUCGACAAUUUAGGCACGGGAAUUUUGUUUCCCUUAGUGAAGAAUGUGGCAUUGACGAAUUCAAGGGAUCGGAAGGAGCAUUCCACUAUGUCCUUGCUCACUUCAAGGUAUGGCGCAUCAGCAAAGAUAGAUGCGACAAUGUCUUCUUCUCCCUCGACAGUGACCAAACAACCAUCCAUGAUAAAUUUCACCUUUUGAUGGAGGGAUGAUAGGACCACUCCAGUAGAAUGGAUCCAGGGUCUUCCCAAAAGGCAGUUAUAUGAGGAUGUAAUGUCCAUGACUUGGAACUCGACAUCAUAUAUGUAGGGACCCACUUCCAGAGGGAUCUCAAUUUUUUCCAUGACUUCACGCCUUGUCCUGUCGAAUGCCCUUACCGCAGAAUGACAGGGCCUUAAAUGGGACAGAUCCAUCGAAAUUUUGGAAAGCGUGGCCAAAGGCAUAACGUUGAGUGCCGAACCAUUAUCGAUGAGCACGUUCGGUAUUAUGUAGCCCUUGCAACGGGUUGUGAUAUGCAAUGCUUUCACUGAGCCUCUACCAUUGGGCGGUAUUUCAUCAUCACUAAAAGAAAUGAAAUUAUCCGCAUUCAAGUUGUUCAUCCACCUAUCCAUUUUUUCAAUGGAUACAUUGUUUGCCACAUAAGCUUGAUUUAACACUUUCAGCAGAGCGUUUCGGUGUGGUUCUGAAUUCAACAGCAGAGAUAAUACCGAGAUUCGCGCUGGCUGCUUACUCAAUUGUUCUACCACGUUGUACUCACUGUGCUUGAUAAAUUUUAAGAAUUCCUGUGCUUCCUCCUCGUCCACAGGAUUUUUAGCUUCUUGUUCAGGCGCAGUUUCAUGCUCAUCAUCGGUCACAUGCAUCGGUGCUUUUCCUUUCUGUUUCAAGUCACUAUUCUUCUUUAUCUCUUUCGAAUAACAUCUUCCACUACGAGUGAAAUGACCUAAUUCCCCGACGCUUCCAGUCAUGGCUUUGGGUUUUUCAUCUUCAGGUGUGACGAUAUUAACGUCAUAUUUCCAUGGUACUGCUUUAUUGUCCUUGUAAGGGAAAGAAGAUGGUACUUCGAUUAUCAUCUGUGGUUUCAAUGGCUCUCUCAUCGCGUCGUAAUAAAUUACCAACGGUCGAUCAGCACUAUAAGGGGGCCCUGAUGAUUGGCUAUCAGAGACGCAUACUUCUCUUUCGUUGGCAUCUUCACUCUUGUUAAGGACCUUGAUCUCCUUAUUAUUCAUCCGGUCUUGAAGUAACCUUUUAAAGUCCUCGCACGACUGAAUGUCGUGCCCAACAAUCCCAUGAAAAUUGCAAAAACUUUGACCUUCUUCUCCAAAAACUCUAUCAGAGUGACAGAGCAAUCCUUUCUUAACUAAUACCUCCCAGAUUUUCUGCAGAGGCGUCCUUAUUUCUGCCACACAUCUUCUGACCUUCCAUUCAUCCUCUUUCCCCACUGUGCUCACAUUCCCUUCAGUAUGGUUAGGGAACGGGUUCCCCGUGGCGUUACUAGCACUAUCGAAUCGUAGGAUACCCGCGUCAAUGAGUCCUUGAACUCUCCUUUUGAAAGCGAGACAGUUCUCAGUAGAGUGCCCUUGGUUCCCUGCGUGGUAUGCACAACUAGCGUUUGGAUCGUACCACUUUGGGUAUGGAGGUUUAAGGGGUGCUAUGUAAUGGGGAGAAAUUAGCUGUUUUUCUAAAAGUUUUGGGUACAAUUCCCCAUACGACACAGGGAUGGGGGUAAAUUGCUGUCUCUCGGGAUUAUGCCUUGAUGGUCUUGGUUCGUUUCUGGGUUGGCUUUGGGCGGGUACCGUGUUUUGUGGGAAAGUGGUGACGGGUCUUUGGUUGUUCGUGGCGUAUAUGGGGUAGGACGGAUGUGGUGCUUGGUAGUAAGGGUUUUGAGGGGGAUAAUGGAAAUUCGAAGGUGGAUAAUCUCGAGGUCAGGGUUGAUUAGGAUACGAAUUGGGAAUGUAACGACUCCCAGUUCCCACCAUGAGGGCUUCUGGCUCUUUCUUCCUUAAGGGUGCUGCUUUUCUUGAGCUUUCUGAUCCUUCCAUUCUACCGAUCUUGACGGUAUUCUCUAUGAGUUCACCGGAUAUUACAAUAUCCGCGAAAUCUUUCGUGGCACUUCCCACUAAUUUGUCAUAAAACGGUGCCUUUAAAGUAUUGAUAAAGAGAACGGUUAUCUCCGUUUUUGUUAGUAGGGGUUCCACUUGAGUUGAGACGUCUCUCCAUCUCUGCGCAUACUGUCUAAAGGUCUCUGAUGGCUUUUUCUCCAUCAUUUGCAAGGUCAUACGGUCUGGCACCAUAUCCGAUACAUGCUUGUACUGCUCACAAAAUGCUGACGCCAAGUCUUUCUAGGAUCGAAUCUUUUCUCUACUAAGUUGAUUGUACCACCGAAGAGCUGACCCUAUUAGACUAUCUUGAAAGCAAUGUAUGAGUAGUUUAUCCUCGUUCACAUAACCGGUCAUCUUUCGACAGAACAUAAUGAGAUGUGCUUUUGGGCACCUUGUCCCAUCAUACUUCUCAAAGUCAGGCACUUUGAACUUCGGAGGCAAAAUUAGAUCAGGUACCAAACUGAGUUCCUUGGCACCUAGUACGGAGAAGACUUCAGUGCCUUCUAUUGCUUUGAGUCUUUCCUCUAGACUCCUAUAUUUUGCGUCAUGGUUAUCCAAUUUUAACUUGGCUACCUCUGCUGGGUCAUCCAGAUCUGGAACUAGUGGAUUAGCAGGACUAGCCCCUGGGUUCGACGCUAACAUUCCUUGCCCCAAAUUAGUGGGUGAAGCAGGUGGCAUAGGUCGAUGUUCCAAGCCAGUGGGUUCCUCUUGAGUAUACCCUCUUUGUAUUGUAUAUGCGGGCGGUGGAGUGAAUCCCGGGGGAUAGAAUGGAUCCUGAUCAUGGUGAAUUCUUGACCGAGGUUCCAUAACAUCGGAGUUCUGCAUGGGUCCCUUUCCUUUGACCAAAGUUGUCAUCAUCUCUAUCAUUUUAGCCAUCUGAUCUCUUUGCUCGAGCGAUUCCUCUCGAGAUCUCACCAUUAGGUCUCUCGUCUCUUGUUGCGAUUUGGCCAGUUGCUCUUGUAAUUCCUUUUGAGCCAUUUCCAUCCUUUCAAUUCUCUCAUUGAAUUCAUUCUCCAUUACUCUAGCUUGUCGGCGCGUUUUAUACGGAUGACGUGGUUCCAGUCUUGAAGUCUUGCAACUGCGAAUUGUACGUUUUAACCUCAGCGAACGAGUAUGGGAUAUGGAAUGAAUGUAUUGAUGCACGAAUGAAUGCAUGAAUGUCAAAUGAAUGUCAGUUAUGAAUGAAAUGCAAGAAAUUGGUGUUGAUUUCAAGAUAGCCCCAUAUUUAGGCAUUUCAUUUAUCAACAUAGUCUAUUACACAAAGUUCUCAUUUUUCCAACAGUUACACAAAUUUCCUAGCCACAUUGCCUUGUUUCUUCACUUGCUCUAAAAACUCUGAUAUGCUCGAUCUUUGGCUCGGAGGGAAUUGGCAACUGAGAACUUUGGCUUCAUCUGAUAAUUGAACAACUUGCAUAGCCGCUUUACGAAUUUCAUUGAUCAAGAAGUCAAGUUGCAUUUCUUUUUCUUUGAGAGUUCCUUCACACGCGUGAAUGUCCCUAUCGUACUGCUCACUCUUUUCUUCUAGAGCCUUCAAGAGGUUAUCUAAUUGUUGUUGACGAGAUUGCAGCAUAUUUUCUAGAUCUCGUGUUUUCCUUUUUAAUUCUUGAUGUUCAGACUGACUAUUCGCCAAUUUUGCAGUCACUAUUUCAUACUCGGCGUUCUUCCUUCUUAACUCUAUCACAGCGCGCGCAGCCUUUUCCUACUCUUUUUUUUCUUUUCCCUUCCAAAACUCCAUUCCUCCCUUGAUAUUGCUAAUUUCUUCCUUCCAUUCUACUGUCGACUUGCCCAACCCACUAUUCUUUAUAGUGUUUCUUAAUUUCUUGUUUUCCAAAUGAAGGUCCCUUAAUUCGUUUCUCACAAUCUCGGCUUCUCUUUGCACUUUUUCAGUCCUGGACCUUUCAACCUGAACUUCAAUCUUCAGUUGAUAGUUUUCUUCUUGAAGGGCACUAAGGUCCCAAGACAUCUUGGUCUUUUCUCGUUCGAAUUCUUGUCUUGCCAUUUCUAGCUCAGACGGCGUUUCCUCCGAGAAAGGAUUCUGGAUGGUGUAGUUUGUUGAUGAGAUUUGCUGACUAUUUACCCAUUGCUUCCUCCAUAUGUCGUAAUCUUGGGUAAGGGUAUCAACAUACAAAGCUAAUUCCAUGAAAUGAAUUUCCUUCCAAUACUUUGCAGUGUCUCGGACUCUCUUCAUAUAUCCUUCACCCGCGAAAGCGAACUCAAAUUGUGCUAAUCCUCCAGUUGCGGGGAGGAAUUGUCGCGAAGAAAAUUGCCUUUGGACUAAUAGCGGAGCAUAUCCAACUCCUCCCCAUAACCCGAGUAAAGGUACCCAAUCUUGGCUUCCACAUUUGUAUAGCAUAACUGAAGGACGGAUCCAGGAUGCUCUCCAUGUUAUAUUCUCGGCGCAAAGAUUCUGAAAAACUAAUACCCAAUGUUGCUCGGUGACUUCCUUCGGCCAUUCUUUAUUGAGGUAAGCUUCUAGCGGGGAGAAUGUUUUAGAAAACAUAUGGAACGGAGUGUGUUCUACCUUCCAGAAGUGACUCAAAAUCCAAACAUUGAGCAACUGCGCGCAUCCGAUAAAUCGUCCCUCCCCUUUUCUUCGACAACUACUCAGGGACCUGAAGGUCUCGGCUAGGAUAGUCGGGACAGGGUUGAUUCCUUGUUUUAACGUUUCGAAGAAAUCAACUAAUGCAACUUCGAGAUGUCCGAGAACUUUUGGGAAAAUGACCAAACCGUAAAUGGCCAAAGCGAAUAGAUUUACCCUUUUCAGCAUGUUGGGAUGGUUCAGAGCCAAAUCUCGUAGGGAGGACCAUGGAAUACAAAUGGUUUCAUUCUUCUUCUUUAUCUGUUUUUCGGCCCAUGCAUCAGUCAUGUCUGUCAGUCUCACUAACUUUUUCUUGAAGGUCAUCGGCUUAGGCUCCUUCACAUAUAUUUUGCCGAAUCGUACAUUGUCGAUGCGGAGUAAAGCAGCAUACUCUUCUAUGGUUGGAGUCAUGUCUUCUUGAUUGAAGGUGAAACACUGAUAAGUUGGGUCCCAGAACCGAACCAUGGCUUGAAUCAACUGUUCGUCUACACGGAUGGUGAUCAGGUGAGCUAUAUCUCCAUACCUCUCAGUGAAAGUGUCUCUAGUGUCUGAAUCCCACUGAUUCCAAAUUCGAACCAAAUCCUCAAAGUUAUUUUGGCAAACAUUUACAGUUAUAUGUUCAGGCAAAUUAGCGACACACCCUUCCACUAGACUAUCCCCCUUUUCUCUCUGAAUUUUUAGAGACCAGUCCCGAACCACGGCAUUCUUCUCGGUCAUUUGUGUAAUUGACUCCUCCAUCAGAAACCUAUUUUUUUGGCAACCAACUUUUAAUCAACACCUUCCUAAUAUGAUGCCUAUGAUGCAUGAUGAAAAUAAAAGUAAAAACAAACAAACUUGGUUAGUAAACACAACAAAUAUAAUUUGAAAAAACAAAUUAAACUACCCAAUCCAAUUAUUUUGCAUAAACAGUGUAAAUGAAAGGCAAAAGGCAUUUUCCCCGUGUACUUAUUUUGAUGACUAUAAGCGGACAGAGGUUCGGCGUGGCUCUAAUUGGAUAGCUCGUAUGGUUCACUAUAUGCGGUUUUGGUUCUAGGUGGGUACUCGAAUCGUCUGCACUGUCAUCUACUAAGAUUAGUACAGAGCCUCGGUCAUGGCCCAUCAUAGGCUUACGAGAUCAAUUCGAGGGAUUACAUUUACUUAUGCCUAUGUGGAGGGACAAGUUAACUCACGAAAGCAUAAGUCAUAUGUAACCCGAAAGUAUUCACUAGCCUGUGCGGAGGAACGAGUUAACUCACGAAGGCAUAGCGUUUACUUUCUCUUAACAGGGACGGAGCCCGGUUAUAGAGCUCAUGUUAUGCAAAAAAUGCAAGUGCACGGUGUGUGGGGAGAAACUUGUAAACCUUUACGUUUUAUUUAGAAAAACUAAACCAAAAAUAAAACCGCAAAAAUUUAAAGCUGAAAAACAACCUGAUAAAACAAGUUAGAAUAUAUACAACACGAUGCAAAUGCAUGAUUUUUUUUUUGAAAACAAAAAAUUUAAGGAUCACGACUAAAUGUUAAUUUGAACAAGAAACUUUGAAAAUUUUGACAACGCGUGUUUAAUUCCAGACACGGCUCUCAAAAAAAAGGCUGUCCCCAGCGGAGUUGCCAGCUGUAGCGACCUAACAAUUUGGAGUACGGGCGCUAAUUGAAGUGAUUAUUAAAAAUUUGAAAAUUGAAUCUCGACUUUAUUUGAAAAGGAGUCGCCACCGAUCUUUUUUCCAGGUGUGAUCGGACACCUACAAAAUUCUCUUUUCAGAAGAAAAAUUUAUUUUUAAACUUUUCUAAAAAAGAGGCAAUUUUAGGUCCACGUAAAAAUCCAGAGAAAAUUAGGGUUCGGGAGUCGGUUAUGCGCGAGGAAGGUAUUAGCACCCUCGCGACGCCCAAAAUUGGUAUCUCGUAAAACGCGCGUUGUCUUAAUUUUCAAAAAUACAAGUUCAAUUUAAUAUUUAAUUGUGAUCCGAUUGAAACUUGAGAAAACCCUUUUUUUGUUUUUAAACACGAGAACUUUGAAACAAAAUAAUAAUUUUUGAAAACACGAAGAUUUUUGAAACACGAAAUAUUUUUUGAAAACACGAAAACACAAAAUUUUUUUAACACGGGAAUUUUUGAAAACACGACAGUUUUUGAAACAUGAGAAUUUUUUUAAAACACAAAAUUUUAUUUUGAAAACACAAAAAUUUUGAUAAAUUAUGAAACACGAGGAUUUUUUUUGAAACGCGGAAAUUUAUGAAACAAGGUCAAUUUUUUGAAAACACGAAAAUUUUUGAAAGACGAGAAUUUUUUUGAAAACACGGAGAUUUAUAAAACACGAAAGUUUUUUUUUUGAAACAAGAAAAUUUUCAAAAUACGAGAAUUUUUGAAAACAGGGGAAAUUUUUGAAAACAUGAAAACUUUUAAAACACUAGAAUUUUGAAAACACGAAGAUUUUUUAAACAUGAGAAUUUUUGAAAACACGAGGAUUUUUUGAAAUACAAACAUUUUAGAAACAUGAAAAUUUUUAAAACAUGACAAUUUUUUGAAACACGAGUAAUUUAUUUUUUAAAACAUAAAAAAUUUUAAAACACGAGAAUUUGUGAAACUCGAGAAUUGUUGAAAAAACAUAAAAAAUUUUGAAAAUACGAAAUUUUUUUAAACACGAAAAUUUUAGAAAUAUGGACAUUUUUAGAAAACACGAAAAAUUUUGAAAAAUAAAAUUUUUUGAAAACACGAGAAUUUUUGAAAACACGAAAAAUUUUCUGAUUUUUCAUUAAGCACGUAUCGCAUUUAACACUAAUCGGUGAUAUUCACUCAAUAUAGCAAUGAAAUCAACGAAUUAGUGUCAAAUCGAUUCGUUACCUUAUUUUUGAAAACACGAGAAAUUUUUUUUGAAGACACGAAAAUUUCGAAACGCGAGGAUCUUUUUUCUGAAAAUACGAAUUUUUUUGAAUAUUUUCGAUUUUUAAAAGGGCGUAUCGAUUUUAACGCGAACCGGUGAUAUUCACCCAACAUAGCGAUGAAAUCAACGAGUUCAUGUUAAAUCGAUUCGUUGCCUUAUUUAUUAAAAGUAUUUAAAAUAAAAUAAAAUAAAAUAAAAUAAAAUAAAAAUUAAAUUAAAUUAAAUUAAAUUAAAUUAAAUUAAAUUAAAUUAAAAAUAUAAAUGCCAAAAAAUAAAAAAUGCAUAAAAUACUAAUAAUAUUAAAAUGAAAAAAAAAUACGAGCAUUAAAUUAAAAUUAAAAAACGAAAUUACCGAAAAAUCUCGGGACACGAGCUUCGCCGAACGGGUAACACAAAAUUGAACCCCGUUUUUCUUGUUUUUUCUUUUUUCUUUUUUUCUCCUUUUUCUUCCUUUUUUUUUCUGCUGGGCUGCCUUGUUGGGCUGGCCUGGGCGGGCCUGCUGGCUGGUGGCCUGUUGGCUGCUUGUUGGGCUGCUAGAAUUGGGCCUAUUGUUGGCCUGCCCUCUUUUUUUUUUUUGCUGCUUCUUUCCCCUUUUUUUUGCUUUGUUUUUUCUUUUUUUUGUUAGGCUACUUUGGGCUUGGCUAAUGGGCUUGCUGGGUCGGGUUGGGUUGCCGGAUCGGGUCGGGUUAUACCUGGUUCGGGUCGGUUUGACCCGACUGUUAAAAUUUUUUUCUUUUUUUUUCUUCUUUCUUCUUCUCUCUUUCUUUCUUCUUCUUCUUCUUCCUUCUUCUUCUUCUUCAAAAUCGAGCCCCCCACACCGUCGCUUCUUUCAUGCCGCCGUUCGAGUUGCCACCGUCGACUCCACCGGACCUUUCUCUUUCCUUUCUUUUCUCUCCCCUUUUUUCUUAUUUUUGAAGCUUUUUUUCUCUUUGAAACUUUUUUUUUUGGAGAUUCAUGGGGUGGGGGUCCUUUUUUUUUUUGGGUUAAAAGCCCCUUUUAUAGAUGAUUUUUGCUUCAUUUUGCAGGUAGUGGGUGAAGAAGGAGCAGCCACCCAUGUUUGUGGCCUGAAAAUCUGGGAAGUGGGUGCCCCAAAUCACGUAACCUGUCUGAAGGACCAAAUCACAAAUGCAGCAAAACUUCUAGGGCUAAAUGUAAUUUUUAGAAAAUUUAGGAUUAAAAUGAAAUUUAAUGAAAGUUUAGGGGUCUAAAUGAAAUUUAAAGAAAGUUUAAGGGUCAAAAUGAAAUUUAGGAAAAGUUUAGGGGUCAAAAUGCAAUUUUUAUUUUUUAAUUUUUUUUUUGAAAUUUUGAAAAUUAAACACAAAUUCUAGUCGGACAAAAAUUUAGUGCUUACAAUGACUAUUGAUAUUUAUAUUUUUAAUCAUAAAAAUUAAAUUUAACAUAAUUGUUUAAGAUUUAAUGCUGAUUUUAGACUGUCAUAUAAGUUAAUCUAUGGAUAAAUUAUUUUGGAUACAUCAUUUAAUUCUAAAAAAAAAACUGAAUUAUAAGAGGAGGGCAAAGUCUUAAUAGCAAUGUGACUUCAACCCAGGUCACACUUUGGGCGAUAAAUACCCUAACCAUCAUAUUGCGAUCUCUUCUCAACAAUUCAAUCAAAGAUGAAAUAACUUAUAGUUUCCAAAUUAAGAAUACAGUGUUCGUAUACAAUAUUCCUACAUCUAUGCAUUGGAAAGGCUUGUGGGAAUUAUUUGGAUACUAUGGAAAUGUUGUUGAUGCAUUCAUCCCAACAAAAAGGAGUAGAAAUGGUAAAAGGUUUGGGUUUUGAGAUUCACUAAUGAAAAGGAUGCGCAAAGGGUGAUAAUGAGGUUAAAUGGAUUUUUUUUAAUGGGAAAGAGAAUCGGGGUGAAAAUGGCUAGAUAUAAUGGAAAAAGAAAGUUUUGGAGGAAAGCUUCGGUUCAAAAGGGACAAGAACAGAGUGAAAAAAUAGCUCAAGAAGAAAAAAGUAAAGAAAGGCUCGAAAUGAUGCAAGAAGAGAAGUGAAAACAGAGAAAAGAAUAGUGCAAGGUUAUGUUGAAGAUGAACUAUUAUGGAACCUACAGAAAUGCCUGGUGUGCGAAUCGAUUUCGAUUUUUUAUUCAAAAAGUCUUAAUGAUCGAAUAGCAAAAAUUGGUCUUGGAGAAAUAAUAGUAAAAAGGAUUCAAGAAAGACAUUUUUUGGUCGAAAUACCAGAUUAAAAACUGAUGGAUCUGUUAAGGCAAACUGAAUGGUCCUACUUGAAAGAUUUCUUGUAACGCCCCAAUUUUCGGGAAUUCUGUGAAUGUUGGCAAAAUUUCAUGCUUUAAUUUUGUCAUUUGGGAGGAGUGAAAUUAUGAAAUAGGACCUAUGUGAAAAUGUUUGAAAAUGCUAUAGGCUAAAUUGAAGUGAGCAAAUAAAUAGGAGUGUAAAAUAGGAGGAUUUGCAUGACAAACCUCUCAUUUUACAUGAAGUGGCCAGCCAUCAUGUUGUUGUAGACAAAAUGUACACUUGAUAUCCAUAAUUUAUGGUACAAAUUGAUACAAAUUGAUAAUAGGUUAGGUAAAUGUUCCAUGAUAAUAGGUUAGGUAAAUGUUCCAUGAUAAUGGGUUAGGUAAAUGUUUCAUGAUAAUGGGUUAGGUAAAUGUUUCAUGAUAAGAAUUUCAUGUCUUUUGUAUUAAAGAAUUAAAUGUAUGAAAUAUGAAGUUUUAUUAAAAGAAAAAGGGGUGAAAAGAACAAAGUUUUGUCCAUCUUUGUUCAUCAUAGCUGAAAGUUAGAGAAGAGAAAUGAGAGGAGAAAGCUCUUGAGUAUUCGGUCAUUAGGAGGAGGAAAAUUGAAGGUAAGUUCUUGGUACCUUGCUUCUAUUUUGAGGUUCAUGAGUUCUUCUUGAUUCUACCUUAACUCUUGAAGUAUAUUUUGAUUUUUAGUUGUGUUGUGAGCAUUUGGUCAUGAAUUAAAAUGAAGGAAAUGGUUGUUGUUUCAUGUUCUUUUGAUGAAAAAUGGAAGAUAUGUGAAGUUGAGCCAAACAAAUGAGCAUGCAUGUGCCUUAGAUGCUAAAGGGAAAAAUCAGCUAACAUGUUGUGCUUUAAAAUGAUGAAAUGGAGAUUAUGCUUAAGUAAAAAUCAUAGAUAUGUGAUGAUUGAUUGGUGAUAUACAUGUUUAAAUAACAUGCAUGCAAGAUAGGUGUAUGAAAGAGUGAUUUGGUAAUAAAUCUGAUUGGGACAGCAGCAGUAACGUGACUUUGGAAAAUCACCAUAAAUUGUGGGAGAUGAAUUAGAAGCUGAAUAAAUUAUGUAAUUAAAGCUUAAUGAGUCUAGUUUCAAAUGGAAUAAACUAGAACAUAUUUUGAAUUCUGUAGAAUGAGAAAUUUUAUUCAUAAUGAAGAGUGGUCAGAUUAGUCAAACAGUGAAACAUGGGAAACUUUUAGAAAAAUCUGGUAUUGAUUGGCUAAACCAAAAAUUCUUAAAAUUUUAUGGAUAUAAGAUAUAUGAGUCUAUUUUCAGGUAAAAUUAACGGCACUUGAUUUGGAGUUUCGUAGCUCCAGUUAUAAAUGAUUUAGUGACUGUUGCUCAGGAAGACAGCUUGCAGUGAAAUUAUGAUUAUGUGGUAAACAUUGACAAAAAUUUGUUAAUGAGUUGCUUAUUGAUUUCUUAUAAGCUUACUAUGAUCUGUAGGUGUGGUUGGCCGAAUAUUGUAAGGGGUUAAUACGUAGUUUGUAUUUGAAUAGUUAGAUUAACGUGUUAGUAAUCCAAUUGUAGGCGGUUCGUGUGUGGAUCUCGUCAGCAUAUCGUCGCAAACAGGUGUGUAACUAACACCCUCUUUCUUAGUCUGGAUCGGCAAAAGUCGAAAAGCCGAAAUGCCGAAAACCGGUAUUUUGUAGAUUUGCGAGUGUGCGAAUGCUCGUGAGGUAAAUCGAUUAAUGUUUUUGGUAAACUGCAAAAUUUGGACUGCAAAGUGCAUGAUUUCUGUGCCCUUGAUAUUUUUGGGCUUAAUGGGCCAAAAUUGGAAUGAUGGGCCAACGGGCCCAAUUCGGUAAGAACCCUCGGUACGUGAUUCUGUUAGUACAUGAAAAGUAGGACUAUGCAUGAAAAACCCUAAAAUAGAUAAAUUACUGAAAUACCUUUAAAAGUAGAAAAUUUACAGUUUUACCCCUAGUAGAUAAAUUACCGAAAUACCCUAGGGUUAAAUUGACCUAAAUGCAUGUUUGAUUGUUGUUAUUUACUGCAUGCCAUGUUGUUAUUAUCCGAUGCAUGGGACUGGGAUAUUGACGGAGGAAGUACUGAAAGUGGCUUGUCCACGUACUGGAGGCUUUGCCUCAAUUUACUGUUAAUUGAGCAGCAAGGCUGCAACUGUGGAGUGUUGGGCUGGGUGGGUUGAGCUAUUCCCCACAUGGAGUGUAUGGCUGGUACGGGUGGAGUGUAGUGGUUGGUGGGUUGAGUAGUCUCCCCAAAUGGGCUUGCAUAUGUUUACUGAUGUUGCAUGUAUUUUGAAAUGGGCCUAUGGGCCAUACUGUUAUCUGAAUAAGAGGCUAAGGCCCAGUUUAUUGUAAUCUGAAAAGGGCUCUGGCCCAGUACCACUGUUACCCAAAUGGGCUUGCAUAUGUUUACUGAUGUUGCAUGUAUUUUGAAAUGGGCCUAUGGGCCAUACUGUUAUCUGAAUAAGGGGCUAAGGCCCAGUUUAUUGUAAUCUGAAAAGGGCUCUGGCCCAAUACCACUGUUACCUGAAUGGGCUUAGGCCCAAUGGGCUUGAGCUGACUUGGGCUUUGAAUGGGUUUUCCUUACACACUGAGUUUCCCCAAACUCACCCCUUUUAUUUUCAUCCACGCAGGAAAUCCCCAACCAUAGUGGGCUUGGAGCUGUGAGAGAAUUCGGAGUGGCCACCCGUUCUGAAAGUUUAAUUUUCUUCUAGUGAACUGGACAUCCUUUUAAUUACGUUUGAGGUUUUGGGCUUUUAAAUGUAAUAAGGCCGCUUAUUUAUUUUUGAUGGUUUUUAUAUGUUUUAUUAAGAUAUGUAAUAUUUAUAUUUAACUGUUGAAAUUGGAUAGCUUUAACGCGCGUUUUCAAAAACAGUAAUUGUUUUCAAAAUAACACGAAAAUAAGCAAAGCUUCCGCAAUGAAGAUAUUUUCCAAAAUUAAUCACUUUUCCUAAAAAGGACUUAAUCAAAUCGGUUUCCUAGAAAUAUACAUGACGUUAAGGUAUGACAAUGGUGGUUUGCAUGUCUAGGAUUGGAUCCGAAGGGAGUUUGGUACUUAAGCAGUCUGAUGGACUCACCUCCUCUUUUCCGGUUUCCUACCUGGUGCACAGCUUCCAUUCACUUUAACCUAUAAUGAAAUUAUCUUUUAAAACACUAAGUAAGUUUUUCUGGAUCAACAAUAUAAAAUGUUUUGAACGCUUCGAUGUGGCAUGUCGGAUUCGGUCAUAACGUCUGGGCCGGGUUUGGGGUGCUACAUUUCUUCAUUAAAAUAGAGCCAUGGUCAGAGAAAUUGAAGAUAAAUAAAAGGGUGGCAUGGAUCGAAGUAUCAGGAGUUCCAUUGCAUUGUUGGAACUAUGAAACAUUUAAAUAAGUUGCUGGGUUAUGGGGGAAUUUGGUGUUAGUAGGUGAAAAUCUAACAAAAGUUCACAAUUUUGAAAAAAUAGAGCUUCUGGUCUCUAUAACUCAAUCGAAAAUGGUUGAUGAAUUAGUUAGCAUGGAAGUUGGAUAAGACUUCUUCCCAAUCAGAGUAAGGGAAUGGGGCCUGACAGAGAUGAAAGAAUACAAUAGUUUAAACAUUAAGGCUAGGUGGAAGAAAAAUGAAGAAGACAGCAUUUCGGAAUCUGGAUAGGUGGCGAGUGUCGUAACCAUUUUUUUUGAAAAAAACGGGGAUUGACUUUAAAACGAAAAUGGAGUCGCCACCAAUCUUUUUUUGUUUAGGUGUGAUCGGGUCACCUUAUGAUCGAUCAUUUUAAUAAAACAUUUUGAUUUAUUAAAACGAUUAUUUUUGGUCUACGAAAAUCGAAAAAUGAGUUCGGGAGUCGGUUACGCACGAGGAAGGAUUAGCUCCCUCGAUACACCCAAAAUUGGUACCUAGUUGAUUAAUUAGUGUCCUAGUGUCGAAAAUUGAAAACUUGAAAGACUUUUAAAAUAUGACCCCUCUUUGUAUUAAUGCUGAUUUAAAAAUGAUCGAAUAAAUUAAAACGGAUGUUGAAGACUCUCUCAUCUUGAAGUAAUAAAAUGUCACGCCCAGUAAGUUAGGACACGUCAUCUUGAACUUUGAGAAUGAGCUUGCCUUUAUUUAAAAUUCAUGUACUUUAACUCUUUUUUUUUAAAAGGAUGUUCGGUUAUUUAGGGUAAACGAGAAAAGUCGAAACCCAGUAAGUUAGGGUACGAUCUUUUGAAAUCUUUAAAUAUCGAACAUUGCUUUGUUUAAAAUUUCAAAUGAAAUGUAAUAAAUAAAUGAAAUGUAUUUUUAUAAAUAACUCAAUAACAUAAGGAAUUAAACAUGUGGCAAUAACAUCUCAGGAAUAAUCUAAAAUAAUAUGGAAAUCCAAAGGAACAACUUAGAAUACAUGCAAUAACAACACAUCAUAUAUUAUGAAAAUACCACCAUUUAUGUCCAAGGGUCAAUGCGUAAGAAACCAAUUUUAAAAGAAGUUUCAAGUAAAUCACCUAAAUAAAAUAUAACAAGUUUUUUUAAAAUAAAAUAAAAUAAAUAAUAGGAAAAAUAAAAUUUGAAAAUAUAACUAUAUGAACUAUAAGAAAAUUUUAAAUAGUAAUGUACAAAUGCAAUUAAAAAAUAUUCUAAAGUAAAUAAUUUGAACGAAGCUUGAAUUGUAUCAAAAUAAAAAAUAAGAAAAAAAAAUAUAUGUAGCGUAAUUGAAAUUCCAAAAUAAAUAAUAGGCAUAAAAGAUUAAAAGUAAAUAAUACACAAAGUAAUAUAUACACAGGAAAAGCUUAAUAUAAAUAAUACAUAUAGUAGUAAUAAUAAUAUAAAGGUAUUUCAUAUAAAUAGGUAUGCAUGUGGAAAAAAAUAAUCACAAAAGUAUGAAAUCAAAAUAAUAUGUUGAAACAUGUUUAUUCUAAGAAGAAUAACUGAAACUUAGUUGAGAGAAAAAAACAAAAUCCAAGGGAUAACUUACAAAUAAAACAAAUUAUUAAAACGUAAUUUUGGGCUAAAAUUAAUUGCGUAUAAAUGUUUGAGGUCUAAAAUUAAAAAUGUCCCAAAUCUUAAAAUAUUGUGCUAAGGGGGCAAAUUGAAAUAGCGCACAGAUUGCAGGGCCAAUUUAAAAUAAUUUAAAAAAACUUAAAUAUAGCCUGAUUGAAGGCUAGCGCAAAGGAGGAGACCAAUUGCGCAAAUUACCCAAUUAAAGGUAAAAUGCACAUGGUCCCAAGCAAAAAAGCGUGCUGAUCCUACUCCCCCAUGCUACUUUGUUUUAUUAUUAAUUAAAACCAUACUUUAUCUCCUUCUUUUUCAUUAAAAAACCUUUUUUAAAAAAACAAAAAAAAAGUUAAAACACCACCCUGCAUUCAUUUUUCAAAACAGAGAGAAGGCUCUCAACCCCCCUCUCAUAUUGCGAUUCACUCCCAAAUUCGGUAGAUCACCACCGCCGGCUUCGCCAUCAGCGACCCUCAUGCAUGGCGGCCGGAGCCCCUUUUCCAGGCGAAGAAAGGUACCUCCUUCCUUUUUUAUUUCACGAAAUAUGUGUAGAUAUAUAUAUAUAUAUAUAUAAGAUUCAAAAGUAAAAUAAAUAGAGCAAAUAAAAGAAAGUAAAACCAUAGAAUAACUCCCUUGAUCUGUUUUUAUUUCCUGAAGUGCUCUCCAUUGUAUGUAGUACAACUGUUCGUUUUUUUUAAGGAAAAAACCCUCCUUCUAGUACCAUCUGUCCUCCUCUUUUACAAUGAAAAAUUGAAGGCUUUAUAGCCAAAAACCAUACAUUUUCCACCUAUCUCUUUGCUCCAAUUACAGGUGUUGCAGUUGUGGAGAACGAAGGGCGUGAAACAUGGGUGAAAACAUGGAGCGGGACAUACGGGAAUCAUGAAUGGAGUAAGUGGAGGUAUGGGCAAUGGGACAGGGCAAGUUGGCCGACAGUCAAGCAUAGGGAUGAUGGCUAGGUUUUUUUUAGUCUUCUUCUUUCCUUUUUUUUUAAUUGCUAUGGGCUAGCGUUAAAGGGUUUUGGGCUGUUGGGUUUUUAGAUGUUGGGCUUUUUAGCCCGGGCAAAAUUUGGGUUGUACAGCUGCCCCUCUUUGCUUGUUGUCGUGUAACAAGAACAGAGCAAAGACUAUAAAAGGACCAAUUUUGCCCGACCUCGCCGAGUCUUGAGUUCUUGAUCCUUGAUCUUCUUUAAAUGGCCUCUUGACGGCUUCAAUCUGCUUCACUGCAACUCAGGAAGGCGAUUUCUACUAUCUUUGAUCUGCUCCCCGUCUAAUACAAAGACGUAAAAUCUAUUAUCUUCGAUCUGCUCCCCGUCUAAUACAGAAACGCCAAAUUUGCUUCUUCAAUCUACUCAUUGCAAACUCAUGACUGUCAUGUUGAUAUCUUCGAUCUGCUCUCCAUCGAACACAGAGACGCCAAAUCUGCUUCUUCGAUUUGUUCCCUGACAAUACAGAGAUGCCAAAUCAUCUUAGAUUUGCUUUACCGUAAGCACGUGAAAGCCAAAUCAGCUAUGUCUUCGAUUUGCUCCUUGUAAGCACAAGGAUGCCAAAUCAUCUUGGAUCUUGCUUCAGUAUAAACAUCUGAAGGCCAGAUCUGCUAUGUAUCUACUCUCCGUCAAAAUGGAGAUGCCAGACUUCGAUUUGUUCUCUGACAAUACAGAGAUGCCAAAUCAUCUUAGACUUGCUUUAGCGUAAGCACGCGAAAACCAAAUCAGCUAUGUCUUCGAUUUGCUCCUUGUAAGCACAAUGAUGUCAAACCAUCUUGGAUCUACUUCAGUGCAAACAUCUGAAGUUUGGAUCUGCUAUGUGUCUGCCCUCCGUCAAAAUGGAGAUUCCAGGCUUCGACUUGUUCUCUGACAAUACAGAGAUGCCAAAUCAUCUUAGACUUGCUUUAGCGUAAGCACGCGAAAACCAAAUCAGCUAUGUCUUCGAUUUGCUCUUUGUAAGCACAAGAAUGCCAAAUCAUUUUAGAUCUACUUCAGUGAAAUCAUCUGAAGGCUAGAUCUGCUAUGUAUCUACUCUCCAUUGAAAUGGAGAUGCCAGACUUCGAUUUGUUCUCUGACAAUACAAAGAUGCCAAAUCAUCUUAGACUUGCUUUAGCGUAAGCACGCGAAAACCAAAUCAGCUAUGUCUUCGAUUUGCUCCUUGUAAGCACAAGGAUGCCAAAUCAUCUUAGAUCUACUUCAGUGAAAUCAUCUGAAGGCUAGAUCUUCUAUGUAUCUGCUCUCCAUCGAAAUGGAGAUGCCAGACUUCGACUUGUUAUCUGACAAUACAGAGUUGCCAAAUCAUCUUAGACUUGCUUUAGCGUAAGCACACGAAAACCAAAUCAGCUAUGUCUUCGAUUUGCUCCUUGUAAGCACAAGGAUGCCAAACCAUCUUGGAUCUGCUUUAGCCAGAUCUGCUAUGCUGCGGCCUAUUACCCUACUGCUUAGGGGAUUAAGACGCGUCAUCUCUAAUAACCUGUAGAAUAAUUAUGCCUGAUAAUUAGGAUGCCAUGAUCGAAAUGAGUCGGAUGUUCCUAAUUAAACAUGUUACGAUGCAAAAUUUUGUGAAUAUGACCACUAUCCUAGACAUCACCACUCAUUCCUUCAUUUUUCUUUUCAAAGCAUUAUUCUUGCUCAACCUGUAGGCCUAUACCCUUCCUCCAAUGCUACGACCCACUGAGGAUGUCUGUAAAACAAUCUUUUCUUAAAAUUGAAUCGUUGAUUUUGUCCAUUUUCCCUUUAGACUGGAAGAAAGAAAUUCCUCGAGUUCCUUCAUCCUUUACUUGCAUGAAUUUCUCGAACAAUCGUCCUGUUUUAGUUUCUUGUAUUAUCUAGAAAUUCCAGAGUAAUGCGCGAAACUUCGUUUGUAAACAUAUUUAGUUCAUCUAUCAUUAUUUCAAUGCAACAUGGAAGAUGAAUAAAUCUUUAAGAAUAAUUGGAUUAAAAGGAAAGGAUACAAAGGAAAUUAAUCUGAAAGCCUAUCUUUAGGAAGAAAUAGAAUCUAAAGAUAGAAAAACAGGAUAAAAGUUAGAUGCUCAAGAUAUUGUUGCUUGAGUGUUUAUACACCAGCUCCAUGAAGUCUUUCUUGAGUUCAAAAUGUGUUUAAAAGAUCCCAAGUACUCCGUUGAUGUCCCAGUUUGCAGCAUUCUUCGCUCUUUGUAACAAGAUCACUGUGUACUCUUCAAAAUUUGAGCUGCCCUUUCGGGUUUCCGACUCAAAACCCCUUUGGUCACAAGGUGCCCUUUGCGGGUUUUCACCUUGGCCUCUCCGUUUUUGAUUUUUUUUUUAAAUCUCAAGGUGCCCUUUGUGGGUUUUCACCUUAGAUUCUCUUCUUCUUUAGACAAAGUAUUUUUUAACUGAGUCCGAGUUCACUGGAUUGGGUAAACUUUUCCCAUCCAUUUCCGCUAAGAUCAAUGCACUACCGGAGAAAGCUUUCUUCACGACAUACAGCCCUUCCUAAUUCGACAUCUAUUUUCCUCUAAAAUCCUUUUGAAUAGGAAGGAUAUUUUUCAGUACAAGGUCUCCCUCAUGGAAUUCUCUUGGUCGAACUUUCUUGUCAUAAGCUCGCAUCAUUCACUUCUGAUACAUCUGACCAUGUCGAAUGGAUUUUAGCCUCUUUUCCUCAAUCAAGUUCAACUGGUCAUACCGGGAUUGAACCCACUCAGCUUCAUCUAACUUUACUUCCGUCAAAAUUUGAAGAGAAGGUAUUUCUACUUCAAUAGGUAAUACUGCUUCCAUCCCAUAAACUAACGAGAAUAGAGUUGCCCCAGUAGAGGUUCUAACAGAUGUUCGGUAGGCUAAGAGUGCAAAUGGCAACUUCUCAUGCCAAUCCCUAUAGGUCUCAGUCAUCUUCCUCACUAUUUUCUUAAUAUUCUUGUUGGCGGCCUCCACUGCCCCAUUCAUUUUUGGACGAUAAGGGGAAGAAUUGUGAUGCUUGAUCUUGAACUGGUUGCAAACCUCCGCUAUCGUUUUGUUGUUUAGGUUUAAUGCAUUGUCGGAUAUGAUCUUCUCAGGCAUUCCAUACCGACAAAUGAUCUCCUUCUUCAUGAAUCGACUCACAGCUGACUUAGUAACAUACGCAUAAGAAGUCGCCUCUACCCAUUUUGUGAAGUAGUCAAUGACCAUGAAGAUAAACCGAUGUCCAUUUGAAGCCUUCGGUGAUAUUGGUCCAAUGACAUCCAUGCCCCACAUGGAAAAGGGCCAUGGAGAAGUCAUGACAUGUAGAGGUGAAUGUGGUACAUGUAUCUUGUCUCCAUAAAUCUGACACUUAUGACAUUUCUUGGCGUAGUUGAUACAAUCCCCUUCCAUGGUAGACCAAUAAUAUCCAAAUCUCAUGAUUUGUCUAGCCAUAGUGAACCCAUUUGCAUGUGUCCCGCAUACGCCUUCAUGAACUUCUUCUAAAAUUAGCUUAGCUUCCACGGCAUCAACACAUCUUAAAAGUACUUGGUCUUUCCUUCUCUUAUACAAGAUGUCCCCGUCCAAGACAUAGUCGCAAGCUAGCCUUCUCAACGUUCGUUUGUCAUUUUCAUUGGCUUGUUCAGGGUAUUUACGAUCCCUCACAUAUCGUAAUAUAUCCUAAUACCAAGGGUUAUCAUCCUCUUCUUCCUUCUCAAUGUUGCAACAAUGUGCUGGAGCCUCGUAGGCACUCAUUUGAAUUGGUCUUAUCUCUUCUUCUUUAUUUGCCUUAAUCAUUGAGGCCAAGGUUGCUAAAGCAUUUUCCAUCUGAUUUUCGUCUCGUGGGAAAUAAUUGAAGGUGACGUCAUCAAACUCCUCAAGCAGCCCCAAAACUACCUUUCGAUAAUUGAUCAAUUUAGGGUCCUUUGUUUCCCAUUCACCUCUGAGUUGAUAAAUUACCAACGUAGAAUCUCCAUAUACUUUUAGGGUUUUUAUACCUCGCUCUAUAGCUACUUGUAGUCCCAUGAUGCAUGCUUCAUACUCAUCCAUUUUAUUCGUGCAAUCAAAGCCCAACUUGCAUGUGAAAGGGUAGUGAUUGCCAUUUGGGGAUACCAAGACUGCCCCAAUUCUAUUUCCGACUGCAUUAGAAGCCUCAUCAAAAUUGAGCUUCCAAGAAGAAUCUUCUGUCGUUGCUAUACACAUCAACUCCUCAUUUGGAAAAUCAAAGUUCAAUGGCUCAUAAUCCUCUAGAGCUCUACUAGCCAAGAAAUUUGAUAUCGCACUUCCUUUUAUAGCCUUCUGACUUAUGUAGACUAUAUCAAAUUCUAAAAGUAGAAUUUUCCAUCUCGCCAUUCUUCCAUUCAGAGCCAUUGACUCCAUCAUGUAUUUCAAUGGAUCAAGCUUUGAGAUGAACCAAGUGGUAUGGUAUAGCACGUACUGUCUUAAUCUCCGAGUUGUCCAAAUAAACAACACAACUUUUCAAUCGGUGGAUAUUUCAUCUCACAGUCAGUGAAUUUCAAACUGAGAUAAUAAAUUGCCUUCUUCUUUUUCCCUGACUCGUCAUGCUGGCCAAGCACACAUCCCAUGGAAUUGCUGAAUACUGAUAAGUACAGUAUUAUUGGUCUAUCUGGACUGGGCGGAGAUAACGCCUGAGCAUUCAACAAGUACUGUUUGACCUUUUCAAAAGCAUUUUGGCAUUCCUCAUCCCAAGUACCUUGAUUGUGCUUUUUAAGGAGACGAAAGAUGGGAUCACACUUCUCAGUUAGUUGUGAAAUAAACCGAGCAAUGUAAUUCAGUCUUCUUAGAAAUCCUUGAACUUCCUUUUGAUUUUGUGGGGGAGGUAAUUCUCGUAUAGAUCUGACCUUGUCUGAGUCAACUUCAAUUCCCUUUUCACUGACUACAAAGCCUAAUAACUUUCCCGAUCUAGCUCCAAAGGUACACUUUGCUGGAUUGAGCCUCAACUGAAACUUUCUCAAUCUCAAGAACAUUCUUCUCAGGACCUCAAUGUGCUCUUUUUCGGUACACGACUUGGCCAUCAUAUCAUCAACAUACACCUCAAUAUCCUUAUGCACCAUAUCGUGGAACAAGUUCACCAUGGUUCGCUGGUAUGUUGCCCCCGCAUUCUUUAACCCAAACGGCAUUACUUUGUAGCAAAAGGUACCCCACAAGGCUAUGAAGGUAGUUUUAUCCAUAUCCUCUAAAUGCAUCUUUAUCUGAUUGUACCCCGAGAAACCAUCUAUGAAAGAGAACAACGAAUAUCCUGCCGUGUUGUCUACUAAAGUGUCGAUGUGUGGCAAAGGAAAUUAUCUUUGGGGCUAGCUUUAUUUAAAUCUCUGUAAUCAACACACAUUCGUACCUUCCCAUCUUUCUUUGGAACUGGUACAAUGUUGGCUACCCAUUCGGAGUAUUUCACUUCUUGUAAGAAUUCUACAUCGAACUGCUUCUUAACCUUAUCUUUUAUUUUUAGAACAAUGUCUGGCCGCAUUCUCCGCAACUUCUGUUGGACUGGCUUACAAUCCUGCCUUAUCGGAAGACGAUGUACUAUAAUGUCAGUACUUAAUCCGAGCAUGUCCUGGUAUCCUUGAACUCUCGAAGCAACUCAACCAAACUAUGCCUUUUGUCCUUGGUAAUCAGUAUUCCAAUUUUCAACUCAGCACCCUUCCUCUAGGGCUAUAUUCUCUAUUGCCUCUUUCUCAUGUGGCAUGAUUUGUUUCUCCUCCUGCUUUACCAUUCUUAACAGAUCGAGGGAUACGUCACAAUCUUGAACAUCUUCAAAAUCCUGAGAUUCCUCUAAACACAUGUCUUGCUCGUAAGAGAAAUUAGGAGCGGCAGUAUUAGUGCUCAUAUCAUUGAUAUCUAGAGACCUGUGGGGGUAUGAAAGAAUAUACAAAGAAUGAAUGAAUCUAAGAAUGGUUGUUUAUGUGCUAUGAAUAAAAGGAUAAGGAUUGCCAAAAUUUAAAGGAAUAUUGGUUGAUAAAGAUGAAAUAAUACUCGUUUAAAAUUGAUAAAAGUUAUGUUUUAUUUAAAUAAUAAUAGAUGAACAUAGGUCUAUUUUCACAAAUGUAAUCUUACUACUCCUAGGCCCUAGACAUGUUUCGGGAAUUACUCUAAAAAAUUCCUAAAGAUUACAGGAAGUUCUUCUGCAGUCCAAUUGUUUAAAGAACUUCCCGGUUCGUAAGGGCGAAUGCCCUCAAGGUUUUUUUGUUCAGUCCCUUUCUCAUGUAUGACAUUGAUGGGAUGAUUUUCCUUUCCAAACACCCCCUUCUCGGGGUAAGCUAUCUCUCCUGACACAAAAGUCAGGGAUAUGUAAGGGAACGUCAUUAAUUCCUAUUCAACUUCUUUUUCACUUAGCCGUGACCCUAUUCUCUCUCUCUUUUUUUCUUUCUCUUUUUAAUAACUUUAACUAAUUAGGGUCUUUUUAUGGAUUUAAAUGCAUGUGAUGUGAUGCAAUGCAAAUGCAUGAAUGCAAAAGAAAAGGAGAUAUUGAUCUUGAAUUCAAUUCCAUUAGAAUAACUUUUCUAGAAAACAGAUUUCUUUACAUGAAAAUAGAUUGCAUAUGUAGUCUUGCCCUUCAUAGUCCAAGUAAACGUUGAUCUUUUCUUCAUGGUCGAAUCCUGUAAAUUCUCUAAAAGAUGCCUUUGCUAGCUCCUUGCUAUUUAAUCUGAGCUCGAUCUCUUGCUCGCUUAUCUCUAUGAUACUCAUCAAAAAGUGUCGGCUCUUGGAUAAUCUUCGUCGAUAAUUAAAUUAAGUCAUGUAUUCCCUCGUGGACUUCUGGCUUUCUCUCGUCAUGCUCUUGGAUAACUUUUGUUGGCUUGAAUCUCCGGCAAUUACAUCAUGUAUUCCUCCGUGGACUAUCAGCUUUCUCUCGUCGUGUUUAUUUGGACUAUAUUCAGACGACCGCACUAUAAUCCACUUUAUCAAGAAAUUCGUUUCCUUAUGACAAACUAUUCUAUUUAGGAAUCAAAUUUCAAAUCAACACCAACUUUUCUUUGAUGUAAUGUAAUGCAAAUGCAUGAAUGCAAAAAGAUAUCGAUCUCGAUUUAGUUUCAUUUUAGAAAAUGUUAUUUAAGGAACAAAAGUCUUUUCAUAAAACGGAUUACAAAUACACUUUCGCUCGUAGGCCCAGAGUCUUAACCCUAUCUAAUAACAAAGCUAACUCUCGACCUCUAUCUGAACUGCCCCGUUUUAUAUUGCUUUAGGACGAGUAAUGGUGCAUAGCCAACGACUUCCCAAAUCCUAAGAAGAGGUACCCAAUCAAAACUACCGCAAUGAUAAAGGACUUCAUUAGGAGUCAUCCAAGGUGCUUUCCACAAAACCUCCUCCUCUCGAAGGUUCUAAAGAAUAUCUAUCCACCUUUCUUCUGUAAUAUCGUCUCUCAUUAGUGUAGUUUUUGCUUCCUUUAAGGGGGAAUAACCCACAAAGAACACUGGGCAAGGAACCUUCUCAAGCUUCCAAAAGUGACUAUGGAACCAUACUAACAACAACUGUGUGCAUCCAAUAAAUCUACUUUACCGGCUCUCCGACAUGUACUUCAAGAAUCUAAACAUCUCAGCUAGGAUUGCUAGCACCGGUGUGUUCUGUUUACCAAUACAAUCAAACAAAUCUGCGACUGCCUCAUCUAUGUGCCCUAUCGCUUUCGGGAAAAUCACCAAGCCGUAAAUACUUAAGGCCAAAACGUUGAUCUUCUUCUUCACAUCUAGGUGUGUCAAUAUUAGAUCCCUCGAAAUGGCCCACGGAAUGCACUUAUUAUUGCCCUUUUGUUGGACUCGAGCUGCGGCCUACUGUUCACUCAUCCCUGUUAUCAUCAUAAUUUCUUCACAAAAGUAGGGAGAUUAGUAGCCCUAACAUACACCUUGUUAUCUUGAAUUUUUGGACAGCGAAGCAAGGUCAUAUACUCCUCCAAAGUAGGUACCAAGUCUACCUUUCCCAAUGUAAAACAACUAUAAACAGGGUUCUAAAACUGUACCAUAGAUUGAAACAGAUACCUGUCCACCUUGAUGUCUAGCAAAUAAGGAAGAUCUCCAUAAUUCUGGUAGAACAGCUGCUUAGCCUCGUCAUCCCAUUGGUCCCAAAUGUCCUUCAACUCCCGAAACUCAUUCUGUGUUGAACUGAUACGAGUAAAGUCCCAUGACUCUGACGUAUACCUCUCAGUGACACUAUCUCCCUUUUCUAAUUAGGUUUUCUCUGACCAUGCAUAGACAGAAGCGUUGUCCUCCACUUUAUCAAGAUAUUCGUUCCUCAUUACAAAACUUUCUAAUCUAGAAAUCGAACCGUGAAUUGACACCUUUUAAUGAUGAAUGAUAUGUGGUGAUGACAAAAUAAAAAAAAAACAAGUUAGUAUCAUAUAAAAAGAUGUAAUAAACAAGAACUUAUAAAGGUAGGUACUAAAGAUCAUCACCAUCCUACCUAGAGCAAGCACUUAAAGUUCACUAUAUGUAGUUUAGUUCUAGAGCAAGGGUACCUGAACUAUCAGAUUCCUCGGUCCUCACCCAUUAUAGGCUCAUAUGGACCAAGUUCAAUUCAGGGGAAUACAUUUCCUUAUGCCCAUGCGGAGGUGAAAACCUCACGAAGACAUAAGUACGGAUGUAUUCCGGAAGUGAUCCCCUAGCCCAUGCGGAGGUGAAAACCUCACGAAAGCAUAGUUUCUCACUCCCACUUAAAAGGUGUGACCACAACGGUCAUGCAAUGCGAUGCAAAACUAUUUAAGGACUCAAACCAAUGCAAUAGGUAUUAUAUCAUAAACCACAAAAAGCUGAUGAAAUGCAAUGAAAGAAUCGUAUUUCAAAACCUAAUUUUCAAUUUUCGAUAUAAAGACAAAAGUUAAUCAACUUGUGGCUUGACUCUCUUAUUUGGUCCCCAAUGGAGUCGCCAAGCUGUUGUAACCAUUUUUUUUUGAAAAAAACGGGGAUUGAAUUUAAAACGAAAAUGGAGUCGCCACCAAUCUUUUUUUGUUUAGGUGUGAUCGGGUCACCUUAUGAUCGAUCAUUUUAUAAAAUAUUUUGAUUUAUUAAAAUGAUUAUUUUUGGUCUACGAAAAUCAAAAAAUGAGUUCGGGAGUCGGUUACGCACGAGGAAGGAUUAGCACCCUCGAUACGCCCAAAAUUGGUACCUAGUUGAUUAAUUAGUGUCUUAGUGUCGAAAAUUGAAAACUUGAAAGACUUUUAAAAUAUGAUCCCUCUUUGUAUUAAUGAUGAUUUAAAAAAGAUCGAAUAAAUUAAAACGGAUGUUGAAGACUCUCUCAUCUUGAAGUAAUAAAAUGUCACGCCCAGUAAGUUAGGACACGUCAUCUUGAACUUUGAGAAUGAGCUUGCCUUUAUUUAAAAUUCAUGUACUUUAACCCUUUUUUUUAAAAGGAUGUUCGGUUAUUUAGGGUAAACGAGAAAAGUCGAAACCAGUAAGUUAGGGUACGAUCUUUUGAAUUCUUUAAAUACCAAACAUUGCCUUGUUUAAAUUUUCAAAUAAAUGUAUUUUUAUAAAAAAAAAUAACUCGAUAACAUAAGGAAUUAAACAUGUGGCAAUAACAUCUCAGGAAUAAUCUAAAAUAAUAUGGAAAUGCAAAGGAACAACUUAGAAUACAUGCAAUCACAACACAUCAUAUAUUAUGAAAAUACCACCAUUUAUGUCUAAGGGUCAAUGCAUAAGAAACCAAUUUUAAAAGAAGUUUCAAGUAAAUCCUAAAUAAAAUAUACCAAGUUUUUUUAAAAUAAAAUAAAAUAAAUAAUAGGAAAAAGAAAAUUUGAAAUAUAACUAUAAGAACUAUAAGAAAAUUUUAAAUAGUAAUGUACAAAUGAAAUUAAAAAAUAUUCUAAAGUAAAUAAUUUGAACGAAGCUUGAAUUGUAUCAAAAUAAAAAAUAAGAAAAAAAUAUAUAUAUGUAGCAUAACUAAAAUUCCAAAAUAAAUAAUAGGCAUAAAAGAUUAAAAGUAAAUAAUACACAAAGUAAUAUAUACACAGGAAAAGCUUAAUAUAAAUAAUACAUAUAGUAGUAAUAAUAAUAUAAAGGUAUUUCAUAUAAACAGGUAUGCACGUGGAAAAAAAAUAAUCACAAAAGUAUGAAAUCAAAAUAAUAUGUUGAAACAUGUUUAUUCUAAGAAGAAUAACUGAAACUUAGUUGAGAGAAAAAAACAAAAUCCAAGGGAUAACUUACAAAUAAAAAAAAUUAUUAAAACGUAAUUUUGGGCUAAAAUUAAUUGCGUAUAAAUGUUCGAGGUCUAAAAUUAAAAAUGUCCCAAAUCUUAAAAUACUGUGCUAAGGGGGCAAAUUGAAAUAGCGCACAGAUUGCAGGGCCAAUUUAAAAUAAUUUAAAAAAACUUAAAUAUAGCCUGAUUGAAGGCUAGCGCAAAGGAGGGGACCAAUUGCGCAAAUUACCAAAUUAAAGGUAAAAUGCACAUGGUCCCAAGAAAAAAAGCGUGCUGAUCCCACUCCCCCAUGCUACUUUGUUUUAUUAUUAAUUAAAACCAUACUUUAUCUCCUUCUAUUUCAUUAAAAAACCCUUUUCUAAAAAACAAAAAAAAAGUUAAAACACCACCCUGCAUUCAUUUUUCAAAACAGAGAGAAGGCUCUCAACCCCCCUCUCAUCUUGCGAUUCACUCCCAAAUUCCGGCAGAUCACCACCGCCGGCUUCGCCAUCAGCGACCCUCAUGCAUGGCGGCCGGAGCCCCUUUUCUAGGCGAAGAAAGGUACCUCAUUCCUUUUUUAUUUCACAAAAUAUAUGUAGAUAUAUAUAUAUAAGAGCAAAUAAAAGAAAGUAAAACCUUAGAAUAACUCCCUUGAUCUAUUUUUAUUUCCUGAAGUGCUCUCUAUUGUAUGUAGUACAACUGUUCAUUUUUUUUAAAAAAAAACCCUCCUUCUAGAACCAUCUGUCCUCCUCUUUUACAAUAAAAAAUUGAAGGCUUUAUAGCCAAAAACCAUACAUUUUCCACCUAUCUCUUUGCUCCAAUUGCAGGUGUUGCAGUUGUGGAGAACGAGGGGCGUGAAACAUGGGUGAAAACAUCGAGCGGGACAUACGGGAAUCGUGAAUGGAGUAAGUGGAGGUAUGGGCAAUAGGACAGGGCAAGUUGGCCGACAGUCAAGCAUAGGGAUGAUGGCUAGGUUUUUUUUAGUCUUCUUCUUUCCUUUUUUUUUAAUUGCUAUGGGCUAGUGUUAAAGGGUUUUGGGCUGUUGGGUUUUUAGAUGUUGGGCUUUUUAGCCCGGGCAAAAUUUGGGCUGUACAGCGAGAACAAGGCCGGAAAUCCCAUCGGAGGGAAAAGAUUGUCAAGUUAGGAGUAUUAAUGGACAUCAAUCUUAAAAAUGGGAAUAAUAUUAAUUAUUGUUAGAGAAUGCUAGAGAUGGUAAAUAAAGAGGCAGUGUCAGAGUCUGUUUCCAAAGAUAUUAAAAUAGGAGAAGCAGAUGAAGUGGAUAAAUGUAAGGGAUGGGCUUUGAAGAAAGUAAGGGAUAUGGGCUUGGCUGUUGUAGAGGAUCCAAUAGAAGAUCCAAAAGAAGGGGGAAAUGAUAAUGGAUCGAGCAUGAAUGUGGGCUGUAAGAAUGUAGGAAAAACUAACUCAGAAGGAAAAACAAGUCCAGUGGAAGGCAACAAAAGUAUUUAAGAAAAUGAAACAGGAAGAGGGGAAUUUUGGGAAUCCAAUAUAGAAUUAGAAGAAGAAUUAAAUCAGGUGCUUCUUCGCAGGAAAAAAAAAAGAAAGGUUUGAACAAGAAGAUACAGUCGAUGUAUGAAAUUCAAGGCAAUAUUGUUACAAGCCCAAUUUGCCCGGCCCAAAACCCAACUACCCUAAAAACUAAUCAGCCCAAUUACAAACCCUAGCCCACUAUCCUAAACUUUUCCAAGAAAAUCUAGCCCCCUAGGUGUGCCGCCCCUACUACCUACCACCAGCACACCUGCCCACCUGCUCCACCGCCCGUGUCAGCAUCGCCCAUCCACCUACAAGAAGAACAGAGCAAUCAAGUAGAAAAACAAGUUGUAAAAUUGGCUAUUUAAAAGCCUAAAGAUCAAAUGUAAUAAGGAGAGGUUUUUUUAGACAUUGAAUACAAUCACAAAAAAAAAAAGCAAAUUCAAAUACAUAAAUAACAAAUAGUAGAUCGAAAGAGAAAUCAAAAAAAGUUCAUAAUCGAGCAAAGGUUACCAUAUUUUAUUUCAUUUUAUUUUAUUUUUUUCAUUUACAAAUCUGUUAAUACAUAUAUGUAUAUAUAAAGUGUAUAAAAAAUGGGACUUACCUUCAAUCUCGCUAAAAAAGGCCGACUUUUGGCCUUCCUGCCACCGUAUAUGGCGGCGCCGGCGAACGGUGGCCGAUGACCGAAGACCAAGGUUGGGAGGGCCUGCUGUAGAGAAAAAGGGAGCCCUCCUUUUUGUUUUUUUGAAGAGAAUGAGGGAAGAAUGAAAUUUUUUUAAAAAAAUUUACCUUUUAUACCCAUAUAAAACGGCGUCGUUUUGGCCCCUAGGAUCAGCGUGUUGACCCGCCCGCUAGCAGGAUCCGCGUGUUUUUGGAAAAGGGGGAAUUUGCGCGAGUGGUCCUUCCUCCUUUUUAUUACUUUGUAAUCAAGUCUUUUGAUUCUUCAAUUUUGGCCCCGAAUUUUGCCUGGAUUCUAGUUCAGUCCCUACCGGAACUGUGCGUUUAGAGGGAGGGGAUAUUUUCCUUUUUCGUCCCUUUACGUUGCGCACGUGUUGCAAUCUGGUCCUUCCCCCUUUCUUUUCAUUUUUAAUUUGCCCCAAAAUUUCGUUUUAAGUUCGGUUUAAUUCUUUUUCGUUAUUUUGCUAUUUUAUCUUCAAAAUAAUUAUUUUUUUAUUAUUUUUUCUUAUUAUAUUUAUCAUCAUUAUUGUUUCUUUGCCAUUACUGUUAACACAAUAUAUUUAUUCCUAUUAUUUUAUAUUAUUGUCGUUAUUAAUAUAUACUAUUAUUAUCAUUAAUAUUAUUAUUAUUAUUAUUACUAAUAUCACUAUCAUCGUUUUUUAUUACUAUUAUUAUCAUCAUUUUUUUAUCUAAUAUAUUAUUAACCUUUUAUUAUUAUUACUAUUAUUAUUAUAUUUUCUUUUUAUUUUUUUCACUCAUACGUUAUUAUUUUUAUAUUAAUUAAUUUAAUAUAUAUAUUUUUAAGCAUACUUAUUUUAUUUAUAUAUAAUUACUCUUAUUAUUAUCAUUUCAUCAUUUAUUUUAUUUAUAUCUUUCUAAACAAUUUCAAACUUUAGAUUAUUUAUUAUUUGUGUUAUUGUUAUUAUUACUUUUUAUUAUUACCAUUAUUAUUACUAUUAUUUUUACUUUUAUUACUAUUACUAUAUUAUUAUUAUUAUUUUCUAUUACUAUUAUCGUUAUUAUUAAUACUAAUAUUAAUAUUCUUAUUAUUACUAUUAUUAUUAUCAUUAGUAUUAUUAUUUUUUACCACUAUUAUUAUUAUCAAUAUUAUUAUUAUCGUUUUCAUUAUCAUUGUCGUUUUUAUUUUUCCAUGUUUUAUAUUUUUUAUUUACUUAUGUGUUUGAUUAUUUCAUUUGCCUUAUGCAUUUGUUUUAUAUUUUUAUAUUACUAGCAUUGCUUUUAUUUCACCUUUUUAUAAUUGCUCAUAUUAUUGUUAUUGACACUGUCGCGCCUAUUAUUAUGUUAUUAAACGUAUUAGCACCAUAAUUUACUUUUAUAUUUCACUAUAAAUCACGUCACAUUUCACUCGAUACAUUAAAAUAAUUCUUUCAUAAAAGCAAUAUUCCAUAAUUAGAAAUUCGAGAAAAUCGUGCCCUAACAUACUGGGUUUCGAUUUUUCUCAUUUAACCUAAAUUACGUAAUAUUCUUUUAAAUUGUAAUAAGGGCUUUUGAAUAAAAGUGCUUAUUCUCGAAGAUACGAGGUGUUGUACCCUAAAUCACUGGAUAUUGCAUCUUGUUACCUCGAAAUAAGAUUUUUUGUAAAUAAAGGCAACGUUCGGUAUUUGGAAGUUCGAGAAAACGUGCCCUAACUUACUGGGUUUUAAUUUUUCUCGUUUACCCUAAAUAAUCGAAUACCCUUAAAAAAAGUUAAAAUACACGAAUUUUAAGUAAAAGGCUGACUCAUUUUCAAAAGUUCGAGAUGUUGUGUCCUAACUUACUGGAUGUGACAUUUCAUCACUUUGAGACGAGAAGGUCUUUAACAUUUGAGUGUUUUUUACAAAAGAGGGAUUGUAUUUCAAAGUCUUUCAAGUUUUAAAUUUUCGACACUAAGACACUAAUUAAUCAACUAGGUACCAAUUUUUGGGCGUAUCGAGGGUGCUAAUCCUUCCUCGUGCGUCAUCAACUCCCGAACUUAUUUUUUGAUUUUCGUAGACCAAAAAUUAUCAUUUUAGUAAAUCUUAACUUUUAUUAAAAUGAUUAAUUUGAGAUGACCCGAUCACACCUCAUCAAAAAGGAUUGGUGGCGACUCCCGUUUCUUUCAUUUUAGUUUCCAAAACCAAAGUCGACUCCAUUUUUCAAAAAAUAGUUUCGACAAACAUUUUAACGACAAAUGAGAGGAAAAGAGAGACAGACCCUUGCAUAAGGAAAAAGGAAGGGAAGUUCGUAAGGAAGAUGAGAGGAUUGUAAAUUUAUCCCUAUCAGAUUCGAAUAUUAACAACAGAAUGAGGGUGAUUCUAAGGGAAGCAAAUAAUACUUGGGCAAUCGGAAAGAAAUUGGGAGUUAAGGAACGACAUGACAACACUAUUUUAGGAAGAUUCAUGGUGUGGCAGUCGUCAUUUAGAAGAAGGAUUUCUAAGGCUUUAUCGAUUGGCAAAACUCAAAAAAAGAAGUGUGAGAAUGUAUACUAGAAAAGAGGGUUUUAGAAAAGUAAAGUGGGGGGCAUUUGUUAUAAGAAAACUGAUUGAUAUGAUAAAGUAAUGUUUGCUGGAGUAUUUUUGGUGGAUAUGUCUGAAUAGGUGUAGGAUUGAUUCAAUUAAUCCAAGCCAGAUGCAUUAUUUUGGUGGCCUCCUCCUCAUGGAUGUUUAAAGUUCAAUGUGUGUGGGAUUGCAAACGAGGAUUGAGUAGGAUGUGGAGGAGUCUUGAGUGAUAAGGAGCGUGUCGUAAGAGAAUUAUUUUUUGGUUUUGCAGCAGGAAAUGAUUCCAUUGUGUGGUACAGAUUGGCACGGUGAAGGUAUAAAUUGGGAGAAAAUGUUUAAUUAUAAAUUGGAAGAAAAUGUUUAAAGCUUGGUGGUGAGUUUUGCUUUGCUGUAAUCAUAGGUCUGUUAAGUGAUCGAAUGUGUUUUUUUUUAGAAUGUUGUAUUGUUAAACUUUUGUUGCUAUUCUAUUCGUAUUUUAUAACAGAACAGAUCGAAUGAAGCAAAAAAAAAAGAGGAAAAAAACCUAACCAUCAGGCCAAUACACAGGUUCAUAUAUUAACAAUUUUUGAGUAGCUAAUUUUUCUUAAUAUAGGUAAACCUUGCAAUCUUGAUUUCUAACUCAAAAUUUAACUUGAUGAAUUUAAAAUAAAGGUUAUUUUAUUUUUAUUUAAUCAUAUAAAAAUUCAAACUUAAAUUGAUUCAAAUUCGAAAUAUAGGGGUUGGCUUUGCACCCUAAAAUGGUAAGUUUAUGUUUUAGCGUUUUAAAUUUUAUAAAUUUUAUAAAUUAGUAUAUGGUAAAAAUUAUACUUUGGCUUGCAAAAAUAAUAAAAUUUUAAUUUAAUCCUUAAUUAAUUAUAAAGACGUAAGCUAUUAAAAUGGUGAAAUGACAUUUUACCUCUCAUAAAAACUUUACAACUUAAAUGAGAGUAAAUAGAUCCGAAAACCUCAAGCAACACAAAAUUAUUUUAAUCUAAAGCUCAUUUAAAUCUGAAAAUGAUGAAGACAAAUUUGUUUAUGUUUAUAAAUUUUUUUAAUAAUCUGAUUAUAAGUUUUGAUGAUAUCUACUCUUUUUAACACAAUGCCUAGAAUUAUCUAUAACCCCUCCCCAACCCAUAAAUAGGAGGAUAAUGCGUUUAAGCAUACUCGAAACUAGAUCUUCUUACAUUGACAAUAAUACCUAUACUAAUCAAGCUAAGAUUCAAAGCUAAAAUUCAAUUCAUUAAUUGUAUAUAUAUUUUAAUGUGAUCCAGCACCAUAUGAAUGAAACAAAUGAAUGCAUCAGUUCAAAUUGCCCAAUGAAAGACCUAAGAAAUAUUAAAAUCUAUAUAAUAAAAAAAGUUUGCAGAUAGCUUGCACACCAAGCCUAAUAUGUUUUAUUUUUAAUUUAAAUUUAUUAUCACGUUUUCAAUAUUUGAUUAUGAUAUUUAAAUUUAUAUCUCAAGAUAACGACUAUGAUUUGAAAUAAAAUUAUAUAGAUGCAUGCAAAUUUCCCUUUGUCUACUAUUAAUCAUUUAGUUUUGGCAUAAUGAUUUUUUUAGUCCUCUAAUUUUAAAAAUUAAAUUAUUUUAGUCCUUCAUUUAAAUUUUCGCUUCUUCUAAUCCUUAAAUUUACAUUUUUUGUCAAACUGCUCCAAAUUUGAUGGAAAAGUUAAUAUUUAAUAACUUUCCUGACGUGUUAUACAUGUGGAUUGUUGAGUAGAAAACAGGUGAGCAUUUAAUUCAUUUCUAAACUAUUAAAAAUAAUUUUUAUAAUUUCUAAUUUUUAAAAAUAAUUUUAUAAUAUUUUAAAAUUUUUUAAAUUUUAAAAAAUUAAUUAAAUGUUGACAUGUCAUCUUCAUAGCAGUCCACAUAUAUGCAACGUUAACAAAAUUAAAAAAGUUAACUUUUCCAUUCAUCUUGGGAUGAUUUGACAAAAGUACAAGUUUAAGGACUUAAAAGAUAAAUGUAGCGACGUAAAAAUUUUGGUUUGGGGUCGCUAAUUGUGACAAUCUAGUGAAAAAGUUCGAAAACUGAAGUUUGAUUUUAAAAAAAAGAGGGAGUCGCCACCGAUCCUUUUCCUAGGUGUGAUCGGACACCUAUUAGAUUCAUUUUUUUUUAAAACAAAAGGAAUGCUGAAUUUAGGUCUACGUUAAAAGCCAGAGGAAAAUUAGGGUUCGGGAGUCGGUUACGCGCGAGGAAGGUAUUAGCACCCUCGCGACGCCCAAAAAUUGGUAUCUCAUAAACACAUGUUGUCUUAAUUUUCAAAAAUGCGAAUUCAAUGUAAAGUUUAGUUGUGAUCUGAAAAAAACGAGAAAUUUUAGUUUAUUCCGAUUUUUGAGAAGGGUAUAUCGCUUUAACACGAGUCAAUUGAUGUUCACCCAACGUAGCGAUGAACUCGAUGACUUAAUGUUAAAUCGAUAUGUUGCCUUGAUUAUUGAAAUUAAUUAGCAAAACAAGAAUACGAUUUUCGAAAUAAUGCAAAGUAAAAUAAUAUGAAAUAAAAAUCAAUAAAUGAAAGAGCUAGGGAUAUAUUAAAACAAAUAAUCGAGGUGACAAUAAUAUUAGAAAAGAUGAAGGUAUAAUGUAAUAAUAGAAUCGGACACGAAAUUAAAAUAAUGAAUGUAUACACAUAAUAAUAAUAUUAAGAAUGCGUGUGUAAAAUGACAUAUAUAUUUAGCGAUAUUAAAAAUCCAUACAACAUACAUAGAACAUAUAUAGUAUAUGCAUACCUUAGAAAUGAUAAGAAUAAUGAUAAAACUAUUUUGUACACUACAUAAAUACAUACACACACAUAUAUAUAUAGAUAUAUAAACAAUAGUAUUAGAAACGUAUAAUAUUAGAGAUACACAUAAUAGUAAAAAAAUAGAUACCUAAAUAAUAUUAAAAUAUACAUAAUAAUAUACAUAAAAUAUAAUAUUAAAAACUUAUGUACGUAACACGUAUAAAAGAAAUAUAAUAUUAAAUCAUUUACAUAAUAUACACAUAUGAUUUUCAGGUUAAAUACAUAUUUGAGUACUAACAUUACAUAAAAAUAUACUUAUAUAUAUAAUAUAUUAAAUAAAGUGGGAUAAAAAAUAUUGAAUAUUAAGCAAUACAUAUACACAUACACAUAUGAAGCAAAAAAAAAAUUAACACGUAAUAAUAAUAAUAAUGAUAAUAAUAACAAUAUUAAUGAUAUUAAUAAUUCAAAAAUAAUGAUGAUAUUUAAUAAAAAUAACAAAAGAGACGAAGAAGGACUAAAAUUAAAACAAUAACGAAGUUAUGGGGUCAAUUUAAAAAGGAAAUAAAGAGGAGGGACUUAAUUACAACACGCGCGUAACUAGAAGGGUCAAAAGCACAAUAAAUCCAGAUGUUAAAACGCUGCGCAGCGUGGGGGACCAGAACGAAAUCAGGGCAAAACAGCGGGGCCGAAUUUAAAAUAUAAAAAAAACUUGAUUAUAAAAUGUUGAAAAAGCGGAGGGGCCAACUGCGCAAAUAGCCCCUCCCUUAAAAACACGCGGAUCCCCUGGUCGGACGGGUCGGGUCGACCCGACCCGCAUCAAAACGGCGUCGUUUUCUGCUUUAAGGGGGGGUCCAAAACGGUGCGUUUUGGACCCUUAUAUAAGCCAAAUUUUUUUGUUUUUUUUUUCAUUUGAAACAGCUGAGAGAAAAAAAAAGAAAAGGGGGAGGGGAGAGGGAAGCCCGGAGCGAUUUCCGGCCAAGGGGGAGGGCUCCGGUCCGAUCGCCGGACCGUUGCCGGCGCCGGCGCCGGCCACCGUACGCGGUGACCGAAAAAGGUAAUUUUCUAUUUUUUCUCUCUUUUUUUUGCUUUUUAUUUCUUUAUGUUUAUUUGUAAAUUUUUAUGUAUUUGUAGUGAAAAAUGGACUUAAAACAGUUAUUGAAAUGAAGAAUUACCUUCGGUUUUACUCACUUUUGAAUCUUCGAUCUUUUGUAUUUUGCCUGCUUGGAUGUUAUUUUGCGUUCAAACUCUAAUUAGGCUGCUAUUUUUUGCUCUAUAAUCGAACCUUCCUGUCGUUUUUAUUUUUUAAGAAACAAAGAACCAUCCCCCCUUUACAGAAAUCCAAAUCGGCUUUUUAUAGCCUUUACAAUAUUUUAUUUAAUAUUUGUUGUCUUGUCUCUUUUCUGGUCUUGCAGGGUAUGGAGGUGCCAGGCAUGCGGGGAUGGUGUUGGCAGAAGCAUGGGGCGUGGUAGCUGACAUGGUGGUGUUCGGCGCAAGUGGGCAAGUGGGGGGUAGGUGGCUAGGGUUAGUGGGAUUAGGGUUUCUGAAUGCUGAGUUUAGGUUAAUGGGCUGGGGUAGUUGGGCUUCGGGUUUAGUUGUUUAGGCUUGGUUUAGGAUGAGAUGGGUAUGGGGUUUAAGUAAGUUUAGUUAUUGGGUUUUGGGGGUGGCCCAAAAUUGGCCUGUACAGCUGCCCCUCUUUGCUCAUUGUCGUGUAACGGGAAUGGAGCAAAGACAUAAUGAAAGGCCAAUUUUGCCUGGUCUUGCUGGGUCUUGACUUCAUUGGUGCUCUUCUAGUUCAGAUAAUCUUCUUCCAGUCCACUGCAUCUUGUAGCUUUAGAUUCAAUCCACUACAUCUUCUGACAUAUGCCUUGUAGCUUCGAUCUACUCCAAUGUAACUUCAAGGAUAUGAGAUUUGUGGCUUUGAUCUGCUUUCAUGUAGCUUCAUAAAGAUAAGAUCUACAGCUUCAAUCUGCUCUUUUAUCACUUCAGUGAGAUGAGAUUCGUGAUCUUCUCUUUUGUAACUCUAGCGAGACAAGAUUUGAUAUCCUCGAUCAGUUCCACUGCGACCUCAGGGAGACAAGACUUGCAAAUUUUGACCGGUUCCACUAUAGCUUCAGGGAGACCAAGUCUGGUGUCUUUCAUCAACUUCAAUCUUUAUUCUUACUCAGCAUGUGAUCUUGAGCCCAACUCAUUUCUCGCAAUAUGAAUUGACUCUUUAAAAACAGACAUUAAAAACAAAAACUAAAGAUAUCUCAACAUGUGAACUGAGGCUCAACUCACUUUUCGCAAUAUGAGUUGAUUUUUUUGACAACAGAAAUUGAAAUUACCUCAGCGUGUCCUGAGGCUCAACUCAUUUCUCGCAAUAUGAGUUGAAUUUUGAAAAGCAAAAAUUGAAAAUACCUCAACGUGUCUUGAGGCUCAACUCAUUUCUCGCAAUAUGAGUUGAAUUUUGAAAAGAGAAAUUGAAAUUACCUCAAUGUGUCUUGAGGCUCAACUCAUUUCUCACAAUAUGAGUUGAUUCUUUCUAAAACAUAAUAAUGAAAACAGAAAUGGAAAAUACCUCGGUGUGACCUGAGGCUCAACUCACCUCUCGUAAUAUGAGUUGAUUUUUUUUGAAAAACAGAAAUCAAAAGGCUUAAUUGAAAUACCUCGGCGUGGGUCCUGAGGCUCAACUCACCUCUCGCAAUAUGAGUUGAAAUUAAAACACAAAAAUUGAAAAUACCUCAGCGUGCCCUGAGGCUCAACUCACCUCUUGCAAUAUUAGCUGAUUUUGAAAAAGUAGAAAUUAAAAGGUUCAACCCACCUCUCGCAAUAUGAGUUGAUUCUUGACAAACAGAAAUUGAAAUUACCUCAUCGUGUCCUGAGGCUCAAGUCACCUCUCGCAAUAUGAAUUGAAAAAAAUAACACAGUGUGUAAUCUGAAGCUCAACUCACCUCUCGCAAUAUGAGUUGAUUUUUUUUUAAAAACAGAAAUUGAAAAUACCUCAGCAUGUGAACCGAGGCUCAACUCACCUCUCGCAAUAUAAGUUGAUUUUUUUUUUGAAAACAGAAAUUGAAAAUACCUCAACGUGUCUUGAGGCUCAACUUAUUUCUCGCAAUGUAAGUUGAAUUUUGAAAACAGAAAUUGAAAUUACCUCAGCGUGUCAUGAGGCUCAACUCAUUUCUCGCAAUAUGAGUUGAUUUUUUUUUAACAACAGAAAUUGAAAUUACCUCAGCGUGUCCUGAGGCUCAACUCACCUCUAGCAAUAUGAGUUGAUUUUGAAAAACAAAAAUUAAAAGGCUUAACUCACCUCUCGCAAUAUGAGUCAAUUUAAAACAUAAACUAAAAAUACCUCGGCGUGCCCCGAGGCUCAACUCACUUCUCGCAAUAUGAGUUGAUUUUGAAAAAAAAAAUAAAAAUACCUCAACGUGUCUUGAGGCUCAACUCAUCUCUCGCAACAUGAGUUGAUUUUCCUUGGAAAGCAUGAAUAUUAAACAUCAAAAUACCAAAACCAGUCCUUUGGUAGAACUCGGGUAUCUUUUCCUUUGAUUCAGUGCGACUCUCAUUCAAGAUUUCUUGCUUUACUGGAUUACCUGUAUAUGCCAUGCAUGAUGUCAUCAUGAUAUGCACAUGUUUGUCUUAAAUGCCUUUAUGCCUACAUGAUUAUGCAGUGCUCCUUAAGCAUAUUGGUCGUAUGUCAUUUUCGCCAUGAUUGUUGAGGAUCUGCGUUCAUCACUUUGAUUCUCGACCUUCUUUUCAGGCCUCAUACCUGUCUUCGAGCUUUACGAGUAAUCGACGUUUCUCAGAUAUAACCCUUUUGCCCUUGGUUAAACUUUGUUCUUGCUUUGAAGAUCUUGCACUUAUCAAAUUCUUAUCCGGGUAAUGCUUGACAUUUCUUUUGUUUAAAGUAUGUCAUUUCACUAUUUAUCAUUAAAUAAACACAUAAUGAGAUGCAUGAAAAUGGUCAGGUAGGGACAAAAAGGAUAUCUCAUAUUCCUUUAUUUCAAAUGUGGCAAACAAAGAAAGUUAACCAAUGAGAGUAAAAAUGUCAAAAAGAAAGAAAAGGUCGUAUUCAACGGAUACAAAUGCUCUAGAUAUUCAACACAUGAACUCUUCCACGUUCCUCAAUCAAUAAUCUUUUCGAGCAUGGCUUCUUGCGUAGAAAAUUUCGAGCUUUCAGAAGUGCUUCAAAUACUGUAGUCUCACUACUUGACCUAUCGUUCGACCGCCAGGUUUGUUUCAUUAGGACGCCCUCUCGGGUUUUCAUCCUAAUCUUUUUGUACUAAUCAAGACGCCCUUUUCGGGUUUUCGCCCUGAUCCUUUUUUUUUAAGAUGCCCUUUUCGGGUUUUCAUCUUAAGCAUAAUAUUUCUUCACCGCAUCUGAAUUCACCGGAUUUGGUAACUCCUUCCCAUCCAUCUCGGUAAGGAUUAAAGCUCCUCCUGAGAAUGCCUUUUUUACAACGUAUGGUCCUUCCCAAUUUGGUGCCCAUUUUCCUCGCAGGUCUUUUUGUAUUGGGAGAAUCUUUCUCAGAACGAGUUCUCCUUCAUGGAACUCUCUUGGUCGUACCUUCUUGUCAUGGGCUGCGAUCAUUCUCUUUUGGUACAUUUGCCCAUGACAAAUUGCCCUUAGACGUUUUUCUUCAAUGAGGUUCAACUGAUCAUAUCGAGCUCGAACCCAUUUUGCUUCUUCUAACUUUGAUUCUAUCAAUACUCGCAGAGAGGGGAUCUCAACCUCGAUAGGUAGCACAGCUUCCAUUCCAUAGACUAGAGAGAAAGGAGUUGCUCCCGUAGAUGUUCGCACAGAUGUGCGAUAUGCAAACAAAGCAAAUGGAAGUUUCUCGUGCCAAUCUUUAUAUGUCUCAGUCAUUUUCCCAAUGAUCCUCUUAAUGUUCUUGUUAGCUGCUUCAACAGCCCCGUUCAUCUUUGGGCGAUAGGGCGAGGAAUUAUGAUGCUUUAUUUGGAACUGCUCGCACACUUCUUUCAUCAUCUUAUUGUUCAGAUUCGUGGCAUUAUCUGAGAUGAUUCUUUCAGGCAAACCAUAUCGGCAAAUGAUUUCUUUUUUCAAAAACUUGCACACUGCAGUCUUUAUCACGUUGGCAAACAAAGCGGCUUCAAUCCAUUUUGUGAAGUAAUCGAUAACCACAAAAAUGAAUCGAUGUCCAUUUGAAGCUUUUGGAGAAAUUGGCCCUAUGACAUCCAUGCCCCACAUAGAAAAAAGCCACGGAGAAGUCAUGACAUGAAGGGGUGAAGGGGCUACAUGAAUUUUAUCACCGUAGAUUUGACAUUUGUGGCAUUUUCUGGCAAAAUUGAUGCAGUCACUUUCCAUUGUCAGCCAAUAAUAACCGAGUCUCAUGAUCUUUCUGGCCAUAUUGAAACCAUUGGCAUGCGUUCCGCAAAUUCCCUCAUGGACCUCUUCAAGUAUUUUUCUGGCUUCAACAUCAUCCACACAUCUCAAAAGCAUUUGAUCCUUUCCUCUUUUAUAGAGGAUAUCCCCAUCAAGAACAAAUCCCGCUGCCAUUCUUCUAAUUGUUCUUUUAUCGUUCUCAUUCGCUUGUUCGGGAUACCUUUGAUUCUUGAUAUAUUCUAAGAUAUCAUGGAACCAAGGCCGUCCGUCUACUUCUUUCUCAAUGCUACAACAGUGUGCAGGGACCUCGUAUAUGCUCAUUUUGAGGGGCAUUAUUUAUGCUUCUCUACUUGCUUUGAACAUUGAAGCCAAAGUGGCUAGGGCAUCAGCCAGUUGGUUCUCUUCUCGUGGGAAGUAAUAAAAAGUUAUUUCUUUGAAUUCCUUGAUCAAUCCAGCCACUAAAUCGCUGUACUUAAUCAAUUUUGAGUCCCUCACUUCCCAUUCUCCACGGAUUUGGUAAAUCACUAGGGCUGAGUCCCCGUACACCUCCAAGAUCUCGAUGUUUCGUUCGAUAGCUGCACGAAGCCCCAUGAUACAGGCCUCAUAUUCUGCAAUAUUAUUGGUACAGAAAAAGUUUUGUCUUGCAGUGAACGGAUAAUGAUUCCCGUCUGGUGAUACCAGGAUUGCUCCAAUUCUAUGCCCUAAAGCAUUUGACGCACCAUCAAAGCACAUCUUCCAUGACUUCUCUUUUGAUGACUCGGAUUCUAUUUUUGUGAUACACAUUAAGUCUUCGUCUGGGAAAUCGAAUCUUAAAGGCUCAUAUUCCUCUGUCGUUCGAGUUGCUAAGAAGCCAGCUAUUGCGCUCCCUUUUAUCAACUUCUGACUUACAUAGGCAAUGUCAUAUUCCGAAAGGAGGAUCUGCCAUCGUGCCAUUCUUCUUGAUAGUGCCGGCGAUUCCAUCAUGUAUUUUAUUGGGUCCAGCUUUGAAAUUAGCCAUGUCGUGUGAUACAACAUAUAUUGUCUGAGUCUCCGAGCUACCCAAACCAGAGCGCAACAAUAUUUCUCAAUGGACGAAUAUUUUGCCUCAUAUUCAGUGAACUUUUUGCUGAGGUAGUAGAUCGCCUUUUCUUUCUUUCCUGACUCGUCAUGUUGUCCCAGUACGCAACCCAUUGAACUUUCGAACACUGUCAGAUACAAAAUUAAUGGUCUUUCUGGAGUUGGCGAUACUAGCACUGGAGGACUGGACAAAUAUUGUUUUAUCUUAUGAAAGGUCACUUGGCAUUCCUCGUUCCAUUCUCCCGGGUUAUGUUUUCGAAGAAGCCGAAAGAUUGGGUCGCAUUGGUUGGUAAGUUGAGCGAUAAAUCGGGCGAUGUAAUUUAAUCUCCCUAAAAAUCCUCUAACUUCCUUUUACGUGCGCGGAGGUGGUAAUUCUUGGAUGGCUUUUAUUUUAUCUAGAUCAACUUCGAUACCUCUUUCACUGACAAUGAAGCCUAGCAACUUUCCCGAGGUAGCCCCGAAUGUACAUUUGGCUGGAUUUUAGCUGAAACUUUCUCAGCCUUUCGAACAACUUCUUGAGGUUCAUUACAUGCUCUUCUUCUCCUCGAGAUUUAGCAAUCAUAUCAUCGACGUAGACCUCUAUUUCCUUAUGCAUCAUGUCAUGGAAUAAUGUCACCAUAGCCCUCUGAUAUAUUGCCCCAGCAUUCUUUAACCCGAAUGGCAUCACCUUGUAGCAGAACGUUCCCCACAUUGUUAUGAAGGUAGUUUUCUCCAUAUCCUCAGGGGCCAUCUUGAUCUGAUUAUACCCCGAGAAUCCAUCCAUGAAAGAAAACAAUGAAUGUUUUACUGUGUUGUCCACCAACGUGUCAAUAUGUGGCAAGGGAAAAUUAUCUUUUGGGCUUGCUCGAUUCAGGUUACGGUAAUCCAUGCACAUUCGUACUUUUCCAUCUUUCUUUGGUACCGGGACUAUGUUAGCCACCCAUUCUGGAUAUUUAGAGGCUUGUAGGAAGCCAGCGUCAAAUUGCUUCUUGACUUCCUCUUUUAUUUUCAACAGCAUUUCGGGCCUCAUCCGUCUUAAUUUUUGCUGGAUGGGCUUGCAUUCUGGCUUUAAUGGGAGCUUAUGGACCACUAAAUCUUCAUCUAGCCCUGGCAUGUCCUGGUAUGACCACGCGAAAACAUCUUUGUAUUCGCGGAGUAAAGUGAUCAAACUAUGCCUGGUACUUUCUGAAAUAGAAGUCCCAAUCUUCACUUCUUGUUUCCUCUCUUCAGUGCCCAAAUUUAUUGUUUCCACAGAUUCUUCAUGAGGCAGAACCUGUUUAUCCUCUUGUUCCACCAUUCUUAACAAUUCAGGAGACGAGACAUAAUCUUCAGCAUUUUCUUCAGCUUCAAAUUCUCCUAAGCAAACAGCCUUCUCAAAAUCAAUUUCAAGAUUCGUAACGGGCUUAUUCAUGUCGUCAAUAUCUGAGCACAUGAAAGUUGAAUGGAAAAGGAAGCUAUCGGGGGACAUCCAAGUAUUGGAAACAACAAACAAAAUGUUAUGUCAUGGCAAUGAGGCAAAUGUAAGGAUAGGCUAUGAAAUGAGAAAAUGAUUAUGAAAUUAGUGAUAAUGCGAAAAAUCGUGACAAAAUGCAUCUUCAUUGAUAUUCACUUAAAUGAUAAAGAGCGAAUGCAAGCUCCUACAAAAGAAUUCCAUUAUAUCUAAGGACACAAUAGAAGGUUGAUUUUUAGGAUUACUCUGAAGGCUUAUAAACUACAAGAAGCUCCUCAGCAAUCCAAUUGUUCAACAUGAAACCAGGAGGGCAAGGGCGUAUCCUCGAGACAUCUUUACUUGCACCAGCUUCUUUGUCAAUGACAUUGAUACUGACAUUCUGAAAAUCCCUUUCAAUUAAUCCCAGCAUGUUUCGUGGAUCAUCUUGUCCAGGGUACAUCAUUCCCGCAGAUGUAAAUGUUUUUAACAAAGGAGGGUACUCUAUUGGUUCCCAUUCUGGUUCUCGGUCCAAAGUUCUUGCAAUUCUUCUCUCUUGAUCCUUCUUCCACUGUCUUCUUCUUUGGCGCAUGUCAGGCUGGAACCCCAAACCGUAUCGGGCCUUGUGGUGCACUGGCUUUAAAGCCCUUACUAUUCCUUGCAGAUGUCUCCCUAAACAUCUUCUCAUACGAGCUCCCCUUCCUACGGUCAACUUGACACCCAUUUUGGUAUUUCUCGACAGUUUUGGCAUCGGAAUUCUAUUUCCCUCAGCGACGAAAGUGGUAUUGAUGAAUUCAAGGGAUCGAAAGGAACGUUCCACUGCGUCCUUGCUUACUUCCAGGUAUGGCGCAUCAGCAGAGAUAGAUGCGACGAUGUCUUCUUCACCCUCGACUGUGACCAAACAGCCAUCCAUGAUGAAUUUCACCUUUUGAUGGAGGGAUGAUGGGACUGCUCCAGUAGAAUGAAUCCAAGGUCUUCCCAAAAGCCAGUUAUAAGAGGGUGUAAUGUCCAUGACAUGGAAUUCGACCUCAUAGAUGUAAGGGCCCACUUCUAAAGGGAUUUCGAUCUUUCCCAUGACUUCGCGCCUCGUCCCGUCGAAUGCCCUUACCAUGGAAUGACAGGGCUUUAAGUAGGACAAAUCCAUCGGUAUUCUGGAAAGCGUAGCCAAUGGCAUAACAUUUAACGCUGACCCAUUAUCGAUGAGUACGUUCGGUAUUAUGUAGCCCUUGCAGCGGGUCGUGAUAUGCAGCGCUUUCACCGAGCCUCUACCAUUUGGCGGUAUCUCAUCAUCACUAAAAGAGAUGAAGUUGUCCGCAUUCAGAUUGUUUACCCACCUAUCAAGCUUUUCGACAGAUAUGUUGUUGGCCACGUAAGCUUGAUUUAACACCUUCAAUAAAGCGUUCCGGUGUGGCUCUGAAUUUAACAGUAGAGAUAGAACCGAGAUUCGUGCUGGCUGCUUGCUCAAUUGUUCCACCACACUAUAGUCGCUGUGCUUAAUAAAUUUCAAGAAUUCUUGAGCUUCUUCCUCAUUCACAGGCUUUUUAGUUUCUUGCACGGGUGGAAUUUCUUGCUCAACUUCGACCUCGUGCAUCACUGCUUUCCCUUUUUGCUUCGAGUCACUACUUUUCUUUACCGGUUCAACUUCUUUAGAAUAGCAUCGUCCACUUCGAGUAAAAUGACCUACCUCCCCAACAUCUUCAGUUAUGGCUUUGGACUUUUCAACUUCCGGUGUAACGAUAUUAACAUCGUAUCUCCACGGUACUGUUUUGUUGUCCUUAUACGGGAAAGGAUAUGGUACUUCAAUUACCAUCUGUGGUUUCAAUGGCUCUCUCAUCGCGUCGUAAUAAAUUACCAACGGUCGAUCAGCACUAUAAGGGGGCCUUGAUGAUUGGCUAUCAGAGACGCAUACUUCUCUUUCGUUGGCAUCUUCCCUCUUGUUAAGGACCUUGAUCUCCUUAUUAUUCAUCCGGUCUUGAAGUAACCUUUUAAAGUCCUCGCACGACUGAAUGUCGUGCCCAACAAUCCCAUGAAAAUUGCAAAAACUUUGACCUUCUUCUCCAAAAACUCUAUCAGAGUGACAAAGCAAUCCUUUCUUAACCAAUACCUCCUAGAUUUUCUGCAAAGGCGUCCUUAUUUCUGCAACACAUCUUCUGACCUUCCAUUCAUCCUCUUUCCCCACUAUGCUCACAUUCCCUUCGGUAUGGUUAGGGAACGGGUUCCCCGUGGCGUUACUAGCACUAUCGAAUCGUAGGAUACCCGCGUCAAUGAGUCCUUGAACUCUCCUUUUGAAAGCGAGACAGUUCUCAGUAGAGUGCCCUUGGUUCCCUGCGUGGUAUGCACAACUAGCGUUUGGAUCGUACCACUUUGGGUAUGGAGGUUUAAGGGGUGCCAUGUAAUGGGGAGAAAUUAGCUGUUUUUCUAAAAUUUUUGGGUACAAUUCCCCAUACGACAUAGGGAUGGGGGUAAAAUUGCGGUCUCUCGGGAUUAUGCCUUGAUGGUCUUGGUUCGUUUCUGGGAUGGCUUUGAGCGGGUACCGUAUUUUAUGGGAAAGUGGUGACGGGUCUUUGGUUGUUCGUGGCGUAUACGGGGUAGGACGGAUGUGGUGCUUGGUAGUAAGGGGUUUGAGGGGGAUAAUAGAAAUUCGAGGGUGGAUAAUUUCGAGGUCGGGGUUGGUUAGGAUACGAAUUGAGAAUGUAACGACUCCCAGUUCCCACCAUGUGGGCUUCUGGCUCUUUCUUCCUUAAGGGUGCUGCUUUUCUUGAGCCUUCUGAUCCUUCCAUUCUACCACUUUUGACGGCAUUCUCUAUGAGUUCACCAGAUAUUACAAUAUCCGCAAACUCUUUCGUGGCACUUUCCACUAAUUUUUCAUAAAACGACGCCUUUAAAGUAUUGAUAAAGAGAACGGUUAUCUCCAUUUUUGUUAAUGGGGGUUCCACUUGAGCUGAGACGUCUCUCCAUCUCUGCGCAUACUGUCUAAAAGUCUCUGAUGGCUUUUUCUCCAUCAUUUGCAAGGUCAUACGGUCUGGCACCAUAUCCGAUACAUGCUUGUACUGCUCGCAAAAUGCUGACGCCAAGUCCUUCCAGGAUCGAAUCUUUUCUCUACUAAGUUGAUUGUACCACCGAAGAGCUGACCCUGUUAGACUAUCUUGAAAGCAAUGUAUGAGUAGUUUAUCCUCGUUCACAUAACCGGUCAUUUUUUGACAGAACAUAAUGAGAUGUGCUUUUGGGCACCUUGUCCCAUCAUACUUCUCAAAAUCAGGCACUUUGAACUUCGGAGGCAAAAUUAGAUCAGGUACCAAACUGAGUUCCUUGGCACCUAGUGCGGAGAAGACUUCAGUGCCUUCUAUUGCUUUGAGUCUUUCCUCUAGACUCCUAUAUUUUGUGUCAUGGUUAUCCAAUUUUAACUUGGCUACCUCUGCUGGGUCAUCCAGAUCUGGAACUAGUGGAUUAGCAGGACUAGCCCCUGGGUUCGACGCUAACAUUCCUUGCCCCAAAUUAGUGGGUGGAGCAGGUGGCAUAGGUCGAUGUUCCAAGCCAGUGGGUUCCUCUUGAGUAUACCCUCUUUGUAUUGUAUAUGCGGGCGGUGGAGUGAAUCCCGAGGGAUAGAGUGGAUCCUGAUCAUGGUGAAUUCUUGAUUGAGGUUCCAUAACAUCGGGGUUCUGCAUUUUUCCUUUGACCAAAGUUGUCAUCAUCUCCAUCAUUUUAGCCAUCUAAUCUCUUUGCUCAAGAGAUUCCUCUCGAGAUCUCACCAGUCUUGAAGUCUUGCAACUGCGAAUUGUACGUUUUAACCUCAGCGAACGAGUAUGGGAUAUGCAAUGAAUGAAUUGAUGCAUGAAUGAAUGCAUGAAUGUCAAAUGAAUGUCAGUUAUGAAUGAAAUGCAAGAAAUUGGUGUUGAUUUCAAGAUAGCCCCAUAUUUAGGCAUUUCAUUUAUCAACAUAGUCUAUUACACAAAGUUCUGAUUUUUCCAACAGUUACACAAAUUUCCUAGCCACAUUGCCUUGUUUCUUCACUUGCUCUAAAAACUCUGAUAUGCUCGAUCUUUGGCUCGGAGGGAAUUGGCAACUGAGAACUUCGGCUUCAUCUGAUAAUUGAGCAACUUGCAUAGCCACUUUACGAAUUUCAUUGAUCAAGAAGUCAAGUUGCAUUUCUUUUUCUUUGAGAGUUCCUUCAUACGCGUGAAUGUCCCUAUCGUACUGCUCACUCUUUUCUUCUAGAGCCUUCAAGAGGUUAUCUAAUUGUUGUUGACGAGAUUACAGCAUAUUUUCUAGAUCUCGUGUUUUCCUUUUUAAUUCUUGAUGUUCAGACUGACUAUUUGCCAAUUUUGCAGUCACUAUUUCAUACUCGGCGUUCUUCCUUCUUAACUCUAUCAUAGCGCGCGCAGCCUUUUCCUCCUCUUUCUUUGCUUUUCCCUUCCAAAACUCCAUUCCUCCCUUGAUAUUGCUAAUUUCUUCCUUCCAUUCUGCUGUCGACUUGCCCAACCCGCUAUUCUUUAUAGUGUUUCUUAAUUUCUUAUUUUCCAAAUGAAGGUCCCUUAAGUCGUUUCUCACAAUCUCGGCUUCUCUUGUACUUUUUCAGUCCUGGACCUUUCAACCUGAACUUCAAUCUUCAGUUGAUAGUUUUCUUCUUUAAUGGCACUAAGGUCCCGAGACAUCUUGGCCUUUUCUCGUUCGAAUUCUUGUCUUGCCAUUUCUAGCUCAGACAGCGUUUCCUCCAAGAAAGGAUUCUGGAUGGUGUAGUUUGUUGAUGAGAUUUGCUGACUAUUUACCCGUUGCUUCCUCCAUAUGUCAUAAUCUUGGGUAAGGGUAUCAACAUACAAAGCUAAUUCCAUGAAAUGAAUUUCCUUCCAAUACUUUGCAGUGUCUCGGACUCUCUUCAUAUAUCCUUUACCCGCGAAAGCGAACUCGAACUGUGCUAAUCCUCCAGUUGCGGGGAGGAAUUGUCGCGAAGAAAAUUGCCUUUGGACUAAUAGCGGAGCAUAUCCAACUCCUCCCCAUAACCCGAGUAAAGGUACCCAAUCUUGGCUUUCACAUUUGUAUAGCAGAACUGAAGGACGGAUCCAGGGUGCUCUCCAUGUUAUAUUCUCGGCGCGAAGAUUCUGAAAAACUUAUACCCAAUGUUGCUCGGUGACUUCCUUCGGCCAUUCUUUAUUGAGGUAAGCUUCUAGCGGGGAGAAUGUUUUAGAAAACAUAUGGAACGGAGUGCGCUCUACCUUCAAAAAGUGACUCAAAAUCCAAACAUUGAGCAACUGCGCGCAUCUGAUAAAUCGUCCCUCCCCUUUUCUUCGACAACUACUCAGGGACCUGAAGGUCUCGGCUAGGAUGGUCGGGACAGGGUUGAUUCCUUGUUUUAACCUUUCGAAGAAAUCAACUACUGCAACUUCGAGAUGUCCGAGAACUUUUGGGAAAAUGACCAAACCGUAAAUGGCCAAAGUGAAUAGAUUUACCCUUUUCAGCAUGUUGGGAUGGUUCAGAGCCAAAUCUCGUAGGGAGGACCAUGAAUGCAAAUGGUUUCAUUCUUCUUCUUUAUCUAUUUUUCGGCCCAUGCAUCAGUCAUGUCUGUCAGUCUCACUAACUUUUUCUUGAAGGUCAUCGGCUUAGGCUCCUUCACAUAUAUUUUGCCGAAUUGUACAUUGUCGAUGCGGAGUAAAGCAUCAUACUCUUCUAUGGUUGGAGUCAUGUCUUCUUGAUUGAAGGUGAAACACUGAUAAGCUGGGUCCCAGAACCGAAUCAUGGCUUGAAUCAACUGUUCGUCUACACGGAUGGUGAUCAGGUAAGCUAUAUCUCCAUACCUCUCAGUGAAAAUGUCUCUAGUGUCUGAAUCCCACUGAUUCCAAAUUCAAACCAAAUCCUCAAAUUUAUUUUGGCGAACAUUUACAGUUAUAUGGUCGGGCAAAUUGGUGACACACCCUUCCACUAGACUAUCCCCCUUUUCUCUCUAAAUUUUUAGAGACCAGUCCCGAAUCACGACAUUCUUCUCGGUUAUUUGUGUAAUUGACUCCUCCAUCAGAAACCCAUUUUUUGGCAACCAACUUUUAAUCAACACCUUCCUAAUAUGAUGCCUAUGAUGCAUGAUGAAAAUAAAAGUAAAAACAAACAAACUUGGUUAGUAAACACAACAAAUAUAAUUUGAAAAACAAAUUAAACUACCCAAUCCAAUUAUUUUGCAUAAACAGUGUAAAUGAAAGGCAAAAGGCAUUUUCCCCGUGUACUUAUUUUGAUGACUAUAAGCGGACAGAGGGUUCGGCAUGGCUCUAAUUGGAUAGCUCGUAUGGUUCGUUAUAUGCAGUCUCGGUUCUAGACAGGUACUCGAAUUGCUCGUACUAUCAUCUGCUAAGAUCAGCACGAAGCCUCGGUCAUAACCUAUCACAGGCUCACGAGUUAAAUUCGAGGGAUUACAUUUACUUAUGCCUAUGCGGAGGGACAAGUUAACUCACGAAAGCAUAAGUCAUAUGUAACCCGAAAGUAUUCACUAGCCUGUGCGGAGGGACGAGUUAACUCACGAAGGCGUAGCAUUUUACUUUCACUUAAACGGACAGAGCCCGGGCAGAGAGCUCAUGUUAUGCGAAAAUGCAAGUACACGGUGUGUGGGGAACAACUCAUAAACCUUUACGUUUCACUUAAAGAAACUAAACCAAAAUUAAAACCAUAAAAAUUGAAACACUGAAAAACAACCAAAUAAGCAAGUUAGAAGAAAUAUUUACAGCACGAUACAAAUGCAUGAAUUUUGAAAACGAGAUUUUCGGAUCAUGACCAAAUAUUUACUUUGAACAAGGAAAUUUGAAAAUUUUGACAAAAUGUGUUUAAUUCCAAACACGACUCUCAACAAGGCUAUCCCCAGUGGAGUCGCCAGCUGUAGCGACGUAAAAAUUUUGGUUUGGGGUCGCUAAUUGUGACAAUCUAGUGAAAAAGUUUGAAAACUGAAGUUUAAUUUUAAAAAAAAGAGGGAGUCGCCACCGAUCCUUUUCCUAGGUGUGAUCGGACACCUAUUAGAUUCAUUUUUUUUAAAACAAAAGGAAGGCUGAAUUUAGGUCUACGUUAAAAGCCAGAGGAAAAUUAGGGUUUCGGGAGUCGGUUACGCGCGAGGAAGGUAUUAGCACCCUCGCGACGCCUAAAAAAUUGGUAUCUCAUAAACACAUGUUGUCUUAAUUUUCAAAAAUGCGAAUUCAAUGUAAAGUUUAGUUGUGAUCUGAAAAAAUGAGAAAUUUUAGUUUAUUCCAGUUUUUGAGAAGGGUAUAUCGCUUUAACACGAGUCAAUUGAUGUUCACCCAACGUAGCGAUGAACUCGAUGACUUAAUGUUAAAUCGAUAUGUUGCCUUGAUUAUUGAAAUUAAUUAGCAAAACAAGAAUACGAUUUUCGAAAUAAUGCAAAGUAAAAUAAUAUGAAAUAAAAAUCAAUAAAUGAAAGAGCUAGGGAUAUAUUAAAACAAAUAAUCGAGGUGACAAUAAUAUUAGAAAAGAUGAAGGUAUAAUGUAAUAAUAGAAUCGGACACGAAAUUAAAAUAAUGAUGUAUACACAUAAUAAUAAUAUUAAGAAUGCGUGUGUAAGAUGACAUAUAUAUUUAGCGAUAUUAAAAAUCCAUACAACAUACAUAGAACAUAUAUAGUAUAUGCAUACCUUAGAAAUGAUAAGAAUAAUGAUAAAACUAUUUUGUACACUACAUAAAUACAUACACACACACAUAUAUAUAGAUAUAUAAACAAUAGUAUUAGAAACGUAUAAUAUUAGAGAUACACAUAAUAGUAAAAAAAUAGAUACCUAAAUAAUAUUAAAAUAUACAUAAUAAUAUAUAUAAAAUAUAAUAUUAAAAACUUAUGUACGUAACACGUAUAAAAGAAAUAUAAUAUUAAAUCAUUACAUAAUAUACACAUAUGAUUUUCAGGUUAAUACAUAUUUGAGUACUAACAUUACAUAAAAAUAUACUUAUAUAUAUAAUAUAUUAAAGUUAUGUACAUAUAUAAUAAAAUACAUGAACAAUACCACAUUCAACAUGUAUAUAAUAUAUAAUUAAAAUGAUAAUACAUACAACAUAUAAAUUACAUAACAAAACAUGCACUAUGAUUAUAAUAAUAAUAAUAAAGAUAAUAUUGAACUAAGAAGAAACAAACACAACAUUCAUGAAAUAUUAAAUAAAGUGGGAUAAAAAAUAUUGAAUAUUAAGCAAUACAUAUAUACAUACACAUAUGAAGCAAAAAAAAUUAACACAUAAUAAUAAUGAUAAUAAUAACAAUAUUAAUGAUAUUAAUAUUCAAAAAUAAUGAUGAUAUUUAAUAAAAAUAACAAAAGAGACGAAGAAGGACUAAAAUUAAAACAAUAACGAAGUUAUGGGGUCAAUUUAAAAAGGAAAUAAAGAGGAGGGACUUAAUUACAACACGCGCGUAACUAGGAGGGUCAAAAGCACAAUAAAUCCAGAUGUUAAAACGCUGCGCAGCGUGGGGGACCAGAACGAAAUCAGGGCAAAACAGCGGGGCCGAAUUUAAAAUAUAAAAAAACUUGAUUAUAAAAUGUUGAAAAAGCGGAGGGGCCAAACUGCGCAAAUAGCCCCUCCCUUAAAAACACGCGGAUCCCCUGGUCGGACGGGUCGGGUCGACCCGACCCGCAUCAAAACGGCGUCGUUUUCUGCUUUAAGGGGGGUCCAAAACGGUGCGUUUUGGACCCUUAUAUAAGCCAAAUUUUUUUUGUUUUUUUUUCAUUUGAAACAGCUGAGAGAAAAAAAAGAAAAGGGGGAGGGGAGAGGAAAGCCCGGAGCGAUUUCUGGCCAAGGGGGAGGGCUCCGGUCCGAUCGCCGGAUUGCUGGCGCUGGUGCUGACCACCGUUCGCAGUGGCCGGAAAAGGUAAUUUCUAUUUUUCUCUCUUUUUUUUUGCUUUUUAUUUCUUUAUGUUUAUUUGUAAAUUUUUAUGUAUUUGUGGUGAAAAAUGGACUUAAACAGUUAUUGAAAUGAAGAAUUACCUUCGGUUUUACUCACUUUUGAAUCUUCGAUCUUUGUAUUCUGCCUGCUUGGAUGUUAUUUUGCGUUCAAACUCUAAUUAGGCUGCUAUUUUUUGCUCUAUAAUCGAACCUUCCUGUCGUUUUUAUUUUUUAAGAAACAAAGAACCAUCCCCCCCCUUUACAGAAAUCCAAAUCGGCUUUUAUAGCCUUUACAAUAUUUUAUUUAAUAUUUGUUGUCUUGUCUCUUUUCUGGUCUUGCAGGGUAUGGAGGUGCCAGGCAUGCGGGGAUGGUGUUGGCAGAAGCAUGGGGCGUGGUAGCCGACAUGGUGGUGUUCGGCGCAAGUGGGCAAGUGGGGGGUAGGUGGCUAGGGUUAGUGGGAUUAGGGUUUCUGAUGCUGAUUUAGGUUAAUGGGCUGGGGUAGUUGGGCUUCGGGUUUAGUUGGUUAGGCUUGGUUUAGGAUGAGAUGGGUAUGGGGUUUAAGUAGGUUUAGUUAUUGGGUUUGGGGUGGCCCAAAUUGGCAUGUACAAUAAAAAAUUAAACAAAAGUUAAAAUAACUUUUUUUUAUAAAAUUAAAGGGUAAAAAAUCUUAUACCUUUAACUUUUUCAGUUUUAUAAUUACUAGAAUGAGAGCCCGCUUUCACUGGCUGCUAUAAAUUUUAUUAUAAUUGAUAAUAAGUUAAUCUAUGGAUCAAUUAUUUUGGAUACAUCAUUUAAUGCUACAAUAAAAAUAAGAAAACUGAAUUGACUUGAGAGUGAUUUUAUGAAUUUACUCGUAUAAAAUAAGACAAUUAGGCUCGGAUUUUAAAAAGUUGUCAUGUGCACCUUUUUUGUUAGAAUUAUGUGACCCAAAUUCUAAGAGAUUGCUUGCAAGUCAAGUAAACAAAAAUAUAUUUUCUUUCUAGAAGAUUUAGUAUUAUUAGUUAUAUAUAUUUAGCAUUUAUUAGUAUAGUUUAUUUGACUUUACUAAUUUCCUAUAAAUAGGCUCCUUUACAAUCUUAGAAUAAAAGAGACACCCAUUAGAUUAGAACUCAUAACACAUUCAGAGAAUUUUGUGUUUACGUUUGAGGGUUCUUUGUUUUUCGGGUUUUUGGGGUUUAGUUUUUAUCUCCAUCUUUUGUACUCUUCAUUCUUUUGCCAUUAUAGUAAAAAUCUUUGCCCGUGGUUUUUUAUCCUCUUUUGAGGGGUUUUUCCACGUUAAUUUGUGUGUUCAUCUUCUCAAUUUCUUCUACUAUUUUUACUUGUUCGUUGCUUAUUCGGGACGAUCCUAACAAGUGGUAUCAGAGCUAAUUUAACUUUCAUAGAUCAGCCCGGUCAGAGAUGGCAGCAACAAGGUUUGAAAUUGAGAAGUUCGAUGGUAAGACAAAUUUCAAUCUGUGGCAAGUUCGGAUGAUGGCAAUUCUAGUUCAAAAUGGCUUGAAAAAGGUUGUUACAGGAAAAAAGCCUGAGAAUCUAAAUCAAACAGAAUGGGAAGAGCUUGAUGAAAAGGCCCCUGUCUGCAAUCCAGUUGUGCCCACGAAUACAGUAUUGCAGGAGGUAUUUGAUGGAGAAGACCUCAUUCGCCUUGUGGAAAAGGUUAGAAACUCUUUAUGCGACUAUGUCUCUGGCUAACCGUUUAGUGUUGAAACAACGUCUAUUUACGUUUCGCAUGAACGACGGUGAGCUUCUUAAAGAUCACAUCAGUCAAUUCAUUACUCUUUUAAAUGAUUUAAAGAACGUUGAGGUUCAUAUUGACGAUGAAGAUCAAGCUAUGCUAUUAUUGUGCUCUUUACCCUCUUCAUACAAGUCUUUCAGGGAGACCCUGAUUUUAUGGCAGAGACAAACUCUCGUUCAAAGAUGUGAAGGGUCAUUUGUUGAGUAGAGACAAACUCGACAAUGAGUUUGAUUUGAAUAGCAAAGCAGAUAGACAAGCUUCCGUUUUGGUAGCAUCAAAGAAACGACAAAAGGUGUCGCUAUUGCAAAAGUUAGGUCACGUCAAAGCAGAUUGUUAUAAACUGCGAAAUAAAGAGCUGCUGAGAGUAGAGAAGAGAAGAUGUAGCUGGUGCUAAUUUGGUCGAUGAAGGCGGUGAUGAUUUCUUGUUAGUGUCAACGAGCGAUAACUCCAAGCUUACGUCUGAGUGGAUCCUAGAUUCAGGAUGUUCUUUCCACAUGUGUCCCAAUAGAGAAUGGUUCUCCACAUACAGUUCAGUUGAAGGUGGAGUUGUGCACAUGGGAAACGAUUCAUCUAGUAAAAUAAUCGGUAUUGGUACUGUUAAAAUUGGAUACACGAUGGGACGAUUAGGACACUCUCAGAUGUCAGGUAUGUACCUGAUUUACGAAAGAAUCUCAUCUCCUUGAGUAUUUUAGACUUGAAAGGAUGCAGAAUCAACAUCGAGUCGAGCAACAUUAAAGUAUCUCGUGGAGCUCUCGUUUUGUUAAAAGGUAAAAUAACCGGCAAGUCUUAUAUUCUGGAAGGUUCUACAGUGACCGGUGAAAUCGGACGUCCCUCGUCCGUUACGGAGUCAAAGUCAACUCAUUUGAAGCGGAGGCAACUUGGUCAUAGGAGGGAAAAAGGUAUGACCGUUUCGUUGAAGAGAGGGUUCCUCUUUUGGAUGCAGGUUUUGAAAAGUUAGGGCACUGUAUUCGUGAAAAUCAACCCGGGUUAGUUUUGAUUUGGCAGUGCACAAGUCGAAGGCUAGAAGUCUUCCAGCUUCUAAGCAUAGAUUCGACUCAGUUAAUUCCCUGCAUAGUUCAAGAUAGGCCCGUGGCGGGUUUUGGCAAAGAUGGCAUUGAAAGAAUUCGUGUCAAGGUGGAGAUUGUUAGAAUUAUGUGACCCAAAUUCUAAGAGAUUGCUUGCAAGUCAAGUUAAACAAAAUAUAUUUUCUUUCUAGAAGAUUUAGUAUUUAUUAGUAUAAUAUAUUUAGCAUUUAUUAGUAUAGUUUAUUUGACUUACUAAUUUAGCCUAUAAAUAGGCUCCUUUACAAUCUUAGAAUAAAAGAGACACCCAUUAGAUUAGAACUCAUAACACAUUCAGAGAAUUUUGUGUUUACGUUUGAGGGUUCUUUGUUUUUCGGGUUUUUUGGGUUUAGUUUUUAUCUCCAUCUUUUGUACUCUCAUUCUUUUGCCAUUAUAGUAAAAUUAUCUUUGCCCGUGGUUUUUUAUCCUCUUUGAGGGGUUUUUCCACGUUAAAUUUGUGUUCAUCUUCUCAAUUUCUUCUACUACUUUUACUUGUUCGUUGCUUAUUCGGGACGAUCCUAACAUUUUUAAAAAAUUAUUUAAAUUUAAUUUAAAAAAAUUAUUCCAAUGCUUUUGUUACUCAUAAAUAAUAUGUAAAAUUAUAUAUAAAUUAAACUAUUAAUUCAUAAAAAAGUAAAAUUUAAAUAAAUCGACACGAAAAUUCCAAACUUAACCCGAAAUUUUUAAAAUUCAGGAAAUAAUUGAUUAAUUAUUAUUUAAUGCUUAUUGUGUAUCUCUAGUCGUUUUUCAUUAUUAAUUUUUAAAACAAAUAUAUUGAUAAUUUGAAAUAAUUAAUCAUUACAAGCAAGAGUGAAGGUUACCUUAGAAGCAAUUUUUUCAUUUACAUAUACUAGGAAAACUUUGAAUUAAAUUAAAUAACUAUAUCAACUAUGAUUUGAAAAACUUUAAAAGAGAAUUUACACAUUUACAUGAGACGAUAUUCGAAUUAGAAAUCUCAAAAUUUUAAGAAUUCAAUCAAGACUAUUGAUUAUUACUAAAUUAUAGUACAUCCACCUUGGGGAUGAAAAAAAAAAUUAUUAAAAAUAUAUUUACUAAAUAAAACUUUGAUUAAAAAAAAUCAUAACAUUUUAGAUUCAAUUCUUCGUCACAUGAAAUUUAUUGAUUCUGUAGUGCUAGAUGAAUUUUGAACAACAAAUGGAGUGCUAUCAAUUUUGCAAAUUAGAAAUCAAUUAAAAUUCAUUAAAAUAAUUUUUGGUUUGGGAAAUUAAAAGUUUAUUAGAAAGUAGUAUUAUGCAUGAAAAAGAUAUUACCUUUAUUCAUGUUAUUUAAAUGAGAUUUCACCGUAUGCAAACAAGAGAGUUACAAUACAAGGUAUUACUAUACCAGCAGAUCCUCUCUCUAUUCUCUUCUUCUCUUCUUCUUCUUCCUCCUCCUCUCUUGUAAUCUUCUUUUCUUAUUCAUUGAAAUGCUUCACUGUUCUCUUCACCGCUCUCUUUUUUCUUCUCUUCCUUUGCAAAAUGAGGCCACCCUUAAAUGUUUAAUAACAUUGGCAAAUAACGUAAAAGCCAACAUUAAAAAUUUAUAGUCAAAACCCAAGUUAAGGUCAAAAAUUAAAUCCAGCUAUGAAAGUGUAGCAAGAUUCAACUUGGAUUUUUCAAAAUUAAACUUAACACUAGAAAUCUGAUUACCUGCGUUAGUGAGUUUAAAAUCGAGCUUAGCCCAAAUAAAAAUAAGUUACAAUAGUAUAAAUAAUAAUUUUUUUAAUUACUAUUCAAUUGAAUUGAUGUUUGAUUAAUUAUAUUAAUAUAUCUUAUUUGAUGAUUCAUGAAUCUCUUAAAUGCAUAUUUAAUUUAAAUAUUCUAAGUUAAUCGUGUCUCGCAUUUGAUAAUUUUAGUAAUUAAAAUUAGGGAUAAAUCUCAAAAUUAUAUAUGAACAUUAAUUUGGAAUCAUACACAUGAAACUCUAAAUGUGGUUCAAAUAUAUACUUGAAACUUUAAUUUUCAUUUAAUCAUACACAUUUAAGGAAAUAAAUACAUCAAUUUUUUUUAUGGAUAAAUAUAAUUAUUUAUGCAUGCAUAUAAACAUAAAUGAUGUGUUGUAAUAUCAAUUGUGUUAAUAAUUUACAAGAAUUGGAUCAAAUCAAAAUUUCAUGUAUAAAAUUACACAAAUCAAAGUUCAUGUAUACAAUUGCAUAUUAAACCUAGUUCAUGUAUAGUUUUGGGAUUUAUCCCUUAAAAUUAAAUUUUCGAUAAUUUCAAACAUAAAAAAUUUAAGGUAAAUUAUAAGUUAUUCGUUCACUUUUUAAAUUUUUAUUUUGGGCAUCAAAAAUAAAAAAUUUUGCAACAUCAGCAUACUUUUAUCAUUUUAGUCACUGGCAGCAGUGACAAAAAUGAUAAAAGUAUGUAACAACAAUGCCCAUAUUGCAAUCUUUUUAUUUUGGGCACUGUAAAUAAAAAGAUUGCAAUAUAGGCACUAUUUUCAAUUCCCAAAAUAAAAAAUUUAUGAAAGUUGGAUGACUAAAUGUGUAGUUUAGUAAAAAAUUUAAAAUAUAUAUUUGAAAAUAAUUAUUGAUAAUUGAUUGGUGCCAAAUCUACCAGAAAUAAUAUUCCUAUGCCUAAACAAUAUAUAACAUCAGUAUAAGGAGUAAGGUUGAUCCCGCAGAGACUGAAUAUCUAAAAUUAUCUUCCAAUUUAACUAAGUUGAGUGUUAAGCACGACAUGUGAUGAUCUAUGCGAAAUAAAAAGGGAAUUAAGUCGAUUAAAAUAAAAUUAAUAGAAAUACUUAAAAUCAAAAUAAAGAAAAACAGAUAAAACAAAAAUAGAUUUAAUACCAAUGUGAAAAUAUUCUAGCUUCAGGCUCAAUUUCGGCUUUAGUUUCAAAUUGAUCUUUGAUAAUACAUCUUCUCCUUCAAUCGAUAAAUCUUUUAUAGUAAUCGAGGACUCCUCAGACCACCAAUCUUUCCGUAUGUAAAUUAAUUGUGGGAACACCAACAACAACUAACCCUUAUUGAUGAACACCACAAAAUACGCGUCCACGAUUUAGCUCUCGAUAGCCUUGUGAACUAGAAGAGCCCAACAGGAACCAACGACUUUAACUGUGUGGGUCAUUUAAAUCCGAUUGUUAUUUUCUUGACAAAUCCAACCAACCACUUAAUUGGACACGUCAAUGUAUUCUUCAGUAGACCGAAUACGAUAACAGAUUUAUCGAUUCAUCCAUUUGUACAUCUAUCAACACCAAAUCAACGAACUCUUUUUACUUGGUGUUACUAUAACUUUAUGAGACAAUGUCUAUCCCUAAACCAGAGAAAUAUAAAUGCCAAAAUAAAUGUUUUUAGGUACGAUUUGAAUCUCAUGGUUUUCUCCCUAAUUGACUAUAACCCUAAAGCUAAAUGGGAAAUUUAGUUCCUAAGAAUUGUAACAGCCCAAAANNNNNNNNNNNNNNNNNNNNNNNNNNNNNNNNNNNNNNNNNNNNNNNNNNNNNNNNNNNNNNNNNNNNNNNNNNNNNNNNNNNNNNNNNNNNNNNNNNNNNNNNNNNNNNNNNNNNNNNNNNNNNNNNNNNNNNNNNNNNNNNNNNNNNNNNNNNNNNNNNNNNNNNNNNNNNNNNNNNNNNNNNNNNNNNNNNNNNNNNNNNNNNNNNNNNNNNNNNNNNNNNNNNNNNNNNNNNNNNNNNNNNNNNNNNNNNNNNNNNNNNNNNNNNNNNNNNNNNNNNNNNNNNNNNNNNNNNNNNNNNNNNNNNNNNNNNNNNNNNNNNNNNNNNNNNNNNNNNNNNNNNNNNNNNNNNNNNNNNNNNNNNNNNNNNNNNNNNNNNNNNNNNNNNNNNNNNNNNNNNNNNNNNNNNNNNNNNNNNNNNNNNNNNNNNNNNNNNNNNNNNNNNNNNNNNNNNNNNNNNNNNNNNNNNNNNNNNNNNNNNNNNNNNNNNNNNNNNNNNGUAUGAGUAUUUUAUCCUCGUUCACAUAACCGGUCAUCUUUCGACAGAAUAUAAAAGAUGUGCUUUUGGGCACCUUGUCCCAUCAUACUUCUCAAAGUCAGGCACUUUGAACUUCGGAGGGCAAAAUUAGAUCAGGUACCAAACUGAGUUCCUUGGCACCUAGUGCGGAGAAGACUUCAGUGCCUUCUAUUGCUUUGAGUCUUUCCUCUAGACUCCUAUAUUUGCGUCAUGGUUAUCCAAUUUCAACUUGGCUACCUCUGCUGGGUCAUCCAGAUCUGGAACUAGUGGAUUAGCAGGACUAGCCCCUGGGUUCGACGCUAACAUUCCUUGCCCCAAAUUAGUGGGUGGAGCAGGUGGCAUAGGUCUAUGUUCCAAGCCAGUGGGUUCCUCUUGAGUAUACCCUCUUUGUAUUGUAUAUGCGGGCGGUGGAGUGAAUCCCGGGGUAUAGAAUAGAUCCUGAUCAUGGUGAAUUCUUGACCGAGGUUCCAUAACAUCGGAGUUCUGCAUGGGUCCCUUUCCUUUGACCAAAGUUGUCAUCAUCUCCAUCAUUUUAGCCAUCUGAUCUCUUUGCUCGAGCGAUUCCUCUCGAGAUCUCACCAUUAGGUCUAUCGUCUCUUGUUGCGAUUUGGCCAGUUGCUCUUGUAAUUCCUUUUGAGCCCUUUCCAUCCUUUCAAUUCUCUCAUUGAAUUCAUUCUCCAUUACUCUAGCUUGUCGGCGCGUUUUAUACGGAUGACGUGGUUCCAGUCUUGAAGUCUGGCAACUGCGAAUUGUGCGUUUUAAUCUCAGCGAACGAGUAUGGGAUAUGCAAUGAAUGAAUUGAUGCAUGAAUGAAUGCAUGAAUGUCAAAUGAAUGUAAGUUAUGAAUGAAAUGCAAGAAUUGGUGUUGAUUUCAAGAUAGCCCCAUAUUUAGGCAUUUCAUUUAUCAACAUAGUCUAUUACACAAAGUUCUCAUUUUUCCAACAGUUACACAAAUUUCCUAGCCACAUUGCCUUGUUUCUUCACUUGCUCUAAAAACUCUGAUAUGCUCGAUCUUUGGCUCGGAGGGAAUUGGCAACUGAGAACUUCGGCUUCAUCUGAUAAUUGAACAACUUGCAUAGCCGCUUUACGAAUUUCAUUGAUCAAGAAGUCAAGUUGCAUUUCUUUUUCUUUGAGAGUUCCUUCAUACGCGUGAAUGUCCCUAUCGUACUGCUCACUCUUUUCUUCUAGAGCCUUCAAGAGGUUAUCUAAUUGUUGUUGACGAGAUUGCAGCAUAUUUCUAGAUCUCGUGUUUUCCUUUUUAAUUCUGAUGUUCAGACUGACUAUUCGCCAAUUUUGCAGUCACUAUUUCAUACUUGGCGUUCUUCCUUCUUAACUCUAUCACAGCGCGCGCAGCCUUUUCCUCCUCUUUCUUUGCUUUUCCCUUCCAAAACUCCAUUCCUCCCUUGAUAUUGCUAAUUUCUUCCUUCCAUUCUGCUGUCGACUUGCCCAACCCGUUAUUCUUUAUAGUGUUUCUUAAUUUAUUGUUUUCCAAAUGAAGGUCCCUUAAGUCGUUUCUCACAAUCUCGGCUUCUCUUUGUACUUUUUCAGUCCUGGACCUUUCAACCUGAACUUCAAUCUUCAGUUGAUAGUUUUCUUCUUGAAGGGCACUAAGGUCCCGAGACAUCUUGGCCUUUUCUCGUUCGAAUUCUUGUCUUGCCAUUUCUAGCUCAGACGGUGUUUCCUCCGAGAAAGGAUUCUGGAUGGUGUAGUUUGUUGAUGAGAUUUGCUGACUAUUUACCCGUUGUUUCCUCCAUAUGUCGUAAUCUUGGGUAAGGGUAUCAACAUACAAGGCUAAUUCUAUGAAAUGAAUUUCCUUCCAAUACUUUGCAGUGUCUCGGACUCUCUUCAUAUAUCCUUCACCCGUGAAAGCGAACUCGAACUGUGCUAAUCCUCCAGUUGCGGGGAGGAAUUGUCGCGAAGAAAAAUUGCCUUUGGACUAAUAGCGGAGCAUAUCCAACUCCUCCCCAUAACCCGAGUAAAGGUACCCAAUCUUGGCUUCCACAUUUGUAUAGCAGAACUGAAGGACGGAUCCAGGGUGCUCUCCAUGUUAUAUUCUCUGCGCGAAGAUUAUGAAAAACUGAUACCCAAUGUUGCUCGGUGACUUCCUUCGGCCAUUCUUUAUUGAGGUAAGCUUCUAGCGGGGAGAAUGUUUUAGAAAACAUAUGGAACAGAGUGCACUCUACCUUCCAUAAGUGACUCAAAAUCCAAACAUUGAGCAACUGCGCGCAUCCGAUAAAUCGUCCCUCCCCUUUUCUUCGACAACUACUCAGGGACCUGAAGGUCUCGGCUAGGAUGGUCGGGACAGGGUUGAUUCCUUGUUUUAACCUUUCGAAGAAAUCAAUUACGUCAACUUCGAGAUGUCCGAGAACUUUUAGGAAAAUGACCAAACCGUAAAUGGCCAAAGCGAAUAGAUUUACUCUUUUCAGCAUGUUGGGAUGGUUUAGAGCCAAAUCUCGCAGGGAGGACCAUGGAAUGCAAAUGAUUUCAUUCUUCUUCUUUAUCUGUUUUUCGGCCCAUGCAUCAGUCAUGUCUGUCAGUCUCACUAACUUUUUCUCGAAGGUCAUCGGCUUAGGCUCCUUCACAUAUAUUUUGCCGAAUUGUACAUUGUCGAUGCGGAGUAGUAAAGCAACAUACUCUUCUAUGGUUGGAGUCAUGUCUUCUUGAUUGAAGGUGAAACACUGAUAAGCUGGGUCCCAGAACCGAACCAUGGCUUGAAUCAACUGUUCGUCUACACGGAUGGUGAUCAGGUGAGCUAUAUCUCCAUACCUCUCAGUGAAAGUGUCUCUAGUUUCUGAAUCCCACUGAUUCCAAAUUCGAACCAAAUCCUCAAAGUUAUUUUGGCGAACAUUUACAGUUAUAUGUUCAGGCAAAUUAGCGACACACCCUUCCACUAGACUAUCCCCCUUUUCUCUCUAAAUUUUUAGAGACCAGUCCCGAACCACGGCAUUCUUCUCGGUUAUUUGUGUAAUUGACUCCUCCAUCAGAAACCCGUUUUUUUGGCAACCAACUUUUAAUCAACACCUUCCUAAUAUGAUGCCUAUGAUGCAUGAUGAAAAUAAAAGUAAAAACAAACAAACUUGGUUAGUAAACACAACAAAUAUAAUUUGAAAAACAAAUUAAACUACCCAAUCCAAUUAUUUUGCAUAAACAGUGUAAAUGAAAGGAAAAAGGCAUUUUCCCCGUGUACUUAUUUUGAUGACUAUAAGCGGACAGAGGUUCGGCAUGGCUCUAAUUGGAUAGCUCGUAUGGUUCACUAUAUGCGGUUUUGGUUCUAGAUAGGUACUCGAAUUGCCCGUACUAUCAUCUACUAAGAUUAACACGGAGCCUCGGUCAUAGCCUAUCACAGGCUCACGAGUUCAAUUCGAGGGGUUACAUUUACUUAUGCCUAUGCGGAGGGACAAGUUAACUCACGAAAGCAUAAAUCAUAUGUAACCCGAAAGUAUUCACUAGCCUGUGCGGAGGGACGAGUUAACUCACGAAGGCGUAGCGUUUACUUUCACUUAAACGGACGGAGCCCGGGUAGAGAGCUCAUGUUAUGCGAAAAUGCAAGUGCACGGUGUGUGGGGAACAACUCAUAAACCUUUACGUUUCACUUAAAGAAACUAAACCAAAAUUAAAACCAUAAAAAUUAAAAACUAAAAAACAACCAAAUAAGCAAGUUAGAAGAAAUAUUUACAGCACGAUACAAAUGCAUGAGUUUUGAAAACGAGAUUUUCGGAUCACGACCAAAUAUUUACUUUGAACAAGGAAAUUUGAAAAUUUUGACAAAACGUGUUUAAUUCUAGACACGACUCUCAAAAAGGCUUUCCCCAGCGGAGUCGCUAGCUGUAGCGACCUAAAAAUUUUGGCGAUAGGCGCUAAUCGAAUUGAUUGUUGAAAAUUUGAAAACUGAAUCUCGAUUUUAUUUGAAAAAGGAGUCGCCACCGAUCUUUUUUUUCUAGGUGUGAUCGGACACCUAAUAAAUUCUCUUUUUAGAAGAAAAAUUUAUUUUUAAAUUUUCUAAAAAAGAGGGUAAUUUUAGGUCUACGUAAGAAUCCAGAGAAAAUUCGAGUUCGGGAGUCGGUUACGCGCGAGGAAGGUAUUAGCACCCUCGCGACGCCCAAAAUUGAUAUCUUGUUAAACAUGUGUUGUCUUAAUUUUCAAAAAUACAAGUUCAAUUUAAUAUUUAGUCGUGAUCCAAUUGAAACACGAGAAUUUUGAAACACAACUUUUUUUCGAAACACGAAAUAUUUUAAAAUACAAGAAUUUUAGAAACACGAAUUUUUUAAAAAAAACACGAAAAUUUUGAAACACGAGAAUUUUUUUUGAAAACACGAAUUUUAUUUUUAAAACACAAUUUUAUUUUGAAAACACAAAAAUUUUGAUAAAUUAUGAAACACGAGGAUUUUUUUUUGAAACACGGAAAUUUAUGAAACAAUGUCAAUUUUUUGAAAACACGAAAUUUUUUGAAAGUCGAGAAUUUUUUGAAAACACGGAGAUUUAUAAAAACACGGAAGUUUUUUUUUUUGAAAAAAAGAAAAUUUUUGAAAUACGAGAUUUUUUGAAAAGAGGGGAAAUUUUUGAAAACAUGAAAAUUUUUGAAACACUAGAAUUUUGAAAACACGAAGAUUUUUGAAACAUGAGAAUUUUUGAAAACACGAGGAUUUUUUGAAAUACGAACAUUUUAGAAACAUGAAAAUUUUUAAAACAUGACAAUUUUUGAAACACGAGAAAUUUAUUUUUUAAAACAUAAAAAAUUUUAAAAUACGAGAAUUUGUGAAACACGAGAAUUGUUGAAAAAAAUAAAAAAUUUUGAAAAUACGAAAUUUUUUUAAACACGAAAAUUUUAGAAAUAUGGAAAUUUUUUAAAAAAACACGAAAAAUUUUGAAAAAUGGAAUUUUUUGAAAACACGAAAAUUUUUGAAAACACGAAAAUUUUUCUGAUUUUUCAUUAAGCACGUAUCGCAUUUAACACUAAUCGGUGAUAUUCACUCAAUAUAGCAAUGAAAUCAACGAAUUAGUGUCAAAUCGAUUCGUUACCUUAUUUUUGAAAACACGAGAAAUUUUUUUGAAGACACGAAAAUUUCGAAACGCGAGGAUUUUUUUUGAAAAUACGAAUUUUUUUAAUAUUUUUCGAUUUUAAAAGGGCGUAUCGAUUUUAACUCGAACCGGUGAUAUUCACCCAACAUAGCGAUGAAAUCAACGAGUUCAUGUUAAAUCGAUUCGUUGCCUUAUUUAUUCAAAGUAUUUAAAAUAAAAUAAAAUAAAAAUUGAAUUAAAUUAAAUUAAAUUAAAAAUAUAAAUGCCAAAAUAUAAAAAUGCAUAAAAUACUAAUAAUAUUAAAACGGAAGAAAAUACGAGCAUUAAAUUAAAAUUAAAAAACGAAAUUACCGAAAAAUCUCGAGACACAAGCUUCGCCGAACGGGUAACACAAAAUUGAACCCCUUUUUUCUUGUUUUUUUCUUUUUUUCUUUUUCUCUCUUUUUCUUUUUUUUUCUCUUUUUUUUUCUGCUGGGCUGGCCAGUUGGGCUGCUGGCUUGGGCCUGGCCUGCUGGUGUGGGUGGUCUGCUACUGCGCUGGGCCUGGGGGCCUGCUGUUGCGCUGGGCCUGCAUUUGGGCUGCUUCUUUCUUCUUCUUUUUUCUGCUUCUUUCUUCUUCUUUUUUGCUGCUUUUUUUUUGCUUUGGUUUUUUUUUGGGCUGGCCUGCUACUGCUGGGCCUGUUGGGUCGGUUCGCGGGUUGAAUCCGGGUCGGGCGACCCGAUAUAUUAUUUUUUAUUUUUUUCUUUCCCCUUUUUUCUUUUUUUUCUUUCUUCUCUUCUUCUUCCUUCCCUCUUUCGGCUCUAGCCUCUUUCACCACCGCUGCCACUUGCGUCGAUCUCCUCCGCCCUCGGUGGCUGUGGUCGGGCUCUCCUCUUCUCUUUUUCUUCUUUCUUUUUGCUGCUGAAAAUUUUUUUGAAACUUUCUUUUUCUCUUUUUUUUUGAUUCGUGGGGGGUCCUCUGAUUUUUGGAGUUUAAACUCCUUUUUAUAGUUGGUUUUGCUUCUUUUUUGCAGGUAGCAAGUGGGGAAGGAGCAGCCACCCAUGUUUGUGGCCUGAAAAUCUGGGAAGUGGGUGCCCCAAAUCACGUAACCUGUCUGAAGGACCAAAUCACAAAUGCAGCAAAACUUCUGGGGCUAAAUGUAAUUUUUAGAAAAUUUAGGAUUAAAAUGAAAUUUAAUGAAAGUUUAGGGGUCUAAGUGAAAUUUAAAGAAAGUUUAAGGGUCAAAAUGAAAUUUAGGAAAAGUUUAGGGGUCAAAAUGCAACUUUUAUUUUUUUAAUUUUUUUUUUGAAAUUUUGAAAAUUAAACACAAAUUCUAGUUGGACAAAAAUUUAGUGCUUACACUUAUUAAGCCACUCCAGUGGAUAAUAUAAUCUUUCAAAUUCGGAUCUAACAUCUAGGCCGGUUAAAGAGGUUACAUAAACAUAUUCAUAUAAAGGUUUUCAACAAAGAUAAAAAGAAUAAUAAAAGAAAGCAAUAAAUAUUAAAACCCACUCAACCAACCGGAACACCACUCUAAUCACCCUGCACACCACAAUUCGGUUAUGGUAGGCUCAUCCACCCUACACACCACAAAAGGCCACUGUCGGCCCAUCCACCAUACACACCACGAUAGUGGGUUUAAGCCACUCAAAAGGAAAUAUGCAGCUGAGCUGACAUAUAUAUAAUAAUGCGGUAAAACUGCUGUACAGAAUAUUGCAAAUAAACUGCUCAAAUUAGACUUCCUUAUCUUCACAACGGAAACCCCAAAUGUUUAUGAAAAUGCAAAAAUGCACACAUGCAGACGACCAUACAAAACAAGUGUACACAUAUACAGUUAAACAAAUUCAGAUUCAGUUAAACUUGAUUUCAAUUACUGAGCAAUGAUAACAACAUCGUACUCAAACCUAUUCAUCACAUCACAUUAUCACCUAACGAACAAUUAAACAAAAGCAUCUAAGUGCACAAACAUACACGAAUCCAAGCUGAACUGGGUCCCAAUCACAUUUACAAAGGCUUAAACAAGUGUUGGAUUACACAGGAACUAAAACGAGUCAAUUACAAAAAAAAAUUAAAAUAUGCAAAAACAGAACCACAUGGCCGUGUGCCCAGGCCAUUUGGAAAGGUCUAGACCGUAUGAGGGGUCUACACUGACGUGUGUAAGAGCGACACACCCGUGUGACAAAGGCACACGAUCAUGUGGCCGAGACACACACCCAUGAGACAGAGUUACAUGGCCAUGUGGCCGAACCGUGUAACUCCUGGUGCCAUGUGACAAAAAUCAACAUAUUUAAGAAGCAAAGUAGACACGUCCGUGUGGUUGAGAAACAUGGCAGUGUGACUGAGGCACACGCCCAUGUGAAAAAUAAUAAAUUUCUCUACAGAGGUCACAUAACCGUGUGGCCAGCCUGACCUACUUCAGGUAUAAAUUUAAUUCUUGUCUCUCACACACAAAAGUAAGCAUAAAUGCUUGACUAAGACCGCUGGACUCACCUAACAGACUAAAACUUCUAACCCCAAAUUUCAAAAUGUUACAUUAUUAAUAAUUUAAAUAAACAAUUGAUAAUUUUGGUUGGUGUCCCAAAAUUUCAAUAUAUAUAUAUGCUAAUGUGGCCACUAGAUAGACUAUUUUGGACAUUAAAUGACGUACCAAAAGAAGAAAUGUAAAAAAAAAACAAUUCAAAAAAGGAAAUCCCGUCCAUUGAUAUUUUUAUUCUAAGGUUGUAUUCUUUUGACUUAAAAGAUGAUUGUGAUUUUAUCGUGUUAUUGACAAAUAUAAUAUUUUAGGAAACUAUUCAAUAUUUUACUUUUGAAUUUAAAAUGACUAAAUAAAUGUGCAUAUAUACAUCAACUCUUCAAGGAUAAUUUAAUUAUUAUUUAAUAGAAUAUGUCAUAUUCACUAAUGAAAAGUAUAAAUAAUAUAAAUAUGUAGUUAAUAAUUUUUUUAAAUAAUAAUUACUGAUAUGGUAAUAAAAUUGCAUAUAAUUUUUUUUAAUAAAAAAAAAGUACAUGAGAAAAGAAUAGGAAAAUUGUAAUAUUUUUAAGGAUUAGUAUAUGAUGCAUAGAUUAUAGGUUUCAUGGGUCGUCAAGUGAGGAAAGAUGACACAUCAUCACUUAUAUAAAAUAAAAAAUAUUAAAAGAUUUAAAAUUAAAUAAUAUUUAUUUUAGUUAAACAUAAUUAAAUAUGAAUUGUAAUAUUUUGUUUCUCUUGUUUUGAACUUCUGGUCUUAAGUUUUUGGUUUCAGGUUUUAAAUUUUGGUUUUUAGAUUUCAGAUUUAAUGUUUUUGGAUUUAUUUAUGUUGAAUAAUUUUAAUUAAUAUUUAUUUUUAAAUAAAAAUAUUUAUAUUUAUUUUUAAAUCCUUCAAUAGUUUACACCAAUGAUGAUAUAUCAUCUUAUUAUUAAUUAAUGGCGCAUGAGAUCUAUGCACCGCAACAAUGGAUCAAGUAAUCUCCUUAUAUAUAGAUAAUUAAGUUGAUAUUAUGAGUCAACUCAAUACCAAUUUAGUACGAAAAAUUACAUAAAAACUAUUUUUAAUAAAGUAACAAAUAUUAAUAUAAUAUUUUUUUGUCUUUUACUAUAUAUUUUUAUAUGAAAUGUUUAAAUAAAACAACUAAAAUUAAAAUAUCUAAGAAUUGAAGUCAAGACUAGCAUGAGAAAAAAAAAGGAAAACAAUAACACUUUUGAGGAUUAAUAUAUGAUGCAUAGUGUAUAAGUCUCAUGCAGCAUCAACUAAUAAUAAGAUGAUAUAUCAUCAUUAGUGUAAAAUAAAAAAAUAUUAAAGGAUUUAAAAGUAAAUACAUAUGAAUUUUAAAAUAUAAUUAAAUAUAAAUUACAAAUCUUUUGUUUCUCUUUCAGGUUUUGAACUUUGGGUUUCGGGUUUUAGAUUUUAUGUUUUGGAUUUUGGGUUUGUGUUCUUAUUUAUUUAUGUUUAUAAUUAAUAUUUAUUUUUUAAAUAAUUUUAUUUUAAAUCUUUUAAUAUGUUUUUUUACACCAAUGAUGAUGUGUUAUCAAAUAUAUGCGUGUGAUAUAAUUAAUUGAGCUGAUAUCAUGAAUUAACUCAACACCAAUUUAAUAAGAAAAAUUACAUGAAAAUUAUUUUAAUAAAUUCACAAAUAUCAAUAUAAUAUUUUUUAUCUUUAACUAUUUUAUAUGAAAUGUUUAAAUAAAAAACUAAAAAUAAAAUAUCCAACACUGAUUAUAUCUACUCUUUUUGACAUAAAACUUAAAACUACUCAUAACCCUUCUCCAACACAUAAAUAAGAACAUAAUGCACUUUAACGCACUCAAACUCACGUCCUCUUGUAUUAGCAACAAUGCACAUAUCAAUCGAGUUAAGACGAAUCAACUGAGAAUUUUAGUAAUUAAAAUUAACUUUUUCCAUAAGUUUAAAAAUUUUAAAAAAUUAUUGAUAAUUAAAUAAAAGAGCAACCAUAUCUUAUAGAGGUUAAAAAUUAUUGAAAUGCAAGCUCAUUUAAUGCUGAAAUGCAGUUCUCAAACUUGAAAAAAAAAAUUGUUCUUAUAAAAAACAAACAAUAAAAUUCUGUGUUUAGAAAUAUUUCUAGUUUUAAAUUCGUCUUCACUCAAUUAAUAAUUGUGCUUAUUAUUUUCAUGAGUAGAUGAUGAUUGAAUACUGAAUUUGAACUUUUAAUUUUCGAAUUUAAAAUCAAUACAUAACUAAUAAGAUAUUAAUUUUUGGGUAUUGUAAAGGUGCUAAUACUUUCUUCACACGUAAUUGAUUCUCGAAUUUAAAUUUUCUUUAAUUUUCAAAUAAUAAACCAACUAAUUAUCUUUUUAAAAGGCGGUUUUAUAAGUACCUGAUCACACCUAGUUAAAAGAUUUGUGACGAAUCUUACGUUCUAAAUAAAAAUUUAAUGUUUUAAAAUUUUAAAAUUUUCAUAUUUUUCUCAAAAUUCGUAAACCUAACUUUGCUCAAAAGAAUGGUAUCGACAGUAGUCAUCCAACUUUUAGUAUUUUUUUGUCACCCAAUUAUGAAAAUUUAUAAAAAAGAAUGGCCAUCCAACUAUUCAGCCUUUUCUUUUUUGUCACACAACUAUAUGAAUUUUUCUUUUUUGGUCCCAGCGAUUAAUUUACUAACGGAAAGAUAACUUGAUAAGUUGUAAAAUUAGCAUAAUAACAACUUUAACCCUCAACAUUUAUGCAUUGUGUUAAUUUAGUCUUGAUUUUAAAAAAAUAACUCUCGACAUUUACACAUUAUAUAAUUUGGUCUUUGUAACUCUCUCUUUUGCAGUUUUACUUUUAUUUGUGACAUUAAGGGUUAAUUUUAAAAGAAUGAGAUAAGAUGAAUAUUAUUAUCUUGGAUUUUUUGGUGUUUCUAUUUUGUGUAUAUAUUUUUUUUAUCAAAUUUAGUUGAUAGAUUAUUUUUUUUAGCUUUUUAGGUGAAAGACUCACAAAGAAAAGAAAAAUUGAAAAAAAAUAUUACACACUGUGCAAAUGUUGAAGGGUUAAAUUUGUUAGAAUCAAAACUAAAUUGACCCAGUAUAUAAAUGUUGAGGGUUAAAAGUUGUUGUUUAACCAAUUUUAAAAGUUGCCACAUCAUCUUCCCAUCAACCCUUUAACAAUCGGUGACUAAAAAAAAAUCAAAUAGUUAAGUAACUGUAGCGACAUAAAAAUUGGUUCUGGGGUCGCUAAUUGUGGCGAUCUAGUGAAAAAGUUUGGAAACUGAAGUUCGAUUUUAAAAUAAAGAGGGAGUCGCCACGAUCCUUUUUCCUAGGUGUGAUCGGACACCUAUUAGAUUCAUUUUUUAAAACAAAAGGAAGGCUGAAUUUAGGUCUACGUUAAAAGCCAGAGAAAAAUUAGGGUUCGGGAGUCGAUUACGCGCGAGGAAGGUAUUAGCACCCUCGCGACGCCCAAAAUUGGUAUCUCAUAAACAUGUGUUGUCUUGAUUUUCACAAAAUACGAGUUCAAUGUAAAAUUUAAUCAUAAUCCGAUUAAAAGAACGAGAAAUUUUGGUUUAUUUCGUUUUUUUAGAAGGGUAUAUCGCUUUAACAUGAGUCAAUUGACGUUCACCCAACAUAGCGAUGAACUCGAUGACUUAAUGUUAAAUCGGUAUAUUGCCUUGAUUAUUGAAAUUGAUUUAAAUCAUGAAUAAGAAUAUUUUCGAAAUAAUGCAAAGUAAAAUAAUAUGAAAUAAAAAUCAAUAAAUGAAAGAGCUAGGAAUAUAUUGAAACAGAUAAUCGAGGUGGCAAUAAUAUUAGAAAAGAUGAAGGUAUAAUGUAAAAAAUUUUUACACGCGGUGGCCGGAAAAGGUAAAAAAUUUUUAUUUUUUUUUAUAUUUUUUAAUAUUGUAUAUAUAUAUUUGAGUGUAUCAGAGUAUAAAAAAAAGAAAAGCCAAUGAAAAGAAAAAAAAACGAUUCGGUAAUAGGAAAGAAAAUAGGUUUUUCACCUUUCUCCUUGAUCUGGGUUUUGAUAAUAUUCAAUACUGAUCUAUUGUUGCUCCUAAAAACUAAUCUGUAUUCUCUGCUUCUUUGUUUUUAAACUACCGAAAAUAAGAAAAAGAAAAAAACAGAAAAAGACCCCCUUUUUCAUUUGAUUUCAUGGCUCUUAUAGCCUUACAAUUUUAUUUUCUAUUGCUUUCUGUCCUUUCUCCUUACUGUGUGCAGGGAUGGUGGCCGACAUGGUGGCAUGGAGGGCUGGGGCGCUGGUCAGAUGGCAGGGGGUUGGUGCGCAAGUGGGGUUCGGCGCAAGUGGGCAAGUGGGGGGUAGGUGGCUAGGGUUAGUGGGAUUAGGGUUUCUGAAUGCUGAGUUUAGGUUAAUGGGCUGGGGUAGUUGGGCUUCGGGUUUAGUUGUUUAGGCUUGGUUUAGGAUGAGAUGGGUAUGGGGUUUAAGUAGGUUUAGUUAUUGGGUUUUGGGGGUGGCCCAAAAUUGGCCUGUACAGUAACCAUUUUGUAACUUUUUAUAGUUAGGUGACUAUAAGUGUAAUUUACCCUUAAAUAAACAAAAUUUUCAUUCAUGUCCCAAAUUUUCUAAAAAAAGAAACUAUAUAUGAUAUCGUAAAGGCUAUAUGCACUAGAUAGACUAUCGAGGGCAUUAAAUGACGUACAAUAAAAAAUAAAAGGGUAAAUUCAUCAUUAAUCCCUAAAUUAUAAGCAAGUUUUCAUUUUAGUCACUUAACUAAAAAAGUUACAAUUUGAUCACUAAACUAUUCAAAAGUUUUCAUUUAAGUCACUGAGCUAUUAAAAUCAAUGUUAUAUGGCUUUCUCUGUUCGCACUACCUGCACCAAUUGAAAGCUCUCUUUCUAUUUCUUUUCUACCGUUCAUAUUUUUUUAUGAAAUAGCUUUGAAUGCCAUAAAUAUACAAAUCAAAGUUCAAAAAGCUUUUUCUCUGAUCUCCAACAUUGGCCAUCAAAUCAACUUAGAUCUAAAGUAUGUUCUUCUACUCGUCGAUGGUUACUGAUCCAGCGUACUGAUCGUCGAAUCAUUGCUUUGAGUUUUCUUGUGAAACUUCUAAAAAUAUAACAGUCUAGUGACUAAAAUAAAAACUUUUGAAUAAUUCGUUGACUUAAAUAAAAUUUUUUGAAUAAUUAUGAAUUUGAACAGUUGAUUGGCUAAAAUAUUGCAAUGAUUUUAAGCUCUCUUUUUAAGUAAUCGAUUAUGACUUUUAUAAUUAAAUAUCCUUAGCAGUCUUUUUAAGCUGUUAGUAUUAUAUAAUUAUUUUACACAUGCAUUGAAACUAAAUAAAAUACGAAUAUUAUACAUAAAUUUUUUGACUGAUCCAAGAUGAAAUUUUAUAAAAUCUAUUUGUUGGGUAUAUUUAUUAUCGAUAAACAUUGGUCUUAGUACGUCUCCUUUAGAAUAUUUACAUUUAAUUCGCAAUAAAUAUUAAAUAUAAAAUAUGAAUAUAAUUAUUUAAAUUCUUUUUGCUUGGAAAGGAAUAAAUAUAUAAUUUCUGAAGCUUGGCGGCAAUAUCUAAUACGAAAUCCUUGAAAAGAAUCGUGUUUGAUUGCUAGGUUUGUCUUAACUUUGAAUAUGGAAAUUAAGUAAUUUUGAAAAAAUGUUCUUCCUUAAAAGUAAUUUUGAAAGGGUAUAAUGAUUUUACGUGGGGCUAGUGAAUCAAAUGAUGAAAUAUUAUUAAAAAUUUUAAUAUUAUAUUAUUAUUUUAUUUACUGAUAAUGUAUAUAAUUAUACAUUGUCAAUGCAUCAUAUAUAAAUCCAUUCUAAAUUGGAAUCCAUAUUGGUACAAUAAACUUUCAAAUUAUUUUUAAAAGAUCGAUUAAGUUCCUUUGAACCUUUUACAUCCAUUUAAGUCUUUGAACUGACAAUUUUGACUAACGAAAUUUUUUUAUUAACAUUGACCAUUAGAAACCAACAUUAAUAUUGACUUGGUCAUUAAUGGAUAUCACAUCAACCAACAAAUGUUGAUGGGGUGAUCCACGUUAAUAAAAAAUAAAAAUAUUUUAAAAUUAUUGUAAAAAAAUGUACACAAUAAACUUAAACAAAUUGUUUCCCAAGAUCAUUUGUACAAAAAAAUUUAUAAAGAAUAAUUAAAAUUAUAAAUUAUUAUAAAUUAAUUAAAAAUCAUAAAAUUUUAUAAAAUAAAUUAAAACAAAGCUUUUCAUUAUAAAUUUUUAUAAAAUCCAUUAAUUGAAUAAAAGCUUUUAAUUAAAAUCCAUUUGGAUCUUUUUUAAAAGUUUCCAAAGAUUUUAUUUAAAAACAUUAAAAUUAUUAUAUUUUAUAAAAAUAUUUUUAUUUAAAUUCCAUUUGGUUUUAAUAAUACAUAAACAAUUACAAAAAAUAUAUAUAAAUAUAAAUUGGUUUUUAAUUUUAUACGUUUUAAUAAUUUCUAAAAUUUUAAUAAUUUAUAAAAAAAACUUUAGAAAAAAUCAUUUUAAUUAUUUUAUAAUAUUUUUUAUAAAAUUUAAUUAUUUGAAUUAUAUUUUAUAAUUUUUUAUUUUUUUAUAAUUUCGAAAUGAACCUUGAGAAAUGUGUUUUCAUAUUCAAAGGAACCUGGAUAAAAAGGUGUCCAUAUUUAAAUGAAUUUGGAUAACCAUUUAUCCAGCAUCAUUGUACAUUUUUUUAAAUAAUUUCAAAAUAUUUUUUUAUUUUUUAUUUUUAUUGAUGUGGAACUGUCAAGUUAACAUUUGUUAGCUAAUGUGGCAUCUGUUAACAAUCAUAUUAGCGUUGUUGUUAGUUUCUAACGAUCAAUAUUAGUCAAAUGACCUUGUUAGUUAAAAAUAUCAAUUCAAUGAUUCAAUUGAGUGGAAAAGAUUUGGAGGGAUUUAAUUGAUUUUUUUUAAAAAAAAGUUUGAAUGCUUAAUAAGCCUAUAUUAUCUUGAAUCAAUUCUAUCAAUCAUCUCUAAACUCUAAACUAUUGCCAAUAGUCUUAAGUAAAAUUAACCGCAACAUUUAUAUCUUUCGUCAAUUUGGCUUCUUUUUUUUUCAUUAAAUUUGGCCCUUAAUCUUUUAAAAAAGAGUCAAAUCAUUUUUUAUAGAAAAUCCUGACGAAUAUGGCAUGGCAGCCUGUGUAACAAUCCACGUGCACUUUAUUUUGACAUAAUACUAUUUAUUAUAUGCCACACCAAAAAAAAUUUAAAAUUAUAAAAAAUUCAAAAAAUAAAAAGUUUAUAAAAAUUCAAAAAUAAAAGAGUAUGAAAUACUUGUGGAUUGGUAUGUGAGCUACCAUGUUUAAAAUUUUAAUGAUUAAUUUUCAAUAAAAAAUAGCAAGUCAACUAUUUUUUAAAAAUUUAAUGGUUAAUUUUCAAUAAAAAAUAGCAAGUCAACUAUUUUUGAAAGGUUUAAGUUAAAUAUGAUAUAUUUUUUUAAAGGUUGAGGACUAAAUUUAGCUUUAAAAAAAAAGACUAAAUUAUUAAUAAAAAAAAUGUAAAUGUUAAUGACUAAAUUUUUGUUAUACCCAUUCUUAAUUAGUUUAAAACUUCAAAAUAUGUUAAAUAAAUCUGUAAAAUAUCAACAUUGUAUCAAAUAAUUUUCUAUUAAUAUAGUAAGUAGUUAAUUUAAUUGUUAAAUGUCAAUCAAGAUAUGAUAUGCCGCAUACUUAAAAACAAACGGAUUAAAUUGUAAGCUCAUGUGUAUCUAACACAUGAAAAAUUUAGUUUUGACGUAUUAAAAAAUCGAUUUCAAUAAAAUGUUAUCUAUGUUGUAAGUAUAUACGUUUGAUCGACGUAUUUCAAAUACACUUUAACUCAAAUUUGAAUUUGCAUUUAGUACCUCAACUAAUUGUUAACAUAAUAGAAAGGCUUAAUUGAUAUGAUACUAAUACUUUGAAGACUGAAUUAAAACAUUUUUAAAAUUUAAAAUUGAAUUUAAAAUAUGCAUAAUUUGAGAACAUUACGUCAUAGUUUAAUGUGUUUAUGGUAAAUUAGUCAAUUGUAUAAUAGUAAACAAGUUACGUUGCCUAGUCCUUGAUCAAACCUGACAUGCUUUAUUAUAAUAGUAAACAUUAACUUCUCUUUACUCAGUUUAAUUGUGGGAUUGUAAUUAUCAUUUAUUUCGGUCUUUAUAUCGUAAGAUUACAACUGUUUAAUUUUCUUUUUGUAUCUAAAGCAUGACCUGAUUAAUUUUCAUAAUUACAUGCUAUUUUGAUUUAGAAAAUUAUUAUAAAUAUUUUUAGCUGUUUUUUUAAUGGUUUCAUAGAUGAUCGAACGUAAUGUUUUCAACUUAGUUGAAACUCUUAGGCCACAUUAAGGGUGUUACAAAUUUUUUUAAAAAUAACUUUAAAAAAAUCAUUUAUAAAAAACUUUAUAAUUGUAAUUAUUUUAUAAUUUGAAUGAUUUUUUAUAAUUUAUUAUGUUUUUUUAAUUUCGAAAUGAAUAUUGAGAAAUGUGUCUCUAGAUUCAAAGGAACCUAGCUAAAUUGGUAUUUUUAUAAAAUUUAUUUUGGGUAUUUUUUCCAUUUGUCCAACAUCAUUGUAUACUUUGUAACACCCCACACACAAUUUAGAUGUUAUGGCUGAUUCUUGAGGAAUUACAUAACCUCGUUUUAAACCUAAAUUUUGAAUUUGAGAAACAUGUAUCCCGUCAUUAUUAAUUUUUGUAAUAAAAAUCAUGUGCUUUUGUAAUUUAAUGAUAAAAAUGCCCAAAAUCCGUAAAAAAUAAACCAAAAAGUAAAACAAAAUUAAAAAAACAAGUUCAUAGUCCCAAAGUUGAGAAAUGAAUAAAUCAUAAACCACAUAAUAAUAUUAACCGGAAAAUCAAUUGGAGCACCCGCGUGUCGUUCGAUCCUUACUUUGCUAAUUACCUAAGAAGUUAGAAAAUUUGGGUGAGCUUACAAAGCUCAGUGUGUAACUUAGCCCAUACAAACAGAACAAAUAGCAUAAUCACACAGAAGUUAGCUGUAACGCCCUGAUUUUUGGGCCUAGAAGUAUUGGGCCUUGAGUCUGGGUUCGGGUGGAAAAUGGCCCGAAUAAUUUGGAUGUUAUUAUUAUUAUUUCAUAUGUUUAGUUUAGUAAUUAAAUAAAUUACAAAAGGUUUAUGGUGUGGGAAAAAAGGCCCAAAAGUAAAUUUAAUUCGAGGCAAUUCCUGAAUUCUAAUUUUUAGAGAGAGGGUUCUGGCGAUAUGGGCUUUAAAAGUUGAGGUGGUAAAAUAGGACACAAAAAUAUUUGUGGUAAAGUGGCAUGUGACGCCACCUAGGUUGGGGAGUGACGUGUGGAUGUUUAGGGGAAGCCAGAGUUCAAGUCAUAAGGUAAGCGUAUUGUUACUUUUAUUUUUUAUGUGCAUUGCCGGGCAUGUGAUAGAGCUUAAGUGGAAAUUCGGUUAGGGCUUUAGGAAGGUUGGGCCGUGGGUCUGAAUGGCCCUUAGGGCAAGCUUUAUUUUCUUUUUGUUUUUCCGAAUUAGGGUUAGCCACCUAGAGCCUUCCCUUUUAUUCUAUUCUCUUCUCAGUAUCUCAAAAAGCCGAAAAAUGCAAAGUUAGAUCUCCUGAGUGCCGAAUUCUUCCUUCUUUUCUCCUCUCUUCUUCUAUUUUCUUUUUCUCAUUCUUUUCUUCUCUAGCCAAAGCAUUCCUACCAUUCUACUCAUCUCCUCUUUCAUUCCCAUUCUUUUCUAAACCUCUAUAGCUGAUUGCCAUAAAAGCUGAAAUCCCGAAAGUCGUUUCUUGUGUCGAUUUCUCCUAGCCAAAAUCCUCCUAUUUUCUUCACCUCUUUUGGUCGAUUUUCACAUCCUCUAAACCUCAACCCCUGUCAAAAAUACCACACCAAAUCAUCUUCCUCUUCACAGUUCCAAAAGCCAAAAACAACAUAGUUUUUAGGGACGUAUAGCAGAAUCUUUAGAUCUCUAAGAUUUGAUUUCUGCUAGUGUUUAAGGGCUGGAUCUGCAUCAAAUCUGAGUAGAAACUAAAGUGGAAUCAUUUUGGUUGAAAAAACCUGAGGUAGGUACUCAAAUCUAUUCUUUAUUUCGGGUUUUAGAAAAGCCAAAAUCCCUAAAGGCAUAGGGAGGCUGUCGAUUGGAGCUUAAGGCUCUAAGGGUUGUAACAAUUGAUUUGUUUUGGUGUUAGUAUGAUCCAGAGGCUGCUGAUUGAAGGCUUGGACAAGUGGAACGACUAGAUCGAGAUCUAGUCACUAGUUUUGGCAAAGGGAGGAUAGGCAAAGGGAGGAUCUCAAGGGCCAUAUGUAUUGAUGGCCGAUUUUGGUAAGUAAGUUUAUGAUGGUUGCCAUUGUAUUUUGGAUCUGAUAUGUCUAGUGACUGAUUGUAGGAUAUCGUGGGAGAUUUUGGUAGCAGUUGUCGCAAAUCAGGUGUGUAAACGACACCCACUAGUAGACUAGAUCGGCAAAAGUCAAAAAGCUGAAAUGCCGAAAAGCUGGCAUCUCGAGAACUUGCGAGCGUGCGAACGCUCGUGGGAUUGUUUGUAUUGAUAAUUUUGAUAACUUCAAUGGUAAGAUUGUAAAGUGCACAAUUUCGUGCACCUCGGUGAAUUUGGGCUUCGAUGGGCCGAAAUUGGGUAAUGGGCAACGGGCCCAUUUCGGUAAAAAUGUUCGGUAAGUAUUCUGAAGACACGUUAAUAACUAUAAUGAGCAUGAAACCCUAAAAAGACUGAAAAAAUUACUGAAAUACCUCUGUAAGGUAGAAUUACUGUAAUACCUCUAAAGGGGUAAGUUUACGAUUACGCCUCUCGAGGGUAAAUAACUGUUCUUACACUAUAAUCUGACUGUCUUUCUGAAGCAUGCCUUGUUAAUUAUAUAUAUUCUGCAUACAUGUCAUACUGCAUGGGGUUGGGUUUUGUUAUGGAGGAAGAACCCGUUCUGGUGGCUGUGCCACAUAUUCUGAUAUAAGCAGCUUUGCUGCGAAUUAUAGUUAGUGCCGCAACCGGUGCUAACACUGUAAGUGUAGGGAUGGCGUAGGUGAUUUAUUCCUCACAGGAAGUGUAGGGAUGGACGGAGGCAAGUGCAGGGUUGGAUGGGGUUAUCAUGCAUUAAUCAUAUGAGACUAUUUUGUUAUGGGCCAACUGUAUUGAAAUGGGCCCAACUGUGUUAAUAUGGGCAAGGCCCAAUAUAUCUCGACAUGUAAUAGGGUUACGGCCCAAAUUGAUACUAACAUGGGCUAGGCCCAGUAUACUCUGAUACUAUAAGGGGCUAUGGCCCAGAUUAAUAUUGAUAUGGGCUAAGGCCCAGUUAACUCUAAUUUCUAAAUAGGGCUUAGGCCCAGUAAAGCUUGAACUGAUUUGGGCUCUGGUUGGGAUACUUUACACACUGAGUUUUCCAAACUCACCAGCCUUAGAUCGGUGGACUUGGAGUUGGAGGGAUUCAGAGUGGCCCUGUGGACUAUUUAAAAUAAGUGUUUAUACCUUCACUUUUAUUUUAGAUUAUUUCCUUUAUAUUUUUGGGUUUUUAAUUUGUAAUAAGGCCGCUUUGAUUAUUUUUAAUUAUUUUUAGUAUGUUUUGUUAGCUUAGAUAUGAUGUUAUUUUAAUUGUUUGAAAUUGAAUAGCUCUAGGGCACGUUUUAAAAAGGUUACUUGAUUUCAAAAUAUCGCGAUAACAAAGCAAGGCUUCCGCAACGAAAACGUUUUUAAAAUUAAUAACCUUUUCAAAUGGUUUUAAAUGAAUUGGUUUUCCCUAAACAAUCACUCAGUUAAAGUGUGGCAACGGUUGUGUGCAUGUCUAGGCUUGGAUCCGUGAAGAGCUGGGUACUUAAGCAGUCUAAUUGACUCACCUCCUCUUUUCUGGCAUCCUAUCUGGUACACAGCUUCCAUUCACUUUAAUCUUUAACGAAUAUAUUCUUUAAACACUAAGAAAGACUUUAGAUAAAACAUGACUUUUCUAGUAAUGUUUCAAUGUGACACGCCGGAUUCGGUCGUAAUGUCUGGGCUGGGUUUGGGGUGUUACAUUAGCAAUCGAACAGAAUACACAGCAUGGCAUACUAUGGAAUGUAACAUAAUGAUCAGAUCAAAAAUGGAUGACAUGACAUAUCAUGUGAUGCAACACUUAAUACAAAACAAAUACAGAUCCUACCCCUAUCCAUUACACACCAUCUUAAUCCAUCCUUAUACACGAAAUAGGGUAAUAAAUACCCAUCUAAUCCCACACACCAAUAAGUGACCAUAUGUCACUAUAUAGAAAAGUGCAAUAAAAGCUGUCAUAAAUAAUGCGGUAAUUCACCAAAAUCAGACAAGUAUGGUCAAGUCAUCAGAAUUGUAGUCAAGCUGCCAAAACAGAUAUGUGGUUAAAUCACAAGAUAAAGUAGAUCAUUAAACUUCCAACACUUUCUCUGUCACUGAAUUAUCCCACCCCAAUACACAUGCAAUAAAAGCAUAACCAGAUAUUCAAAUGCACAAAGAUCAGAUAUGCUUACAUAACAGAAUCAUACUAAUGAUAUACUCAAAAUUUUCAGAUUAGAUACAGAAUUACCUCAAUUAUCAUGCUUGUAGAAAGUACUCAUACAAAGACAAAACCAUAAAAUCUUAUACUAGAAACAAUAAUAUCACUUAGCAAACCCUAUAGUAUUACUGACCUCGAAACAUACUUCGAAUAACGUUCUUAAUUAAAUUUUACAGAAAAUGGGCCCAAACACCCAUGCAGCCCACACUGCCCAUUUAACCCAUCCCAUGUGGCUCAAACGAUCUGGCACACGACGGUGUGGAUUGACAGUGGGUUUUUUUGGUUUCGUACCAUUUGUUGUUUUUCGGGACAGAAGGUACAAACCUGAUCAUUUUUUGAUGCCAACACAAUAGCAACAAUACUAGCACCUAAAAAUGACGUUCAGAAUGAACUAUUUAGCAAAUGUCAUACUAAAUUCGACCACUAAAUCGGCCGUAAUGCUAAAAAUCCAGAUUGAUCGUUUUUCGUAACAUUAAGAUUCAGCCUUAACAAGGCACUGAUCACUUACCCUAAUGUAAGAGGGCUUUCCAAAUGCUUCCAUUUUUUCGAAAGAUUAGACGUUUCCAAUUCUUUACCUAAAUCACAGAUUUCCAACCAUUCAAACUAUUAUCACCCAAAAUAAGAAUUCAUAUCCAAGCAUGUGAAAAAUAACUUAUUUACAAAAUACGAGUCUUAAAUCAACAUCUUUACCACCCAUGACCAACAAUCAAGACUGAAAAGGAUGUUGGUGCAAAGUAACUCAACAUUGAAGAGAUAAAAAGUAAAGAAAUGGAAAGAGGCCAGAACAAUAUACAACAGCAACAUAGUGGGAAAAGGUGUCUUCAAAGAGAAUGAAAAGAGAUUGAUCAUGAAAAAGAUGUGGAAUAGGAAAAAAACCAACAGAUGAAAGAGUGAUAGAAACUUGUUGAAAACUCUAAAUAAGCAAAAUAUAAGAUGGAGAAAUAGACAGAGAGGGACGAUAGAAAAUAGAGAGAUUUUUGGAACACUUUUGGGAAAUUUAAAAAAAAAAAGAAUUUUGAAAAACUAUCCAUAUCCCCACUAACUCCCAAUAAAUCUAAUUAGUUAUUUUUAUAAGAUUUUCACUUUGCACACACAAGGAUUUAAACAUAAAUCCCCUAGGUAAGUUGAAGCCUUACCACUAAACUGGUAUGCUCAUUCUCGUCAACAAUUGAACAAAAAAAUUAUAUAAGCUAGAUGUUCAAGGAUAGGGGUUGGAACAAAAAUAAUAAAAAAAUUCAGGGGAAGAGAUUUGAACAUAAGACCUCAGACACACAUAAUUAACACUUAGCCACUACAACAGACUAAUCACUUGACAUGAUUCCUACAAAAAUUAUUCUAAAAUAGGGCAUGACCCCUCUUGGUUCACCAACCCAAUUUAUACUAACCUAGUGUUUGAGAUGUGACAACUCUCCCCUCCUUAAAAGGAAUUUCGUCCUCGAAAUUCAUGUUGUCACACCAUUCACUCAACCACAAGGUUCGUAACUCUCAAUUAAAGCUGACCACCACACUUUUUUUGCGCGCAACUCUGAUUCCAAUGCCAUUAAGAAAAUACUUCUCCUCAAACCUUCUGUAGACCUCCUAUUCACAGACACAAAUUAUCUCAAAGGACUAACUACAAAAUCAUCUCUAAUGAUUUCCUCUACCUCAGAUUCUCAGAUACACUAUUGACAGUAGACACUUGAAUAAAACCAAUUCUCAAUCAUUGCAAUGAACAAUUGGAAUGGAUCGCGAAAGUAGCUACAUUAAUGCCAGAUGCGUCUUAAUCCUCAUGACCCAUAGCUGUAUAAUCCAAUCUUUGAUUCUAUUUUUGAGUCAAAGCCUACAUUUGACUAAGAAAAUGACACGAGCAAUCUCUAGAAUGGUGCUCAACAGACCCACAUCUAAAACGCGCCACCAUUUUCCUCCAACGCUCGUUCGGGUGGCACCCACCACAAAAUGCACAUGUUGGAACUUGAUCACUACCCACAACUACCUCAAACUGCUAAGGUUUGCCCAGUCUAGCCUACUUCUAAGGUCGCGGAUUCAAGCUAGUAAGACCAUAACUCCUCUUCUUUUAUACUUUAUUCCUUUGCAAAUCUCUAAGCAUAUAUUGGGACACAACAUAGUCCAUAGCUUCUUGAUUAUCGGCCUAAAUGGUAGGUUUUUAAGCAAUCUCACUUGUUUCCAAAUUGGGCAUGUUCCCUAGAGGAGAGGACUCUACUUGAGUCACUUGACGACAACAAACAUACCCUCGCAUACCACGUCUAGGUGAACUGCAUGUACUCAUUUUACUUAUCUACAGUUCAGAAGUCUAAAGUUUAGUUUAGGUUAUUUUUAGAUCCUAAACCUAAAUUUUAGCAUAAAUAACUCGUUCAAUUUUCUAAAGUAAAAAAGUUCUAUUCUACAGUCUCUACAGUUUACUAGUUGACUAAAGUAACUAAAGUAUAGUUUAACUAAAGUACAAAUACUUGGAUUCACAUUUUCAAAAUCUUAAUAAAUUUUGUGUAAAUUUACCCACAUCAGAUUUCCUAAAAAUUUUCUUUAAAAUAAGAAAUUAAAAAAAAAUAUGUAAUCCAGUUUUAAACUAAAAACCACAGCCUGAGUUUUAAAUAUAGGCUUUGAUACCACCAAAUGUAACACUCGACACCCGACCUAAACGUUAUGGCUGAAUCAUGAGAAAUUACAUAAAUUCAUUUUAAACCCAAGUUUUGAAUUUGAAAAACAUGUGUCUUCUCAUUAUUAAUUUUUGACAAAUCUCUUACAAGUUUUAAGGGAAACGCUCAUUAAAAUUUAUUUAUUUUAAAAAAAUCGCAUAAUUAAUUACUUAAACUUUGCAGCGGAAAUUUUGAAGUUUUGAUUUUGAAAUCAAAAUUGUACUUUGGAAUAAAAAUUAUGUGUUUUUGUAAUUUAAAGAUAAAAAUGCCCAAAAUCUGUAAAAAAAAAAACAAAACCGUAAAGCAAAAUCCAAAAACAAGUUCACAGUCCAAAAGUCUAAAAAAGAAUAAAUCAUAAACCACAUAAUAAUAUUAACUGAAAAAUCAAUCUGAGCACUCGCGCACUAUCCGAUCCUAAGUUUGUUGAUUACCUAAGAAGUUAGAAAAUUUGGGUGAGCUUACAAAGCUCAGUGUGUAACUCAACCCAUACAAAUAGAACAGAUAGCAUAAUCAUAAAAAAGUCAAAAAUCGAACAAAAUACACAAAAUGGCAUACUAUGCAAUGUAACAUAAUGAUCAAAUUAGAUACGAAUGACAUGACAUAUCAUGUGAUGCAACACUUAAUACAAAAUACAUACAAAUCCUACCCCAUCUGCUACACACCACCUUUAUCCAUUCGUACACACAAAAUAAGGUAAUAAAUACCCAUCGAACCCCACACACCAAUAAGUGAGUGUAUGUCACUAUAUAGAAAAGUGCAGUCAAAGCUGUUAGAAAUAAUGCGGUAAUCCGUCAAAAUCAGAUAAGUGUGAUCAAGUUAUCAGAAUUAUAGUCAAGUUGCCAAAACAGAUAUGUGGUUAAACCACGAGAUAGGAUAGAUCAUUAAACUGCCAACACUUCAUUCAUCACAUGAUUAUCCCACCCCAAAGCACAUGCAACAAAAACAUAACCAGAUAUUCAGAUGCACAAAGAUCAGACAUGUUUACAUAACGGAAUCAUGCUAAUGACAUGUUCAAAACUUUUAGAUCAAAUACAAAAUUACCUCAAUUAGCAUGCUUGUAGAAAGUACUCAUACAAAGGCAAAACCAUAGAAUCUUAUGCCAGAAACAUGAAUAUAACUUAGCAAACCCUAUAAUAUUGCUUACCUCAAAACGUACUUUAAAUAUGACCUUCACUAAAUUUUACAAAAAAUGGGCCCAAACAUCCGUGUGGCCCACAUGACCCACAUAAUCCAGUCUACAUGGCCCACAUGGCCUAACACAUGGUCGUAUGGCUCACACAGUUUGGCAUAUGACCAUGUGGCAUCGAUAAUUGGUUUUUCAGUUUCGCACCAUUUUUUAUUUUUUGGGACAGAAGCUACACACCUAGUCAUUUUUUGAUGCCAACGCAACAACAACAAUACUAGCACCUAACAAUGGCAUUCAAAAUGAACUAUUUAGCAAUUUUCAUACUAAAUCUGACCACAAAAUCGAUUGUAACACUAAACGUUUGGAUUGAUUAUUUUUUUAACACUAAGAUUCAACCUGAACAAGGCACUAAUCAUUCACCCCAACAGAAGAAGGAUUUUCUAAUACUUCUGUUUUUUCAGAAGAUUAGUCGCUUCCAAUUUUUUAUCUAAAUCACAGACUUCCAACCGUUCAAACUAUUAUCACCCAAAAUAAGAAUUCAUAUCCAAGCAUGUGAAAAAUAACUCCUUUACAAAAUAUGAGUCUUAAAUCAACAUCCUUACCACCCAUGGCCAACAAUCAAGACUGAAAAGGACGUUGGUGAAAAGUAACUCAACAACAUAAGAGACGAAAAGUAAAAAAACAAAAUGAGGACAAAACAAUAUACGACAACAACACAGUGGGAAAAGGCAUCUUCAAAGAAAAUGAAAAAGAGAUUAGUCAUGGAAAUGAUGUGGAACAAAAGAAAAAAAGAAAGAAAGAAAAGAAAACCAACAGAGGAAAGAGUGACGAAAACUUACUGAAACCCCUAAAGAAGCAAAAUAGGAUAUGGAAUAAUGGAUAGAGAGGGACUGUAGAAAGUAGAGAAAUUUUAGGAAUAUAUUUGGGAAAUUUUCAUAAAAAUAAGAAUUUAGAAAACUACCCAUAUUUCUACUAACUCCCACUAAAUUUGAAAGGAAAUUGCAAAAAAAAAAAUUUGUUUUACACACAUGGGGAUUUGAACAUAGGACUUUUGGGUAAAUUAAAGCCUUACUACUAAACUAGCAUGCUCAUUCUUGUCAACAAUUGAGCAAAAAUAUUAUAUAAGCUAGAUGUUCAAUGAUAGGGGUUGGAAAAAAUAUUAAAAAAAUUCAAGGGAAAUGAUUUGAACACAAGACCUCAGACACACAUAAUUAACACUUAGGCACUACAAAAAAUUAAUCCCUUAACAUGGUUCCUAUAAAAAUUAUUCUAAAACAAGGCGUGACCCCUCUUGGUUCACCAACCCUAUUUAUACUAACCUGGUUUUUUUUGGAUGUGACAACAUUUUUUAAAAUAACUUUAAUUUUUUUACUUUUUUAUUUUUAUUAAUCUAGCACUGCCAAGUUAGCAUUUGUUGUCUGAUGUGGCAUCUGUUGACAAUCAUGUUAGCAUUGUUAGUUUCUAAUUAUGAACGUUGAUCAAAGGAUCUUGUUGGUCAAAAUUGUUAAUUCAUAGAUUCAAUUGAGUGGAGUAGGUUAGGAGGGAUUUAAUUAAUUUAAAAAAAAGUUAAAAUGCUUAAUAAGCAUAUAGAAUUUUGGGUUAAUUCUAUCAAUCAUCUUUAAAUUAUUUCCAGUAGGCUUAAAGUAUAAUGUAAAAUGUAACUACAAUAUUUAUAUCUUUUGUCAAUUUGGCUAUUUUUCUUUUUAGCUAAAUUGGCCCUUAGUCUUUUAAAAAAUGAGCUGAUCCAAGGAAGAUUUCUACUUGGAAUGGAAUCAUGGAAAAAGUUGAGAAGAAACUAUCAGGUUGGAAGUGUCUCUCUCUCUUGGGCAGGGAGAAUUAUGCUUAUUAAUACAGUCUUAUCCUCUUUACCUAUCUACUUCAUGUUAAUUUUUCAAGUGUUUGUAGCUGUGAUUAACAAAAUUGACAAAAUUAGAAGGAAUUUUUUGUGGGGAAGUGUUGGUGGACGAAGGAAAAUGGCGAAGGUAAAGUGGAAACAAAUUUGUUUGCCAAAGGAUAAGGGAGUGCGGGAGUGGUGAAUAUUAGGGUAAAAAAUAAGACACUCAUGGUCAAAUAGAGUUGGAGAUUCGUGGCGGAAAGAGAAGUGUUGUGGAGAAAAAAAUUAUAUUUGCGAAGUUAGGAUUCCUUGCACAAUAAUGGUGAAUUAGAAUGAUCAACACCAAAGAUAUGUCGAUGGUUUGGAUGGUUAUCGUGGAGAAUGCUAAAGACUCAAAAGUGGCUAAAUGGAUGGGUAAAGAACCUUUUCGUUGGCUGAUUGGGAAUGGUAAUAUGACAAUGUUCUGGUAGGAUAUUUGGUGUAGAGAACGUCCACUGAGAGUGGAAUUUUCAUGGCUAUUUCAUUUAGUCAAUAACAAGAAAGGGUUGGUGAAAGGCUUCUCAAAGUCAAAUGGGUUUAACGAGGUUAAUUGGGUAGAUUUCUUUAUACGGCCACUAUUGGAAAGGGAAUUGGAUAUGCUCAAUUGUUUAAGGAAAGUAGUUAGUAGUAAGGUGCUGGUGCUAGAAGAGGAGAAUCGUCUAAUAUGGAUACAUGAUAAUAAGGGGCUGUUCUCAGUGACGAAAUUAUAAGAAUUUUUGAUCAAAGGAGUGGAAGACAUUAGUUUCACUUUUGAUAAGAUUUGGAAGUUAAAGGUACCUCCUAGAGUGGGAACCUUCCUUUGGAUGCUUUAAAUAGAUAGGCUAUCUACUAAGGAGUUCUUGACUAGAAGAGGUGUGUAGCUUUGUCAAUUAGAGAGGGGUUGCUCUUGGUGCGAUAGAGAACCGGAGAGUGCGUAGCAUCUUUUCUUUAAAUACAAAUUCAUUGAAGGUUUUGGUGAAAGAUUUUCGAGUGGUGAGAUGUUGAAUGGAAUCCAGUUGAUGGUUUAUUAGAUUUUUACUUUUUAUGUAAUAAUAUGAAGUUUACAGGUGUGUGCAAAAGUCUAUGGUUGAUUUCGGUGACAGCGGCAUGCUGGUCCGUGUGGCUGGUAAGGAACAAGUUGGUAUUUGAAAGGAAGUGGUCUACAACAAACAAUUUGUUAUUUCACUCCAAGAUGUAGGCAUUGAUGUAGGUUAGGGACGUCCAAGAUGAAUUAAGAGUGCAAGAGAGAUCAUUAUGGAUGUGUCCGUAUAGAAGCUGGUGUCAUUUAAAAAAAUCAGGGAUGGGUGGCUUGUUCUGAUGUCCUCUGAGGUAUGGUUGGGUAAAAUUUAAUGUAAGUGGAGUGGCAAAAGAGGACGAAGUCGGGUGUGGAAAGGUGUUAAGAGACGCGGAUGGGGUGGCAAGGGCAUUAUUUUCUAGUCCAGUUGGUGCAAAGGACUCCAUUGCUCCGAGAUUGGAGCCAUCAUCAUUGCUUUGGAUGUGUAUUUAGCAAUGGGUUAGAAAGGUAAAGGCUCUCUAAUUAUUGAGAUUGGAUCAAAUGAGGUGUUUAGUUCGAUUGAGAGCAAAAGGCUGAGACCAUGGAUGCUACAAUCUAUCUUGAAAGAUAUCGAAAAUAGAAUGCAUAAAGUAGGUAAUGUUUCCUUCUCAAAGGCUGGAAAGCACGGAAAUGAGAUGGCCUCUUCUCUGGCAUUAGUUGGAAUAAAAAGGCAUGGAAUGUUUAAGGUAUGGUGGUGAAUAUAUCAUGGGUAAUGUGUUGUUGAGUUUCUUCUAAAGAAUUGGUUAGUUGUUAGUAACUAAAGGAUCUUUGGUUAUAUGGGGCUUAUGUUUCGGUUGCUUGCACAAUUGCCUUUUAGAGGGUAGAAUAAUAAAGGGGGGUUUUGGGGUUCUGGUGGUAUAAAAUCAUGAUGUUAUCGAUAUGAGAUUUUGGUGAUUUGUACUUGGUAGAGGGACACUUUUCCUGGGGGAUUGUUGCAUUUUGCAGAUUAUUACAUUGUUUGCAAAUGCUUAAAAUGUGUAAUAAUUUAAUUGAGCAAAAAAAAAGUUUUUUUAACGAACAUCCUAAGUAAAACAUUAAUUUUUUAACAAAGUUUGCAUGGUAACUCGUGUUGCAGUCCAGUGUACUUCAUGUAGACAUAACAUUAUUUAUUAUAUGGGACACCAACAAGUAAUUUAAAAAUUAUAAAAAAAAUUAAAAAUUAAGAAUUAAAAUAAAAAAUAAAAAAAGUAUGAAGUACAUGAGUUGCCAUGUUUAAAAAUUUAACGGUUUAUUUUCAUUAAAAAUAGCAAUUCAACUAUUUUUGAAAGGUUUAAGGUUAAAUAUGAUUUUUUUUCCAAAGGUUGAAGACCAAUUUUAGCUAAAAAAAAAUAGGAAUCAAAUUGACAAAAAGAAUGUAAAUGUUGAAGACUAAAUUUGACGUUAUUCCUAUUCUUAAUUAGUUCUAAAUGUAACACCCCAAACCCGGCCCAAACGUUACGGCCAAAUCUAGCAAUGUCACAUGAGAGUGUUUUUGGAAAACCGUUUCAAUACAUAAAAAUCAUUCCAAUUAUUAUCUUUUACUUAGUUUGGAAAAACCGUUAAUUUAUUAAUUGGCUCGAAGAUAGUUCUUAAUACGCGGAAGCUUUAAAAUCCAAACAACUCUUGGUACCAUCUUACUUACGAAAACCUCAGUUAAUUUUAGAAAAACUCACUUAGAUGUUGUAGUUUAUAUUCCAAAAUCACAGUUCAAAAACCUAAAUUAAAACCAAAAGUCCAAGUCCAAAAUUACAUAAAAAAUUUCCCCAAAAAUAAUGAAAAUAAUAGAUAAAACAAAAGCAGUAAGUUCAUAAACCAAAAUGUAUAUGGUCGUGGUCAUCGUCGAGUCCUCCACUGCAUCGAUCCGCCUACUACUGGGGAUUACCUGAACAAAUAAAACAAAUAAAGGGUGAGAUUUCGCAACUCAGUGUGUACAUCCCCAUAGUUCAGUAUGCAUACAGUCAGAUAACAGAAUACAGUCAUAAUUCGGGCCUGAACCCUUUUACAGAAUCGGUGUGGGCCUUGGCCCACUCAGAAACAGAGUCAUAUACAACUUAAGGCCUUAGCCCAUCUCAAAUAUAGCAUGCAUAACAGAUUAGAAUAAUAGAAACAGGCCCACCAACCUUGCACACCAAUUCCUUCCAACCCAACACAUCAUGUAGGGAUAAAAUCAACCCACCCAUCCCUGCACGCCAAAUAUGGGGAUAAAAUCAACCCAUCCAACCCUACACACCAUAGAGUUCCGUAAAGCAGCACAUGUCAUGAAUAUGCAGCUUAGUUGCUAGAUAACAAGCUUUAAAGGCCUUUCAGAUACUUUCUUCAUCUUCAUCAAACCCACCCCAAUGAAUUGCAUCAUACAAGAAUGACAUGCUAUAAUGCAGAUUAAUAGACAUAUUUUCAUAUUCAGAACAGACAAAUAUACAUACUAAGUGUAACAUGGCAGUACAUACAUCGUAAUAUCAGAUCACAAAAUCAAGGGUCUAAGUAAGGCUUACCGACCCUACAAUAGGUCACAGUCGACUUGGGCGGCCCGUGUAACCUUACAGAACAUUUCAGAAAAAUGGGCUCACACGCCAAUAUGGCCUGCCCGUGCCCAUGUGGCCCACACAGCCCAAAUUAGCCUUGGCUGUGUGGACCACAUGGCCUGACCCAAAAUUCCAUAUGCCCGUGUGGGCCCACCUAGGUAGCAAGCACACUGCGUAUCCGUCAAGCCUGUUUCGCGCGCGCAGGACCUGGUUUGUCGACUACACACCCGUGUACUGCCACAUGACCUACCACACGGGCGACCACACGCUCGUCUGGCGUCGACAGAAUACUUUUCGACUUUUGCCAAAUAUCUUUUUCUGUGUAAUCGGAGUACACACCUGGUCCAAUUUUGACAAGUAAUCACUCCCGAGCACUCCAGAACCUAUAUUGUCAGAAACCCCAAUUUCAGUCACUUAAUCUGAAACUUCAACUAAGUUAUAAUGGAGCGCUCAUCACUCAAACAACGAAACCCUUACCUUUGAUCGAAACGUGAAGUUCAAGCUCUCAACCCAUCAAUGGGAAUGAUUUGCAGACUCUAGAUCGAUUCCUAAACCAAAAAGAACUCCUCUUAGUGAAAAUAUUUUCAGAAACACAUAGAUAGACAAAAGUCGAAACUUACCAACUAAUGCCGAAAGGAAAGCAGAGAUGAAGAAGUCUAAUGAGCGAUGGCAAAUAGAGAAAGAAAUAUGGGACUGUAGCAAAACAGAGGUCGGCGUAGGGAAGAGGAGAUAAACGAUUGAAAUUUUUGGGAAGAAAAUGAAUUUUCGGUUAUGGGGGAAAAAUAAUAAAAACUAUCCUGAUAGCCACUCCCUAAAAUCUCCUCAAAUCUCUCUGUACAAUCUCCCCACUAACUCCACUUAGAAUCCCAUCCUACUCCAAACUCUCAUACAGCUCAAGUAGCAAAAUAAAUCCCUCGUUCACACAAGGAUUCGAACUCUAAACCUCUAGCGACUUCAUACCCUACUUAACCACCAAACCAACAAGCCCAUGCUUAUAAGUUUUUACAAAUAAACACAUAUAAGCCUAAUAACCAAAGACAAGGUUUUAUUCAAAUAAAAACCAAAAUUCUUCCCAAGCUAAGACUCAAACUUAAGACCUCUCGCACACACCUAGAACACUUAACCACUAAAACAGAUACAAGUUUAUAACUAUUAAUUAUUGAAACAUAUUUAUAAAAUUUGGGGCGUUACAUCUAAACUAAAAAAAUAGAUUAAGUGAAUCUUUAAAAUAUCAUCGUUGUAUCUAUGCAAUAAAUUUUAACGUAUUAAAAAGUAAAUAUCAAUAAAAUGUUAUCUAUGUUGCAGAUAUAUAUUUCUUUACAAUUUAAUCUAAGUAUUUUAAAUACACUUCAACUCAAACUUGAGUUGGCAUUUAAUGCCUCAGCUAAUUGUUAACCUAAUAAAAAUACUUGAUUGAUAUGAUACUAAUAUUCUGAGGACUAAAUUAAAACAUUUUUAAAAUUUAAAAUAUGCAUAAUUUGAGAACAUUAAGUCACAGUUUAAUGUGUUUAUGGUAAAUUAGUGAAUAGUAAACCUGACAUGCUUUAUUAUAAUAGUAAACAUUAACUUCUCUGUACUCAGUUUAAUUGUGGGAUUGUAAUUAUCAUUUAUCUCGGUCUUUAUAUUGUAAGAUUACAACUGUUUAAUUUUCUUUCCGUAUCUAAAGCAUGACCUGAUUAAUUUUCAUAAUUACAUGCUAUUUUGUUUUAGAAAAUUAUUUUAAAUAUUUUUCGCUGUUUUUUUUCAAUGGUUUUAUAAUUUUUUUUUCCAAAAACAUCAGCGGCUUUCAAAACAUCAGGAGAAUAAUAACGAAAUUGAAUCUUUAAAUAAAACGACUUAAAAAUAAUAAAUGAAAAGGAACAAUUUCCCUAUAAAAUACACUAGUGGUUUCAUGGGUUACUUCAAUAAUCGAAUAUAAGGUCUUCCACUUAGCCGAAAUUCUUUGGUUUAGUUGAUGGUGUUAUAAUAUUUUUUAAUAAUUUUAUAAAUAUUAAUCAUUUAUAAAAAUAAAUUUUAAUUAGUUUAUAAUAAUUUUUUAUAAAAUUUAAUAAAUUUUUUUAUAAUUUGAAUGAUUUUUUUAUUAUAAUUUUUUAUUUUUUUAAUUUCGAAAUGAAUCUUGAGAAAUGUAUCUCUAGAUUCAAAGGAACCUAAAUAAAUGGGUGUUCAAAUUGAAAUGAACUUGGCCAACCAUUUAUCCAGCAUCGUUGUAUACUUUUCUAAAAAUAAAUUAAAAAUUUUUUUUUACUUUUUUAUUGUUUUUACUAAUGUGGCACUACCAAGUUAGCAUUUGUUGUCUGAUGUGGCAUAUGUUGACAAUCAUGUUAAUGUUGCUGUUAGUUUCUAAUGAUCAAUGUUGGUUAACUGGCCUUGCUGGUUAAAAUUGUCAAUUCAAGGAUUCAAUUGAAUAGAAAAGGUUUGGAGGGAUUUAAUUAAUUUUUUUAAAAAAGUUAAAAUGCUUAAUAAGCCCAUAUUAUUUUGAGUUAAUUCUAUCAAUCAUCUCUAAAUUAUUGCCAAUAGUCUUAUAGCAUAAUGUCAAAUUUAACCACAAUAUUUAUAUUUUGUCAAUUUGGCUCUUUUUAUUUUUCUUUUUAGAUUAAUUGGCGCUUAGUCUUUUAAAAAAGAGUCAAAAAGGUUUAUUUAAUAAAAAUCCUGACUAAAACAUAUAUUUUUUAACAAAGUUGGCAUGGCAACUCAUGUUGUAGUCCACAUGUACUUCAUGUAGAGAUAACACUAUAUAUUAUAUGCCACACCAAAAAGUAAUUUAAAAAUUAUAAGAAAUUAAAAAAAUAAAUAAUAAUAAAAGAAUGUAGUACAUGUGAAUUGGUACGUGAGAUGCCUUGCUUAAAAAUUUAAUGAUUUAUUUUCAUUAAAAAAUAGCAUUUCAACUAUUUUUGAAAGAUUUAAGGGUAAAUAUGAUUUUUUUUAAAAGGUUGAGGACCAAUUUUAGCUAAAAAAAAAUAAGAGUCAAAUUAACAAAAAAAAAUAUAAAUGUUGAGGACUAAAUUUAACGUUAUGCCUAUUCUUAAUUAGUUCUGAACUUCAAAAUAGGUUAAUUGAAUCUUUAAAAUAUCAGCAUUGUAUCUAUGCGGUAAAUUUUAACAUGUUAAAAAAUCAAUGUCAAUAAAAUAUUUAUCUAUGUUGUAGAUAUAUACGUCUUUACAAUUUGAUCUGCAUAUUUCAUAUACACUUUAACUUAAACUUGAGUUGGCAUUUAAUGCCCAAAUUAAUUGUUAAGCUAAUGGAAAGAUUUGAUUGAUAUGAUACUAAUAUUUUGAGGACUGAAUUAAAAUAUUUUAAAAUUUAAAAUUGAAUUUAAAAUCUGCAUAAUUUGAGAAUAUUACGUCAUAGUUUAAUGUGUUUAUGGUAAAUUAGUCAAUAGUAUAAUAGUAAACAAGUAACAUUAGUCCUUGAUCAAAUCUGACAUGCUCUAUUAUAAUAGUAAACAUUAACUUCUCUUUACUCAGUUUAAUUGUGGGAUCGUAAUUAUCAUUUAUGUCGGCCUUAAAUCGUAGGAUUAGAACUAUUUAAUUUUCUUUCUGUAUCUAAAGCAUGACUUGAUUAAUUUUCAUAAUUAAAUACUAUUUCGGUUUAAAAAAUUAUUAUAAAUAAUUUUUUCUGUUUUUUUAAAUAGUUUCAUAAUUUUUUUCCGAAAACCUUAGCCACUUUUAAAACCUCACAAUAAUAAGAAUGAAAUUAAAUAUUUAAAUAAAGGCGGCUUAAAAAUAAUAAAUGAUUUCCUAAGAUCAAAAGGAAGUUCCCUCCGAAAUAGACUAAUGAUUUUAAGAAUCAUUUCGAUAAUCGAAAACAUAACGUGUUCGACGUAACCGAAAUUUGCAGAGAACAUUACGUCAUAGUUUAAUGUGUUUAUGGUCAAAUAGUCAAUAGGAUAAUAGUAAACAAGUGACGUUGCUUAGUCCUUGAUCAAACUUGACAUGCUCUAUUAUAAAAAUCAAUGAAAAAGAUCAAUGGGAAGAACUGAGAAACGAAAGUCCUUGGGUCUGAAAGAAAUGCAUGCACCGAUUUAACUUUCAGAUGCCUUAAAGAUUAACAUUGGUUAAGACUUAAAAUCGUUAAAGAUUAUUUAUUAUUUGAAAAUAGGUUUCUUUCAUUUAAUAUAAUAUUAAUAAAAUUUUAUCAAUUUUAAAUAUAUAUAAUUUUUAUUUAAUUUUAAAAAAUAGUUAAUUGAUUAAAUUAAAAAUUGGUGAUCUGUCUAAUUUUGUACAUACCCAAGAUAGGACACAUCUUUAUUAGCUAAUUACUACUUUUUUAAGGAACUAGUUACUACUUUUUAGAUUUAUUUAACAUGAAAAUCAAAUUUAACAUUUAAUUAUGUUAGUCCAACUGAUUUAAUUUAUAUUUUAGUUGAGGCUGCCCGGCGGCGGGAAGGACUGAAAUGAUAUAUUCCUUUCAGUCUAAAGUUCAACAGAGGAUAAAUAUUUACUUUGUAACACAUUUCUACACAUUUCAUCUACUAAUAUUUUACAGGCAUCAACUUUGAAUAAGAGAAUCAAACAAAAAGACAAAUCAAAAUUUCUUUUAAUCUAUUCGCAAUUCUAAUGCAAUGGGCCCUACACGAAUCUUAUUGUAUAAUUGUUUUCUUGCAUUUAGCUUGUCUUUUUUUUACUUAAACUCACCAGUAUAUUUUACCUAUAAAUGCAUGCAACAAUUGCACUCUUAUCCUCACAGAUUCUGUGCCAAAUUUCAAGAGCAAACAAAAAAAGGCAGCAAAUUAAGCUUUUCAAUAUUUGCUUUUGAUCAAUCGAAAUGGCUUCACAAGUUUCUCAAAUGCCUUCUUCAUCACCCCUUUCUUCCAAUAAGGAUGAAAUGCGUCCCAAAGCCGAUUUUCAGCCUAGCAUUUGGGGAGAUCUCUUCCUCAACUGUCCCGACAAGGUAUACAUACAUAUGACCAUAUUGGUAUAUAAUCUUAACAGGUUAUUUGUUUUAUUUAGUGAUACAAUGUGAAAAAAAUUUUCAUUAUUUUGAGCAGAAUAUUGAUGCUGAAACUGAAAAGCGCCACCAACAAUUGAAAGAAGAAGUGAGGAAGAUGAUUGUGGCACCAAUGGCUAAUUCAACCCAAAAGUUAGCCUUCAUUGAUUCAGUCCAAAGACUGGGUGUGAGUUACCAUUUCACUAAGGAGAUCGAAGAUGAACUAGAGAAUAUCUACCAUAACAACAAUGAUGCUGAGAACGACCUCUACACCACAUCCCUUCGAUUUCGAUUACUCCGAGAGCAUGGAUUCAAUGUUUCAUGCGGUAAUUACUGGAACAACAUGAUGGUAUUUUUAAGUUUCUUGAGCAUAUAAUAGCAUGGAAUGUUUGAUAACAAUAUUUCAUUUUGGGUAAUUUCAUCUCAGACGUAUUCAACAAGUUUAAAGACGAGCAAGGGAAUUUCAAGUCAUCCGUGACAAGCGAUGUUCGAGGAUUGUUGGAACUUUACCAAGCUUCCUAUUUGAGGGUUCAUGGGGAAGAUAUAUUGGAUGAAGCAAUUUCUUUCACCACCAACCAUUUAAGCCUUGCAGUAGCAUCUUUGGACUAUCCGUUAUCCGAAGAGGUUUCACAUGCUUUGAAACAAUCAAUUCGAAGAGGCUUGCCAAGGGUUGAGGCAAGACACUAUCUUUCAGUAUACCAAGAUAUUGAGUCCCAUAAUAAGGUUUUGUUGGAGUUUGCUAAGAUCGAUUUCAACAUGGUACAACUUUUGCAUAGGAAAGAGCUAAGUGAGAUUUCUAGGUAUGUUUUUGAAUCUCUUUCACCCAUUUUUCUCUUUUUCAUCUUUUUUUUUUAAAUUUUUUUGGUGGAAGAAGGGUUGAAUUUAUGCGCGGCAUCAUUCUCAAUAUUUGAAUCUUAAUAAAUAGCACAAGUUAAAAGUGAUGGAUUCAUCUUUUUCACUUACAUCAUUUUACUUAUAUAUAUUUUAAAAUUUGAGGUAGCCAAUUUACUUAGGAAUCUAACAAUUUACUCAUUGACAACAUGAAUGUGAAACUAAUUAAAACUUUGAAUAUUCAUUUUGCUAAAGGGGUUUUCUAUAAUAUGAUUUUUUAGGUGGUGGAAGGAUUUAGACUUUCAAAGAAAGUUGCCAUACGCAAGAGAUAGAGUGGUUGAAGGCUAUUUUUGGAUCUCAGGAGUGUACUUUGAGCCCCAAUAUUCUCUUGGUAGAAAGAUGUUGACAAAAGUGAUAGCAAUGGCUUCUAUUGUAGAUGAUACAUAUGACUCAUAUGCAACAUAUGAAGAGCUCAUUCCCUAUACAAAAGCAAUUGAGAGGUUAGAUUUCUAAAAUUUUGUUGGUAAUAGGUUAGGUUCCUUUAGUUGAAGUUAACAUUGAAGUUGAAUUCAGGUGGGAUAUCAAAUGCAUAGAUGAACUUCCUGAAUACAUGAAACCAAGCUACAAAGCGCUAUUAGAUGUUUAUGAAGAAAUGGAACAAUUGGUGGCUAAGCAUGGGAGACAAUAUCGUGUCGAAUAUGCGAAAAAUGCGGUAUGUACAUCGGCAAACAUUUUUUUUGUACAAAAGAGAUAAUAUAUUACCUAAAUUCUAGAUUUGAAUAAACAACUAACUUGAAUAACAAUAUAUAAUCAUUUAAAUAUUAUUAUUGAAUUUGAAUUGAUAUUAGUGAUAAUUGUUGGGAUUUUGUUACCUCAGAUGAUACGACUUGCUCAAUCUUACCUUGUGGAGGCCAGAUGGACUCUUCAAAACUACAAACCAUCAUUUGAGGAGUUUAAGGCUAAUGCAUUGCCAACUUGUGGUUAUGCCAUGCUUGCUAUUACAUCUUUCGUCGGCAUGGGAGAUAUUGUAACACCAGAAACCUUUAAAUGGGCAGCCAAUGACCCUAAGAUCAUUCAAGCUUCUACAAUUAUUUGUAGGUUUAUGGAUGAUGUUGCUGAACACAAGGUAUAAUAAUAUAUUUACAUAAUCACAAGAAACCAAACUCUUAACUCAAUAACAAUGGUUUUUAUCAUGAUUUUUUUAUCAUGAUUUGAAACAAUUAAAGUUUAAUGUUUAUAUAUCAAAUGUUUAGCCUUAAAUCGAAGAAUAAGAAAAGAUAUCUAGUUUCAUUUUAAACAAAUAUAGUUUAAUAAACGAAUAGAUUUUAGGUUAUGUAGUG